rnacentral:lncRNA from 1 species
GGUUGGUAAAAGGACUCUAAAUCCUUUGAGUGGUUCGAUUCCACAACAGAACAAAGAAUGAAAUGAAUGAAUGAAAGCCAUGACCAUGCCUCCAGUAGGAAGAUCGAGGAACCGGUGCUGGCGCUCCUGGUUCAUGGGAUCCUAACCGCGAUGGGGAGAUUAGAUAUUAUUCUUUCGUAAGUCCAUCCAAUGGAGAUAGGUCGAGGAGAAAGAAAAGAGACCCGCAGUUUUGAAAUAAGGAGAUCUUUCUAUAUCGACAUAUCAGUUGGAAAAAUCAUAGGCAAAUUCCUAUCGGCCAUAUCAGUUGGAAAAAGAAGAGGCAAAUUCCUACCGGCCAGAAUCUGGAGAAGAACAAAAAAAUAAUACUGACUUCUUGAACAGAUACCGGUACCGGUCAUGAAGGCUUCGCCCUUCUCAAGUCAAGUGCAAAAGCGAAAUCCGUUGAGCAAGAAGCCAGUGAUCCCACAACAUCAAAGUGAUACAUAUGACAUAUUGGAAAUUAGGCUUAGUUUGUAGCUGUGAAUAUAGUAAUGCACUUAUUUAUUAAUAAAUAUGUUCUUUCUAAUGCCAAACUUGGAUAUAACGCCAACGCCUGAGCGAAUUGCCAGCGUCACAAUAGUUUUACAAAUAGAAGGGUAUUGGGGCCAAAAUGAGUCCGAACUGGGAGCUGUCAAUUUAGCUCACUUUGUUUCGUUCUUCCUCUGUACCCUCGCUUGAAUGAAGACACCCGAUUGGCCCGACUUUCCCAAAUGUCGGCCACCAGCCCUUUUCCUGUAGUACGGGUCUUGAUUUCUUGUCUUGUUUUCGUUUUAGUCGUGGUGAUCGCCCGGGAAGAAAGAAAUGAAUGAAUGUCCUUUUGGGAAAAUGUAGAAUAAUACACCUACCGAGACGAAAGCCAAGGGCGAGUUUCGUAGGUGGACGUAUCGAACUAAAAUAAGAUCUAAGAUUGACAUCUUGAUACAAUGAUUUACCAUAAUAAUAAAUAGAGUCAAUGGUGACAGAGCCGUGGGAAGAGCCGCUUCUUUUUUGCGGCGGGGGCUUCCAUUCACCAGCGCAGACUACAUACACGUGCUCUCUGAACCGUGCUAGAUAGUCACCCAUCACACGACUCUCAAACCCAACCUGUGGUGGAUCCCGGGGGACAAAGCAAAGUCAAAGCGCUUGAUCCUUUGCCCCAUACUUUGAGAUCUUCCUCCCCGCCGAUCAAGCAGCAACGCAGCUCGUGAUAGGCUUAGCUUAAGCCGCUAACGUUCGGUUCGGAUAAGUAAAGUCCCUUCGGUCGGUUCAUUCAGGUGGUCUUCCCUUAUUUUCCCUAACGUUCAGAGUUGUUCUGGUUUGAGAAAGGAGCACCGCCAAGUCCACUAGGGGCGCCCGGAAUGAAUAAGAAAUGGACAGCUGAGAUCAGGCUUGCAUGAAAAAAGAAGAUAAUAAGUUAGAUGUACACACCUGAGGUUGGUAAGAACUGAGGGACAAUGACCCCCCUCACUGGUCCCAUCAGCGAAAGCAACUGCUACUUAAUCGUAGGUUUGCUUUCGUGCAAGGCCCCCGCUGCUGGAACAGGCGGUUUUCAUUUUCAAGUAAACGCCCCGCCCCCUUUCUUUGCCCGCCGGCCGCCUAGCUCGUUAUUCUUUGUGAUCUGGAUAGAGUCUCUCUUCGGGGCGGGGGAAGCAUGGAUUUGAUAGAAAGCAGCAAGCGUAGGCUAAAAAGGCAAUAGUCUAACGUUGGGGUAGGGCACGCCAAAACAACCGGGGGCCCCGGAGGGGUCAGUACAAAGUUACUAUAUUCUGUCCACUUACUUUCAUUGGCUAGCUGCCUUUUGUAGCGCGCGUACUCUGAUCCUCUUCUACGAAUCUACAACUCUCUUUACUGAGCGAGACUUCAUCUAUAUCCCUAAAAGUGGAUUUGGAUCCCAUUUAUUCUUUGAAUGACAGCUUCUAGAGAGCAAUGGGAUAGGAAAAGCUCACGGGAAUGCAGGUACCGUUUCCCAGGGAAAAGAAAAGGGAACUUCACCUCUUCCUACUAAUAAGAUAAGGCAAUCCAAUCCUGAUUCAAGAUCAUGUUGUCUCAACAUAGCAAUGCGUGUUAUGGCAACCUGAUUGUGAUAACAACAUCAAAGCCAAGAAAUCAAGGUCGAACAGUUCGUUCCAUCAUCAACUGUCAAUUCUUUUGAAAGACAUGCGAAUGAACUACGCAUUCGACCCUUAUCAGCAAGGUCAUCACUUGUACCAGGUCUUAGAAAGGCAGCUGCGGCACGUCUUCUCUAUGACGUUAGGGCAAGGCUACCUCGCCAACAAUGGUUAGUGCGGUAAGGAUAAUCGGAUGUGAACUAGCUUGCUCUGCUUGCAGAGAAAAACCAACCAAGAGGCGAUGGAACCCUCAGAAAACUGCUAAUAUUGCCCCAGGUAGUACUGGCCAUAGACUUGAGCGCAAAGGACAAGAAGGGAGGAUCUGGAAACAACAAACACAGGGAUAAUCCAGGAAGUAGCAAAGAAUCUAGUAUUCCACUAUAGAUAGGUCUGAUAGAUCAACAUAUCCAUGAAGAAAAGGCUGACCCUAUCCACCUCCUUUGCGGAAUACCAGAUCAAGAGAUGAAUUAGCGGAUCACAGGGCUAAGUCGAAGCAUGCCAGAACCUUCUUUAGUAGUGAGCCGUACCGACUAGCUCCUAGCAAGGGCUUAAAGAUCACAGUAAUGCCUGCCAAAACUUUCCUUGGGUACGAAUGUCAUGUUCAAAGAAGGUUUCUCUAGACACCUUGGAAAAGAUCACUGACGAGCUCAAUUUCAAAGUGUGAAUGAAAUUAUCAGUUUCAUCCUCUUUAUGAGCCUGAGAUCAUAUGGGUCAACAAUUCUCAUUUCUUAGUUAUAGAUUCUAUAUUCUCAAGGAAGUGAGCAACUCAACCUCAGCCUUGCAGAUUCUCCCCGUUACCUGGACCUGCCUCUCCCGCAGUAAAAACUCUCCUCUACAGCCCCUCUGGCUGGGCCAGAAGCCUCGUCUCCUUUAACUGAUUCAAGUGAUUCACUAAAAAUGAAAGUAAUCUCACAUAAAAUUGGAUUAUCUAAAAACUCGUGAAAAUGACAAUGCUAAAUCGAAAGUCCUUUAUUUAUAUACAACACACACAUAUUCCUCCCUUACGAACAUGAAAAUCCAGUGGAUGGUUUGGAAGGCUUUGACCUGAUCUUUCGAUUUAUAAUGAGAGAAAAUCCAUAGAAAGAUGGAAGUCAUCAUCAUCCCCUUUAUCGAUCACAGCCUCUUCCUCCACCCAUGAUUUCGUUUUCCCAUUGACAAAUCAGACGAAGAUGAACUUGCAUUUGUUGAAUCAAAAAAAAAAGAAAAGAAGCGUUCUCUUUCUCCAGCGAAAAGAAUUACUGAGCUACCCCGCUUUUUUUUCUAAUUCCCUUCUAAGAUCCUCCGACUUAAACAAGUCGAGAGCAUGCUCGUGCUCAGAUCUUUCGAGACUUGCCUUGCUCUUGGGGAUUUCUUCCCACCGGAUCCUCUGUUCCACUUCGAGGCACCUCCUUGCGGAGCUUUCCGCCUCAAGGAGAUCCCGGUUGUGGGAAACAACAUUUCGAAAGAAAACAGAUCCUCCCUCAUUCUCCCGCAGAUCUUGAUAAGACGCUUGGAGAACAGUGAAAGAAUCAGUUGCGUGAAUAUGGUCCAGAUAGGAACGAAGCGCUUCAUCGACCAAGUAGGGCUCGAUCGGUAGAUAAGGCCCUACUCUUUGAUAAAGCGCCACAAAUUCCUGAAUGACAUCUUGUCGCAUAGAAGAGAGCUUUUCUUCCAUUAGGAAGAGCUUAAGCCGCCCAAGUAUGUGUUCCAGGGGGGUAUUGUGAUUAAGCUCGUUCUGAAUGAACGUAACCCAUCCCGGAUCCUGCUCGUAAAGACUCAGAUAGAAGUUUAGCCCUGCUAAAUGAGCUAGAGCCUGGGGGUCUUGAAUCUCCGGUGGGAGAGUGAUCAGAAAGGAGGAGCCGACGAAGCACGAAAUAAAAAGAUUGAAAAUAGGUAUUAGGCAUAAUAGAAAACGACAAAGGAAUAAAAAUAUACAAAUCGAAAGUAAUAUCCAAUUAUAUAUUAAGGGAAACUUAAUACAUAAGAAAAAAUAGAAAGUAGUAAAGCGGGUAGUGGAGAAGAGCCAUCGAACCAUAUUUGUCAUUUGCUUUUUGUUUUGAAAACUUGACUUAUCAGAGAAGGGCCAAGGGGCUGGAAGAGAAGAACUUGAAUACUAAACGCUGGAAGAGAAGAACCUUAAUACUAAACCAAGUUUCGGGAACUUCUUGGUGACUUGAUUGGUUCCCUUCCCCCAAUUUGCAAAGGAUGAUUCCCGUGAAGGUGAUCUCGAUCAUCAUUCUAUGAUAUUUCUGGAUGCUUUUGAGAAGCUUUUCCUUUUACCUAAUGCCGGCUAUGGACAACUUACUUCAUGCUAUUACUAACACUUAUGACUGAGCCGCACUUGCUUUCCAAAAGAAAGGGAAACUAUCAUGCCUGAGACUAGCCAAUAGAAGAAAGAGCCACAAGCAAGCCAUAGCAGCAUCCUUUUUCUUCGCUUUCUUCAACAAUGCGAAUCUAACUCACUCCUCAUCAUAACUCAAAUACAAAUUCGAGUUCCAAAUUGAUAUUUCCUCACGUAAGCAAUAAAAUGUGAAACCAAUAUUCAUCAUGAAACUUCAGACACUGAUGAUUGUGAGGUUCUGGAAGAGAGAUGACGUAGGCUGAAAAAAAGUAAACAGAAAACCAACCCUUAAACUCAUUUGCUCAACAUUCUUUCCACAACAACUAGAAAAGUGGAGAAAAUCCAAUAAGGGGAGGUCCUGGUGAAUACAAAUCAAUUGGAAACCGAACCCCGCAUUCAUGUCUCUAACAAGGCUGUCUAAGCUAAGCGGCCAUGGACCCAUGGACCCGGGGAAUCUGAACCAUUAGGUAGAGUUUCAGCUGAAAGAAAACCAGGUCAAUCUUCCGAUCGCGAGUCUUUACAAGCUUGAAACAACUUAAACACAGGCGGGAGUCGCCCCUUUUAAAGUCAGUAUUUAUGCGGCGCUGAACUAACGAGCGGAUACCUAACCUUCGAAGGAGAAGAAAAGACGGAUGUAUCUUUCAUUCAUAUCGAUCAGAUGUGCUUUGCUCAGGACUCCCAUUUUACCAUUGCUUAAGCCAUAUUAUAUAAAGCAUUGUGAGCGAUACGCAAUGCUGGUACCACCAUGUUUUUUUCCUCACUCUGUGUAGCCACACUCGUUUGUCCAUUUCUACUUAUUAUUUAUGUUAAAUAGUAUAUGUUGGUUGUAGAAGCACUGGCGUUCAGGGAUUGCAAAAUCCAUAAUAUCAAGAAGCGGUAGGAACCUGGCUAACUUCGAUGCGGAUAACGCGCUGUAGAAGAAAGUGGAUCAACCAAAGUAGACCUUGAUCGAAAGGCACCACAAGGCGAACCAAUAGAGUGUGGUGUAAGCGGUGAAGCAGAAUAGGAGUUGGAACUGCUUGAACUAGAAAGGGCUUCCGCUACCGCGCUACCUCGUGAGCUCCAGAAACGGUAUACUCGCUUCACUCAUCUGUAAUGGUAUCCUUGAAAGCUAGCUAAAGUGGGUUCUAGACAAAGUUCUCCUAAGCAGGGCGGAAGGAAAAACAAGAGUAGUAUAGCUCUACGUUACGCUUCGGGGGCCUCGUCUUACUCACUCACCUUCUACUAAUCGGACCGUGACAAAACAACCAGCCUAGCAAUAGGCAAGGACUGGCUAAAAUCCCUUUCCGCAUCGUCCUUCUCUAUUGGGGGCUCUGAACACCUCAGACACACAUCUUUUUUGUUCACUCCCCAUUUUAUUCUCUAAGGAACCCUCUCCUUAAUGAGCGUAGAUUGAUGGAGAUGGAUUUUGUACUGGUCAAUCUUUAUAUCCUUUCUGGCAUAGUUUUGUAAAAGAUCGGCAGGUGAUCCGUCCUUUCUCCUGUGCCAUGGUUCAUGCAUUCUUCCUUUUUGGAAAGCGGAUAGGGAUUGGGUGAAUUAGAGAAUAGACAGAUGUCCGUUGGCAUUUCAGCCUUUCUUCUCCUUUCAGGGCCUAUCCGAAAGAGAAUCCAGUACCUCUUGGUCCUAAAUAUCAGAAUAGGACGCGCAACAACGGAACAACAAGAGCAAGACCGCUCCAAACUAAAUCACAGUAGAAGUUAUGGCCACUCAGGCUGGACCAAAACAGCAAGUGAAAGGUCUCUGAAAGUCCUACAUUAGCACCAAGCCAUCCCCCAAGGGAGGGUAUAACGGAGUGUGGUAAAAUCCAGUUGCUAACGCUCCCGGCUGUGGGUUCUUCGCAUUUAGCAGGGCUUCUAUUCUAGUACAGAGAUCACCACUUAUUAUGCCAGGGUCUCCUUUUUCGAGUUGGUUACUGUCUUGUUGAGCAACGUUUUCCCGGCAAUCUCCGCUUAUUAGGGUGGCCUCUAACAGGUCGGGAGAGUACUAAAAAUCUGGCUCAUACGCCUCACAAGAUUGAACAUCUGCGAAAGUCGUCUCGAAGCUCUGACUCUCGAGAGAAAGUCUUGCCUACCAGUGACUUAUUUUACGGAAUAAGAAUGCCUACUGUACUAACUUCUUUCUUGACUCCAUUAACUCAGUUUACAGAAAGGAAUCCGUCUAGUCCAGUAAGAAGGAAUAGAGAAGAAGAAAGUCACUCAUCAACUCCUACUUUGGUUAUUGAGACUUGCCCGCGUAUCUGACCUAUGUGUACCUAUUCCCUAGCCUAAGUAGCUUACCCACGGUCCUAAUAACUAUCUGUCAAUCCGGCAGCUUGCCCUACUGCCUAUCGACGCUACUGUCCUAAGUCUCCUACUCAUAUACCCAGGGUCAAAGACUUUGCAGGGCAACAAACUGAUUUCGGAAUUGCUUAACUGCUGAGAGCUAGUAUCGGGGAGUAGUAAGCCAACCCACCACAAGAUGAAUGAGUGCUCCUCUCCUAUGCCUUACUAGCCAGGUUGAGCCUUUGAGCCAUAAGAGGAGGGGGAAUCUGGUUGAUUUUCCAAGGAAUGAUUAUAUGGAUUUCAAGGAGGAUAUUGUUACCUUCAUCAGAUUGAUUGAUAACUGGUCGUUGAUUGACAACUACUGCUUUUUCCAGUGAGAAAGGAAGGAGGAAGGGGAUCUCAACAAGCCAUGGAUAUAUAGCCUACAGUCGAGUCCACAAAGAAGAUGGUUUCAAAGCUCGAAGAGCAUAUUUGUGAGGCUGAUCCCUAAGUGCAGAGUUUCAUGUGACGAACAACGAAACUCCAUUUCUUCAAACACAACCCGGUGCCACCGACAAACAUUUGACUUUGACUGUGUUUUUUUUGGGCUAUGAAGAUUCUACUUAUACCCAAUGAUGGAACAUUUUGAAAAUAUGUUCAACGGGGUCUUAAGAAAGGCAAAUUUCAGGCCUGUAGUUUUUAAGAUCAUCUCGCUAAUCGAAAGAUGAAGGAUAGCGAACACUAGAUGGCUAGUGGCUUUAUGCAAACAAAGAAGAGGGAUGCCUAACCAAUUGAUCCUAAAAGAUCUUUUUUUUGCCGUGCCGUGAAGUGCAAUUUUCUCGUAUGUGUUUUAGAGAGGUUGUCGAAAAAGACGAUCUAUAGAGAUUCCCCAUCUAUAUCCAAUCGAGAAUAGAAGCGAGUCGCUUCCGGCGUCGGCUUGUAGUCUCUGCAGUCGGCACACGCACGCGCCCGCCAUCACGCCUCCUUGGUUCGGGACGAAGCCAAGCGAGACAUACGAUAGACGAAGGAAGCGCCCACCCAGCAGGAGGGCUAAAACCUGUAGUUUUGAAGUUGCAAACUCCAGCUUCGAAGCUGGAGUGCUUUAGCCCUUUUUAAAGCAAGAAUCACCGUCUUGAGCGCCUUGCGCGCUCAAGAACAAGCAAGGGAUGAGCGCUUUGUUGCUAAAGCGGAUAUGUUUUCUUGCUGGGGAAGGCUAGUUUGAUCGAGGAUUGGAGAGGAGGGAGAGGUGGAAUAAAAAGCUCGGGAUGGAUUUUGGAGUCUUUGUGCGAGUUGUAUGCGGUGAGAGUCGCACACACGGUAAGGAGGGGGGUUCACGUCUAUACGUGUAGGUGUGGUGGUUGGGCCUACCCACCCUAUUUGUUCCAUGAUCUAUGGGUCUAUUGGAGCUACCCACUUCGAUCAAUUAGCCAAGAUUUUGACCGGAUACGAAAUCGCUGGUGCUCAAUCUAGUGGUAUUUUUAUGGGGAUUCUUUUUAUCGCUGUAGGAUUCCUAUUCAAGAUUACUGCAGUUCCUUUUCGGGCGGCUGUAGGACGGACGACCCCCUAUAGGUAGUAGGGUAGGGUGGGUGGUACCGCUCAGAUAGCGGCCAAUCCUCCUAACUGUGCGCGGUCCGGGCUUAGAGUGCAUGAAACUCAUCACUACCUCGUAAGGGCGUUGAGACCAUAGCAUGUUACACAAAAGCGUCGCUUUCUCAGGAGUGUUGUCACACAGCUGCCCGACUAGAAGAGCUACUCGCUCGGUAGUGUUGUCACACAAGAUAAGCACGCCGCCCGUCUGCUGGCCGGGCGAAUCGAAGUUAUCUUCCGGUCAACUGUCCACCCAGAUAAGUGCAAAAAACACAGUGGAAUCACGCAACGCACGCUGCUGGUGUGCUUCCUGCCCAUGAGGAAAGAAGAGCGACAAGGUUCAGAUUUGACUGUUUGCAGCAUGGGAGCCGAUUACCCAAAAAACCCUGGGAAAAAAGAAAAGAUAUAUCGGUAACGAAAACCAUAGGAGGCUGUAUUGGCGAGAUCUAAGGGUUCACAGCAGCCCAAAAGAAAAACCGCCUGGAAGUCCGAGGACCUUUAGUACCGUACCGAACCAGCAGCCUUCGCGCCAAGCGACGAUCGCCCUUGUCCCUUUCCUUUUUCCAUUCAGCCUACUUCUUAGCUUUGUUCAGUUAGUCUAAGGCAAAGCUUAAGUGGUUUGCCUACCUUACCCACUUGAUGAAAGGGAACGAACUUCGUUUCCUUGGCGGCUUUAUGGAUGGAUUCAGUCAGAAAAAACUCAUUCCUUUUGAAAAAAGUGACGCUUUGCGUCUUCGCUUCCGAGGGUUAGGGUAUAGGCCGUUUCGAGCAAGCUUUCGCUUUUUCUCCCGGCUUUCUACAACUUUCGCUUUAGCUUCCAAAGGCGACCCAAUGACCUUUCCGGAAUUGGAAGUAUUCGUCGCCCUACCCUAAGAAAGAAGUCACUAUAAAACAGCUUGCCCUCCAAAAGUACCAAAGGUGCGCGGAGCCCGGUGAAAAUGAAUAUGUUUGCUACUGAAAGAAGCCUGCCUAUUGACUAAUAUUCGUCUUUAGAAUGAAAGUAGCUAUGAAGCCCAAUCUAUACUGUUGAUUCAAAAGGGGGCAUAGUCAUAUGGGUGGGGUCUUUGUGGGGAGCUGCCUUGGAUAUGAGGAAUUUCUCCAAUCUAAAAAAAAGAACAAAGAAAAAGUCUGUGAUGAAGAUCUUUCUUUUCUAUCAAUAGAUAGGAAUGAGUGUUCGUUACCAAAGCAUUUCCUCGCCCGAGGCCUGCUCAAAGCUAACUUGAAUCUGAACAACUUGCUGCUUCUCCGAAACGUCCCUAAACCCGCUCAAAGCCAAGUCGUCGUGAGUAAGCGUAUGGUCCAUCACACAAACGUCCCUAAACCUCAGUAAGCCUUUCUAGAUGAUGCAUUUCCCUUCUUAUCUAUCGAUGUAUUCAUAUGAGGCCACAGGCAGAUAUAUAUCUACGAGUGGUUUAUAUAAAGGAGGGUCCUGAUAAGAAUGCUGUUCGGAAAAGGCGAAACAAGUUGUGUUGACUGAGGCUCAGAAUACGUUCUUGCACCACUCCUUUCAAACACACAUACCCUUUCUUCUCACAAAUGUGAAAUUCCGGAACUCUGUGUGUAAUUGUUGCAACAACGAUAGGGACUCUGCCGAGGGCUCCCCAGUAGGUUCUAGUCUCUCUUUAUACUACGACUGGAGCAAGGCGUAAUGGGCUGUGUUGUAUGUUGAUCAAGGAGGUGCUGCAUUGGCUGUAGCUGCAAGAGGUCUUGAGACAGAAAUAAUGCCAUUAUUGCUUCUUUCAUUUAAAAGCUUGAGUCGGUUCUAUCUAGCUAAGUUAUUCAAUAAAGUAGGUCGAAGUGUGUGAUGCUUGUGAGUUUGGCAACUACUAUAUACGAUAUUUAUAACAAUACUUGAUACUUGAUUUAUGACUUCCUCUACCUAGACCCACACCUACUUUGAAUUUCACUUAACGGAGCGGCGGAUCCAAUAAAAAGGGACUACAUUCCAAUCCUACUUACCAGAAUAAAUAGUUGCAUGGCAUUCAAACCCCACCUUCAUGGUUGUAUUCUAAUUAGCUAGAAAUGUAUGACCUAAGCUUCUCAAUAGGCAUUCACUCAACAGAGCACUUAAUGAGUUUUCUAAUGGCUUGAAAGACUACUAUGUUUCUUUUAAGCUUAGUUGCAAAAGAAAAGCAAAGGGGAAUGCGGGUCCAUUUCGUAACGCUUACGGUGAUAAAGAAAAGUAACUCCCAUCCGCGUGAGAGGCAUCGCUACCGGGUCGGGCCUCGAUUCCUUUCCUUGUCUCCAUUCUGAUUGAUUUGCUUCUUCACGCAAGCACUUGGUUCGCCCCUUACUAUAACCAUCACACUCAAUCUUUUACACCGAUGUUUCGUACUCUCUCGACCAGGUCAUCAUAAGAAAAUACUGCCAAAUCUUUCCGAAAUGAGAGAAGGAGCGAAGGCGCGCUACAACUAACUGCUGAAAAACGCAAGAUUAGCGCUAAGAAGCAACCCUAGUUUAAGUACUAGCGUCCCACCCCAACGUUCUUGUACUUCAAAAUAAUCUCCCCCGCUUGCUGCUCGCCUCAGCCAGACGUGGCUUAUGUAGUGGUCGGCAUUCCUACGUGCUCCGACUGAUCCCCACUGGAGAUUAUAUGAGGGGUCUUGGAAACUGUCGUGACGCUUUGGUGAGAAGGUCACCGGGGUGACUAUGGAAGGAUUCCGUGAUAGUCUCUGACUCCCUCCAACUCAAUCAAUAUCAAGAACAUGUCGUGAGCAUGGGGUUUGGUUAGGCUUGGUUGAGUUUGUAAGAAAAGAUAGUAGGUUGAGGGGCUUCAUUGAUUAGUAAACCUACGGUGCUGGUAAGGUGAGGACCGUGGUCGUCCGUCUCCGCUUUGCCGGCCGAUAAGAUCACUGAGAUUGACCAACCAGCUGGGUAGGUUUGGCUAUUCCUUUCUAUUGAAAAGGAGUCAGCUGUCUGUGCGAGUCACCUUCCUUAGGCUCCGGGUCACCUUCUUCUAAGCUCCGCUGGAUGACACAGCAUUCUCGUUCUAUAGGCCGGCCGUACUUGUGAUGGUUCCCCAGGAUCCAAUAAAUCCACUUAGGUCUACGUUGCCGCGAUAUUGUUCUAUGGAAGCGGGUGGGCUGCUUUUUAGAAGUUCGGCCCGAUUUUUCAUUAAAAAAAUCAAAAAGGGGGGGAGGGAUUGACCUUUCUAACGCAUAUUCUGUCGUACCGGCAUGGCCCCACUGAUUUGUUUUUGAUCGGAGCAUCAAGCAGCGCAACCCGGUUCUACUUGAAUAAGCCCCGCGCUCGUCCAAGGAGGGAGUUUGCUUUACCCAACUCCCCUUUUUGAUAACAAGGCAAAAACCUCCGACCCGACAUUCAUGAGUUUCUAAUGAAGAAUGAAGAGUGCCCUGCCCCUCUUUUCGCCCCCUAAAUCUUGGAUUUGGAAGUUGGUAAAGACCCACCCCUUGUUUAAGUCAGAAUGAGUCCCCGAGACAGAGGCUUUGGUAUAAACAUAAAUCCCAUAAUAGAGGGAUCGAUCAUCACAUUCUGCUUUGUUAAGAAAGAAGGAUAACCUAGAUAGAUAAAGGUGGAAUGGACUACAUGCAAUCCCAUCCAUGGAAAUAUUUUAUUUACUGUAGAAAUAUGUAUGAUGUGCUGCUAGGAAAUCCGCCAUCGCUUGCCCUCUAAUGGCCUUCUGCGACGCAUACACAAUGUCGAACUCAGUAAGGAUGAUGGCCCCAUCUUGCCAAUCUUCGUGUAAGCAUUGGUCUUGUCAUGAGAUAUUUAAGUGGGUGAACUUUGGAGAUGAGGGUGACCCGAUGUGCUAUGAUGUAGUGCCGUAGCUUCUUGACAGCGAACACCAGUGCAAGGCAAUGUUUUUCGAUAGGAGAGUAUGCAUGUUCAACUCCUACGAGCACACGACUAAGGUAAUAGAGGGCAUUCUCUUUCCCGUUUUCAUUUUCUUGUUCCAAUAGAGCCCCAAGAGAUUCAUCCAAGGCCGUGGUGCAAAGGCCUUUGGUGGUCUUAUUGGCGCAUACCACGGUGGGGUCUUCGACUGGGGUGAAGUCGUAACAAGGUAGCCGUAGGGGAACCUGUGGCUGGAUUGAAUCCUUCACGAUGGAAAUGCCCUCGCCUACUUGACUAAACUAAGGACCUCAACGGUAUAAACAUGUAGAUUUUCUACUUUUCCAUUUUCUUCUUGUUUAUCAAUCACCGAUCAAGACAAACCGGGCACUACGGUGAGACGUGAAAACACCCGAUCCCAUUCCGACCUCGAUAUAUAUGUGGAAUCGUCUUGCGCCAUAUGUACUGAAAUUGUUUGGGAGACAUGGUUAAAGACCGGAGAAAGAGCAAGAAAACUAAAGAAAGCGUUAGCGCAUUGGACUCGAAAUCCAAAUUGUGCUAGCUGACAAAGAAAAAACAGAAAGUAUAGACUAGCUAUUGAUCAUGUUUUAUUUGAAUUAUUGUGAAUGUAUUACGAGGAUUAAGAAAAGUUUUGUACGGAUUUGAUGAAGUUUAUUCUUCUUCAAACAUGAAGUAGGGAUUUAAAGGGUAAAAUGCCAUUUACCCUUAGCAAUGAAGAAAUCUAUUGAACAAUCUGUUUCAUUGCAAUACCUCGCUCUAACAACUCCUAUUCCCACGGCAUUACCACAAGGAUUUCCUGUUUCCCCGAUCCACCAGCUACGUUCGCACACUUCCAAAUAGUAAAUGCUCCCGCGGUUGGAGUUGAGACUUUCUUAUCCCUCUUGUUACAAUAGAUCGAGCAUAUGAUUCUUUUCUUGAUUGAAAUCAUUCACUUUUCCUUGAAAUCGUCACAAAGUAAUUGGAAGAAGAAGUGCUUGAGAAGCUCAUGGAUAUAUUCUAUGGUGGCUUCUCCAAUAGUUCGAGCCAUAGCUUCAUUUCAUUGUUUCUAUAAUUUUCUUCACUUUAUCAUUGCCCUCAAGUACAAGUAAUUUCUGAUAAACUUUCUUUCCCAUGGUUCGGGUGGGCACGGAUAUGGAUGGCAGGACAGGAGUGAAGAUCCCUCAGCUAAGGGCUAGACCGGACGUUUCACUGUCUGAUGACGAGUGGCACACAAAUCAACCUGAGAAGUACCUAUUUAUAUCAAAUUAUAUUAAGUUUAGAUAUUUCUCUAUUCAAAUAUAUAUCUAGAUGACCAUUAUAAAUACUUUUACCCGCGAUAUAAUUUCCUGGGUAUGCCUUCCGAGGUAUGCCGGGCAAUAAGGGCAAGGAAGGCCGCGGGAAGAGUUUCAGGACUAGGCUAGAGGACUCCUGUCCAUAAGGAUAGGAAGGCAGGAGCAAAAAGAUUGAACUAGCCCACGCAUCUGCUCCCCUCUCAAUCCACCAAUAACUCCCAUCUCCCAGCAUCUCAUUCCCCCACCCCAUCGUCAAGAGCAGCCAGCCCUUCUCAAUAGAAUCCAUGUGCCAUUGCCUGAAUGUCAAUCUGCCCCUCCUGUCUGAAAAGAAGCAUAUCCAAAUAAAGGUACCAAGGUAACCCUUAGAGUCAAAGCAUUUUUCGCUAUUAAGGACUUACUGAAAAAGGCUAAAAAAACAGGAAUCAGUUGGAGGAAACUAAGGACCAGGUUCACAUUACCAGUGAGCGCGGAUAAGAAUGUUUCCUGGAAUUCCACAUCCCAUAUUGACUCUACCAUCCCUAACGUUGGCCACUAAGUCCAAUCUGACCUAUCUCAAAUAAGAUCUUUUAGGAUCAAUUGGUUAGGCAUCCCUCUUUUUUGUUUGCAUAAGGCCACUAGCCAUAUAGUGUUUGCUAUCCUUCAUCUUUUGAUUAGCGAGAUGAUCUUAAAAACUACAGGCCUGAAAUUUGCCUUUCUUAAGACCCUGUUGAACAUAUUUUCAAAAUGUUCCAUCAUUGGGUAUAAGUAGAAUCUUCAUAGCCCAAAAAAAACACAGUCAAAGUCAAACGUUUGUCAGUGGCACAGGGUUGUGUUUGAAGAAAUGGAGUUUUGUUGUUCGUCACAUGAAACUCUGCACUUAGGGAUCAGCCUCACAAAUAUGCUCUUCAAACUUUGAAACCGUCUUCUUUGUGGACUCGGCUGUAGGCUAUAUAUCCAUGGCUUGUUGAGAUCCCCUUCCUCCUUCCUUUCUCACUGGAAAAAGCAGUAGUUGUCAAUCGACGACCAGUUAUCAAUCAAUCUGAUGAAGGUAACAAUAUCCUCCUUGAAAUUCAUAUAAUCAUUCCCUGGAAAAUCAACUAGAUUCUCCCUCCUCUUAUGGCUCAAAGGCUCAACCUGGCUAGUAAGUCGGCAUAGGAGAGGAGCACUCAUUCAUCUUGUGGUGGGCUGGCUUACUACUCCCCGAUAUUAGCUCUCAGCAGUUAAGCAAUUCCGAAAUCAGUUUGUUGCCCUGCAAAGUCUUUGACCUUGGGUAUAUGAGUAGGAGACUUAGGACAGUAGCGUCGAUAGGCAGUAGGGCAAGCUGCCAGAUUGACAGACAGUUAUUAGGACAGUGGGUAAGCUACUUAGGCUAGGGAAUAGGUAUACAUAGGUCAGAUACGCGGGCAAGUCUCAAUAACCAAAGUAGGAGUUGAUGAGUGACUUUCUUCUUCUCUAUUCCUUCUUACUGGACUAGACGGAUUCCUUUCUGUAAACUGAGUUAAUGGAGUCAAGAAAGAAGCUAGUACAGUAGGCAUUCUUAUUCCAUAAAAUAAGUCACUGGUAGGCAAGACUUUCUCUCGAGAGUCAGAGCUCCGAGACGACUUUCGCAGAUGUUCAAUCUUGCGAGGUGUAUGAGCCAGAUUUUUAGUACUCUCCCGACCUGUUAGAGGCCACCCUAAUAAGUGGAGAUUGCCGGGAAAACGUUGCUCAACAAGACAGUAACGAACUCGAAAAAGGAGACCCUGGCAUAACAAGUGGUGAUCUCUGUACUAGAAUAGAAGCCCUGCUAAUUGUGAAGAACCCACAGCCGGGAGCGUUAGCAAUUGGAUUUUACCACACUCCGUUAUACCCUCCCUUGGGGGAUGGCUUGGUGCUAAUGUAGGACUUUCGGAGACCUUCCGCUUGCUGUUUUGGUCCAGCCUGAGUGACCGGGGUCAUAAUUGAACCCACAACAAACCUCAGAUGAUGUCACUUCUCCACCCUCUAGGCAAUUCAAAACUGGUCCCAUUAGCUCGAAUUUACUAAUGUUAGAAAGGAAGACAAAGGUGCCAAAACAAAGCAUUUGUUUCAAGCGCUGUCGUGUCCUUGAGCUUCGAAGUCUCCAAAAUCUUGAUCGAGAAGAGUAAGCAUUGCCUGGUGAGGAAGAGCGGAAGCAUAGGUUUUUGGAUCCUAGCGAAGGAGUUUCAAGCACAAAUUACGCUUCUAAAGAGCACUAUUUGGCUUGGCCCCUUCCUGCCAAAGAUUUGAGAUAACUAAAGUGACUCGCAGUAAAAACUGGUGGAUCCAACGCCAAAGAGGAAAUGUGUAGAUAGUAGGUGAGCGCCUAGCCCCUUAGUCUUUCGGAUUGGAAGAUUCAUUGGUUUCAUCCAAAGGCUUCUGUCUCGUCUUCCUCAAAUUGUUGAUCGAGGAUCAAAGACAUUGCGAAAGCAGACGCCUACCGAAUGGGAGUUCUUGUACCUGCUAGAACGACAUCUGCUCGAACUUUUGUUUCUUAGAAAAGAAAAUAUGAACUCACUAUGUGCAACAGAAAUGUACCCACCGGUUGAGAAACCACCAUAGUUGGAUGAUUGCUCGCGCUAGUAAGACAGCUUUGACUCUUCUUGAUUGUGAUCUGGUGAUCGGUCACACCCUCUUUAGAGGUUCUAGGCCCUGCCUAUUGAGUCAUCUACCACAGAAACAGAGUCUCGUGAUGAUCCUGGUACAAAAGGUUCGUCAGGCCCGCAUUCAAAGACUUCUUCCUCAGACUCAUAUCCAUAAAGAUAUUCUCUCGCUUUCUAGCUGUACCCUUCUUCACACCCACCACGGAGGUUAGAGAUUUCCCAUUAUCAACAUUGUCCAGGCAGGACUCUAUUUUUAGAAUGCUCGGAGCCAACCAAACAGUUUGCUAUGUCCCUCGAUAAAAUCAAUACUUCAUUGGAAAUUCAGGACCAACUUAGGAAGGCACGGACUCAUACUUUGUAAGGUCAAAGUCCACACAUAAGAAACUAACUAGUGCCUAGGAAUACCCCCUUCUUCAUUCAUCCAUUUUGGUAAGAAUGGAUCCAGGGAACCUGGCUCGGGAACAACCCUGAAAAAACACAGUAAGAGAGUCCAAUCUCUGAAAUAUAGCAUUUGAUCUCCUAAGUAGUAGUAGUAGAAGGCUUAGUAUCUGACUUGAUCCAAUAGAGUCAGAACACACAGUAGAUCCAGAUUCCACACCUUGUUGUGGACUGGGGAGAGAGCAGCUCUUCGAAGCUGGGCGUUCUGUGUGAUUAUGGAGGAACUGUAGUAUUCGCCCCAAAAUGCAAGCCGGGAUAGAUACUUAAAGAAAGGGGGAGCGGUGGGCCUUCAAAAAGGAGCAAGGGAGUGAUGGGCAACCUCUUUCUAUAUGUUGCUCGUGAGCCGCCUAGUACCAGUCUCGCAACAGUACUAGCGUUAAAGGAUCGAUCCUUCACUUGCGGAUCGUUCGCGAGUCGAACUCGCUCUCUUGCCACGCCUUUGACUCACGAACUCGAGUCGGACUCAUUCACUGCUGACUUUUUUAAGGAUCGUUCGUUCUUCACUCUCUUGCUAUUACCCGCAGGGAGCGCUGCAACCGACGGUGCAUAUUAUCAUAUAGAAAGAAGCGAAGCGUAGCGAUUCGUACUACCAGAAAAGUGUCGCUAACCGCUAGGCAAUAGAGUCAGCUUAUGGGGUGGGGCGCAAGCAAGCGUAGCGAAUCACAUAGAGUUGCCCCUACCUGCCAGCACGCAGAUAGAUAGGGCAGGCGAGCGCAGGGAUGAAUGUCUGAGCGGUUGAAAGAGUCGGUCUUGAAAACCGAAGUAUUGAUAGGAAUACCGAGGGUUCGAAUCCCUCUCCAUCCGCGAGGUCAUAAGUUCUCUCUUGCCUUAUCUGUAGAUAAGAACGAAUCUCCUUGUUUCGACUGAUAUGAUGGAUGGAAUGGGUAGAAGGUUGAGGUCAUUGCGUGUUGAUUUAGUUAGGACUUUAUCUCCCUUUCAUUAUCUUCUGCCCCGGGUGGAUGACCUGUGGGAGCUAUGUCAAAGAUCUCGGUGUCGUCGUGAGUGGUUGAUAAACAAUGAUUGCAGUUUGAUUUAGGGAGUCCCAACCCUGUGAAGCUUAACAGACAAAGAAAACGAUAGAGACUUCCGGGUAUAGGGUGACGACCUUAAUGAAUCAAGUAUUCAGGUGGCAGAGUUUUGAGCUACAUAAGUGCUCAAAUUCCGGAAUACUUAUUGCCCAAAAAAUAUGAUCAACCCCAGGUACAUUUAUUAGGUUUUGAUCUGAGGCUAUCCUGGUCUGCAGGACCCAACACAAGUAUUCAUCCUUUCUAAUCUGAAAAAGGUGUUGCCGAAAGCUUACCCUCUUCCACACGGAUGCUACAGCCGCUAUCACUUUUGUUAGAGUGCAUCAUGUCUAUCAGAAAUAAGGUCCUAUUCUACUUAGUUUUAAGGUCUAUAUAUGAUAUAAUGUAACCCAAAGAAUUAUAAGUGUACAAUAAACUAAAUAUUAAUCAAGUUAAACUACUUCUGCUUGAAAAUUAUAAUAACUGUAGGCUUUAUGUGAGUAUACGGUUAACAAAAGACGAAAGGAUUUAUGAGCCCAUCAAUACUAUAAUAAGUAACAAAUAGAGAGAUGCCUAUAGUUUUUAUGGAUAAUCAUAAUUAUAAAGAAUAGAUUAUCAUACUUUAUAAUAAGAGCUUGUUUGCUAUUCUUCCUGUUCCUGUUACGAGACGACCUCGGCUCAAGCUGACCCCACACCGAAAGUCGUCAAGCAGUCUUGGGCUCCAUCAAUCAGUGAGGAGGAAACCAAAACCUGUUGGAGUUCCCCGCCAUCACCUCGCCUAGAUCCGGGGGUUCAUACCCUCCUGUAGCAAAGAUGUAAGUCACAAAGGCUACUUGCCUGCCGAGGGGGGAGAACUACCUAGUAUCAAAUUCACAAAGCAGCACAUUUAGUGGUUGACAUCUUUCUUCCUCGUUUUCAUCGGAAAGGAGAGUUUUCACUUUAAGCAAGAAGAGCUACGAGUUGGAGGGCUAUUUCACCGACCGUCACUUCUCCUUUGUAUCUGCCGAAGACGCAAGUAGCCCAACGACAGGCUUGUGUGGAGUUGAAUGACAACACACAGAGGUCUUUUGGCGAAACUGGGGGCUCUUUGUCUAAAGGAAGGGCAAAGUCAACAGGCCAAUCCCAGUUUCAGAAUUGGAAGAAGCAGUAGGAGGUUCACCAUCAGAAAGGUAUGGUUAGUUCAUUCCCUGAGGUCGAGGAAAGGUUGAAACCAUUUUAGAGCUAGGCGGGGUCUCUUAGAUGCAGACUAACCCAUUUCGACGUGAAGCAUCGCAUAGGCUUGUGAUCCUAAAUCUAGUGAUUGAUUAUUGACUUGUCAAGGGCAGGUUGGUGUCUUAAUGUGGAGGAAUUCCGUACCUAAGAUAAGAAGUUUCAUUUCAUGCCUACCGUAGUCCCUAUUUUAUUGGGCGUAGUCCCCCUUACCUACUCCCGAGAGUAGAAAAUCAACAUUUAUGUCGUUCUUAAUAAGAAAGAGAUGCUCGGGUAGCAAAGUUGCCUACCAUUAGGUAUUGUUUGAGCCUGUAACUUCCAUUAGGAGAGGCAUCCUCGCUCAGUUUCAACUGGUGGUUACUUAAGUUUAUUUUCUCUACCGGAUUGCGUUUCAAAUUCAGACUUUUCUUUGUUAAACAACGCUUUCGGGUCGCCUAGACCAGAGAAUUCAAGAAAUAGAGACGCACAUUGCCUAAUUGGUAGUUUAUUUCCCACCAUAGCUUUACUCAAGUGGAAAUCCUUUGAAACGAACAAAAAUUUCAUAACCGCUAGGAUGCAUCGUCCCCUUCAACCAGAAUCAUCUAGAUUACAGAUUUCAUAACUGCAUUUUGCAAGAAGAGAGUGCCUCCCAUUCUCUGGAGUAACGAUAAUAAUAACACUCCACGUCGCCUUCGGGCUUGGAUCCAUGCCUUGCGUCUUCUUCUUUCUCAGAAAAGAACUCAGAUCGUUCAGAUUCUUUGCCAGGAGAGUCCCCGGCUUUCGAGCCCUACUCGUGGGAGUUGCUUUAUCCAUCAUUGCUAUUGGCAUCUUGGCGUUAAACAAUUCGUUUAUAUAAACACUUUUGACAUAGCAAAAUCCUUCUCAGGUUGAUUUGUGUGCCACUCGUCAUCAGACAGUGAAACUUCUGGUCUAGCCCUUAGCUGAGGGAUCUUGACUCCUGUCCUGCCAUCCAUAUCCGUGCCCACCCGAACCAUGGGAAAGAAAGUUUGUCAGAAAUUACUUGUACUUGAGGGCAAUGAUAAAGUGAAGAAAAUUAUAGAAACAAUGAAAUGAAGCUAUGGCUCGAACUAUUGGAGAAGCCACCAUAGAAUAUAUCCAUGAGCUUCUCAAGCACUUCUUCUUCCAAUUACUUUGUGAUGAUUUCAAGGAAAAGUGAAUGAUUUCAAUCAAGAAAAGAAUCAUAUGCUCGAUCCAUUGUAACAAGAGGGAUAAGAAAGUCUCAACUCCAACCGCGGGAGCAUUUACUAUUUGGAAGUGUGCGAACGUAGCUGGUGGAUCGGGGAAAUAGGAAAUCCUUGUGGUAAUGCCGUGGGAAUAGGAGUUGUUAAUGAGAUUGCUUCCAAAAAGUAAUAUUAAACUAAAAGGAUCCAAUGAAGAACCGGGGAAUAGCUUAUAUCCAGUCCUUCUCUAUGACUUGCCGAAUAGACUUAUUCGCAGCCAUACACUGUCUUAUUUAAAAGAGUCCCCUGUCUCAUGAACGAUCGAACUUGGUAAACUUUGAAAUAAUCGUUUAGAUAGCAUUAGCCGCUUUUCUUCCUUUUCUCUGCCAGUCUUUCAAGUUCUCACCCUCCCAGAAAAGAAGGGAAAGUCUUCUUACUAGCUAGCUUUUAUAUCUCGCAAAUAGGGAGUUAAGGAGUGUAACUAUAACCUAUUUGUCACAAAGUUCAAUACUCUCUAGAGGAGGUAAAUCAAUGGAUAUGGGUACGCCUGGUUGAAGCAGCCCCUACACUUCUAUGGGUUGUUCCAGCCUCUGCUAGUGGGUGGUUUUUCAUUUCUACAACAGGUGCUUGGUUCAAAAAAAAAGCUUAUGAGUUGAGUUCGUCCUCAACUACGGAUUGGGGGCAGCAUUCUCAGAUUACUUGACUUGCUGCUAGCUUAGAGGAGAGAAAAAAAAUCCCGCUUUCAUUUACCUUUGAGUCUGAGAGAAGGCUUUUUCUUUCUAUUAAAAGAUCACAAAUCAGAGGGGUGAUCAGUCCUCUUUCAAUCCUUCAUCUUCUUAUGAGUAGCCGCCACAGGGGGUCCUCAGUCUGAAUCCUCCACUAGCAUUGGACCAACAGUCAGUCUAGCUCUCACUUUUAUCCAAUUUCCUUAUCCUUUCAGGGCAAGGUCGGAGUAGUAGCAAAAUACAAUUUCUUUUUUUGCAUGCGGACCCGUUUGUGAGACUGAAGAAAUUGAAGCUAAAUGACAAUCUUAACCUACUUGCUUACAGGAUCCUUAAGAAACUGUGGACUUUUGCACCUUUAUGUCUAGCUUGAGUUAUCUUUGAGUUCUCUCCCCUCGGCAAAGUGGAUAGGAAAGAGUCUUGCUUCCAUUUCACUAGCCAAGAAUAAGGAGAGUGACUUUCUCUUUUGAACCUCUUAAGCUGACUUGAAAAAAAAGUGGUAUAAUUAUCAUCAGGUUCCAGUGACCCAAGAUGCGAGUGUGAGUGCAUAUCAAAUUAUGAGUUAUCUCUUGCUUAACUUAGAAAUGGGUAGGAGAACGAAUCUUCUUCCAUCUUAAGACGGUCAAAUCCAAGAUGUGUACAUGUGCUUGCAGGAUGAGCUUAAUAAAUUGUUUUUUACCAGAUUGAAUAAUGUUAGUAGUAGUAAUUAGAAGAAAAAACUCAUAGAUUCUAUGUUAACCAGAAAGUUCGUCAAAGGAUUGUUUAUGCCAUCUCCACAGGGGUCCGUCCGGUUCUUCCUCAAAUGGGUUGCCUCAAUCUUUAUCAAAGUUUUGGUAUCUAGCUUAUCCAACUACAGUAUAGUAUACUCCUUCCUUGCUCGAUAGAGCUCUUUGAAUCCGCUUCAACUAAAUGCGUAAAAUAGAGUAAUUUCUUCAAAAGCCAGUUUCUUUCGAGAAGGCAGGAGGCCCAUAGCGAGUUACAAUAGUGCCAGUUCUUGUACGGAAGGUCGUAAUUCCGGUAACCUCGACUGCUCUAAGAAUGAUCCGGGCUAGCCGGGCACAUCACAUAAAAGUUAGAUCAUUUGUCAAAAACAUGGCAAAUAGCUCAGUUGGUUUGGUAAGGGAGCUAUUCUCUCACUUAAACCACUCCCAUAUUAGGUAUUCUAUCUCAUCUUAAAAUUCCCCCGUAUUACCCAUAACUUACCACCUGUAUCUCCGAAACUCAAAUCGCAAAAUGACAAUGCUUUCGAUAGUCUGUACUAAAUUACUUUGUACGAAUGCACAUCUCGGCCGUCGGGUAGCUGAUCACCAUUUCAAAGUCUAUAUCCGUGGUUCAAGAAAUGGAAUUGCUAUUCUCGAUUCAGACACGACACUGAUUUGUUUACGAAACGCUCUUCAUUUUAUAGGAUCUCCCAGUCGUCAAAAAGGCCGUUCCUUCUUUUUAAAGACCAAUCAUUUAUUUAUUUAUGAGAUAACAGAAGAAAUGGCGAGCUAUUUAAGAAGCUAUUUAAGAAAUGUGAAUACUUUCCGGUCUUUUUUAUGGAUCCUUUUAGAUCUACGGGCCGGCCGUUCACAUGAGCAUAGGGAAUCUAUACUCGAGCCUUCGACUUGGCCCCUGGCAGGAUAGGUGAGGAAUCACUCUUGAGAUCUGAUCUAUUGGGGCCUACAACUUCGCCAAAGCCGACUAGCAUCAUUUUCCGUGGUGAACUGGCCGUCCCAUACCUUCAUUUUGUCUCAUGUGUGUUGAAAAUUGUCUUCCUCGGUUCUAGCUUCACUGAUGUAGGUAGGGCUGGGCGAGAAAGGGUCCCCUCUUGCCUAUUAGUAAGCGGGCCUUCGAUUCCACCAGGGUCUUACGGUCUCAUAGAGGGGGGAGAACUACCUAACAAAAGAAGAAUAGUGCUCUUUAUAAAUAAUAAUAGGCGUGGAGAGCUUUUUGCGGGGAAACUUGCAAGUCAAGUUUGGGGGGAGGUGGGUGUCGACCCAACCUUAUGAGUAUUCGGACUAUAACAGUUCGGAUGAACAGUCACUCACUUUUGACAGUUAUACGAUUCCAGAAGAUGAUCCAGAAUUGGGUCAAUCACGUUUAUUAGAAGUUGACAAUAGAGUGGUUGUACCAGCCAAAACUCAUCUACGUAUGAUUGUAACACCCGCUGAUGUACCUCAUAGUUGGGUUGUACCUUUCUCAGGUGUCAAAUGUGAUGCUGUACCUGGUCAUUCAAAUCUUACCUCCAUCUCGGUACAACGAGAAGGAGUUUACUAUGGUCAGUGCAGUGAGAUUCGUGGAACUAAUCAUGCCUUUACGCCUAUUGUCGUAGAAGCAGUGACUUUGAAAGAUUAUGCGGAUUGGGUAUCCAAUCAAUUAAUCUUCCAAACCAACUAAACCGGGGAAGCUGAAGCGGAAAUGCAAUUCUCGGGUGAGGGAAGGGGGAAGCUCCAGGAAGGCUUCGCUCGCUCGCUCAAAAAGCUCUAACACUCGUAAGGAAAGUUAUCUGGUAGAGGACUCUUUUGACCGGUGAGCCCGCAGAUUAGGAAGGCGGCCUGCCAACUGCGCAAACAAAGCGACUCCUUGUUGGUGUAAGAUAGGUGUUGGUCCGAUUCACCUAUGUCAGUUCGAACCUGACGAGUCGUUCAUUCGUGUGGAGAAUCUCUCUCCUUUUCUUCUAAGUCUUGCUUCAUUAAGUUACUUGCUCUCUCAGCCUCAUAAUAAUAAUCAAUAUUCAAAUACUUUAUGCUAAAUUCUGUAUAGCAAUCAAUGUCUGAGGGCAUAGAGAACCUUAAGAGGAUAGGAAUGUCUAUUUAUUUGAGACCAGUGAGGUCAGAAAUUCAAGCAUUCGGGUCAAGACUAUAAGGCGCUAUUAGGCCAUACCUCGGCUCGCUACCUUCUCUAGAUACUUGAUUGGAAGAGAGGGUAGAUGUAAGAGAGUUAAAGCACUUCGCUGGAAGAAGGGUAUAAUGGAAAGUCAAUAAAUAUUUCAUACGGAACUAAAUAGGUCAUUUACGACUCAAUGGUUUAUCAAUCAAAUACAUCAGCAUUCCAAAAUACUACCCGCUAACGCCCUCACUCUUUGACUUAGAGGUCUUAGCCCCACCUUUACUUAUAUCUUAGACUUAUACUCUUCAUUACUUCCCUUCUCUGGCCAUGUGGUUGAGGAUAUUUGAAAAAAAAGAAAUUGACAAUACCUACUAUUGAUGCCUAAGAGUAGGUCUUUACCAGCUUGCCUAAUAAGAGUAGUUUAAUACCGGCUUACUUGUACAAGCUUAUACUAGAAGAGUGAGUACGCUACCGUCUUGAUUAUUAUCAUCAGAAAGAUCUUUUGAAACCAUCCUGGUAUCAUUUACUUUCAUAAAGCAAAUCUUAGUAAAUAAAUGUGGGUGAUCCUACUUAGAAUAAGACUUAGAAUGUCUUCCUACGAGUCUUAAAAUAAUGUACUCGACUUCCUUUAAGUAGUAAUAAUGAACCACAAGGAUAGUUUCAAUUUCAUAAUUAAAGAAAGAUGAGACGAGACAGACUGUCAGAGGAUGCAGCGGGACUACCAGGGGAAAGCCCGCCCCCGCUAGCUAACAUAGAUAUCUAUUCUCGGUGCGCAUAUUCGAGAUUUAGAAUCUCUUUCUGACCAGGCCAGGCCGAAUCGGGACACCACUUGGGAUGGGAAUGGCUCAGCCCACAUGCAUCAUUUGAUGAAAGCACUCCAGUCGAGUCGCCUCCGAUCAGUGGCUUGUCAACCACCGGACCGUAGCUCCUCACCAAAUGCCCCUGCGUUGGGGCAACACAACACAUGACUAGUUCGCUCAAGGACCACACCCUCUCAAGAGCAGGAUGCCAGCCGAGAUGGAGCGCCAACCUAGACUUUCCUUGGGCUUGCCUUGACCGAACAUCUAAAUAAAGAGCGGGCGCCGAAAAGGAAGCAGUGACGCCUUUUCAACGAAAUCUUAGCUUGGUAGGCGCAGCUUACUCACCCUACUCCCUUAGACAAUGCAAUGCUCUGAACACGAAAGUUUGCAGUUCAGCCCUCUUCUCCCAUGCAGAGUCGCAGGCAGUGCCUCGGAUAAAAGCACGGACGAGCCACAUGCAGGGAAACUUGCACGUGUGGUUCUGGCCGGGGACCCCGGUAUACUGUACUAAUAUGUGUAGGUCCCUGUAAUUCGAGUGAGAUUGUCAUGGCGCAAAAGCAGAUAUGGUCCGGUAUUCCCUUGUUCCCUGUAUUGGUUAUGUUCCUUAUUCCUCGUCUAGCAGAAACUAAUCGAGCUCCGUCUGAUCUCCUAGAAGCGGAAGCUGAAUUAGUUGUAGGCUAUAAUGUAGAAUAUGCGCGGGAUGCGAUCCUUAAUAGUUCACUGUUGGCAGAAGCCAAUGUCUCGGGGACUCAUUCUGACUUAAACAAGGGGUGGGUCUUUACCAACUUCCAAAUCCAAGAUUUAGGGAAAAAAAAGAGGGGCAGGGCACCCUUCAUUCUUCAUUCAAAACUCAUGAAUGUCGGGUCGGAGGUUUUUGCCUUGUUAUCAAAAAGGGGAGUUGGGUAAAGCAAACUCCCUCCUUGGACGAGCAUGGGGCUUAGUCAAGUAGAACCGGGUUGCGCUGCUUGAUGCUCCGAUCGAAAACAAAUCAGUGGGGCCAUGCCGGUACGACAGAAUAUGCGUUAGAAAGGUCAAUCCCUCCCCCCUUUUUGAUUUUUUUAAUGAAAAACCGGUCCGAACUUCUAAAAAGCAGCCCACCUGCUUCCAAAUGAAGUCUUGUAUAUGCUGCUCACUGUCGUUUUGGUCAUUUUUCUUUUUUUUUGUUACGAAAAAGGGAGGUGGAAAGUCAGUGCCAAAUGCAUGGCAAUCCUUGGUCGAGCUUAUUUAUGAUUUCGUGCUGAACCUGGUAAACGAACAAAUAGGUGGUCUUUCCGGAAAUGUGAAACAAAAGUUUUUCCCUCGCAUCUCGGUCACUUUUACUUUUUCGUUAUUUCGUAAUCCCCAGGGUAUGAUACCCUUUAGCUUCACAGUGACAAGUCAUUUUCUCAUUACUCUGGCUCUUUCAUUUUCCAUUUUUAUAGGCAUUACGAUAGUUGGAUUUCAAAGACAACUUUUCAAACUUAGCGAACUGAAACAUCCGAGUAGCUAAAGGAAGGAAAAUCAACCUAGACCCCGUUAGUAGCGACGAGCGAGAGCGGAACAAGGGUUUUCAUCAAAAGAAAUCCGAAGCGGUUUCAUUCGAUUUGUUGUGGAUUGGAUGAUGGAAAAACCAGCAAGCAACAAGCGUAGUUAGAAAAGUUGUCGUAGCGCGCCCUACGGAGUUGUACAAAGUCAGCAACCGUUUUGGGGUGCAAGCAUAGGCAACACAUGACUGAUGACGGGGUGGGGCGUGCAGUGAACUAGUUUUCUAAAAAGAUUGGAAGAUCCGGCCAAAGAAGGUGAUAGCCAUGUUCAUUCAUUCCCAUGGUUCGAUCUUUCCAGUAAAACGCGGCGUGUUCGAAUGAUGAUCGCUUUUACGCGAGAAAGGGGGACCACCCUCUAAGCCUAAGUAUUCCUCAAUGACCGAUAGUGUACAAGUACCAUGAGGGAAAGGUGAAAAGAACCCCAAUCGGGGAGUGCAAUAGAGAACCUGAGAUCCGAUGCGAACAAUCAGUCGAAGGAGCGGAGCGCGGGCGCACUCACUCUAACGGCGUACCUUUCGCAUGAUGGGUCAGCGAGGAAAUGGGAACAACAGCUUAAGCCAUUAGGUGUAGGCGCUUUCCAGAGGUGGAAGAUUUACGUUCUUCCUAUUUGACCCAAAACUGAUCGAUCUAGCCAUGAGCAGGUUGAAGAGAGCUCUAACAGGCCUUCGAAGACCGAACCCACGUAUGUGGCAAAAUACGGGGAUGACUUGUGGCUAGGGGUGAAAGGCCAACCAAGAUCGGAUAUAGCUGGUUUUCGGCGAAAUCUAUUUUAGUAGAGCGUAUGAUGUCGAUGGCCCGAGGUAGAGCACUCAAUGGGCUAGGGUGGCACCCAUUUCGCUUUACCAACCCCAGGGAAACUCCGAAUAAAGGCCGUCAUCCUUAGUACAGACAGAUUGAUUGGGUGCUAAGAUCCAAAGUCGAGAGGGAAAUAGCCCAGAUCGUACGCUAAGGUCCCUAAGCAAUCACUUAGUGGAAAAGGAAGUGAUCGAGCGAUGACAACUAGGAGGUGGGCUUGGAAGCAGCCAUCCUUUGAAGAAAGUGUAAUAGCUCACUGGUCUAGCUCCAUGGCACCAAAAAUGUCUCAUGGCUCAAGUGAUUCACCGAAGCGACGAGACCUUGAAAGCAACUUUUUCAAGUGUUAGUAGCGGGACGUUCUGUCAAUCGGGGAAGGUUUUUGGUGACAAGACCUGGAGAUAUCAGAAGUGAGAAUGCUGACAUGAGUAACGAGAAAUCCUAUGAAAAACACGAUCGCCUGCCAGUGGAAGGCUUUCUGCGUUCAGUCAGUCUACGCAGAGUGAAUCGGUCUCUAAGGAACCCCCGAAAGGGCUUCCGUCCGAUGGGUACACGAAAGUGACGAAGUUGCUUUGACUAAUGAACCAUGCCUGGAUCGUCGGAGUGAAUUGGAUGAUCGGGCCGAGGGCUGCCCCCUCUUCCCCUCGCUCUCCUUUCCUUAAUAUUCACCGUCGAGUCAUCAAAGUCGUCAACUAAUUCAGAGGGGCUCGGCUGGCCCGGUCGCCCUACGCUACUGGCGCUUCCAAAGGCGAAGCUCUCGUCUUUGGCAACCAGCAAACGGAGGGCUCAAACCUGUAGUUUUGAAGCAAGGGAUGAGCGCGAAAGCCGUUGCGCUUCCGUACACGCGCAUACGUUUUCUUGCUGGGGCGGACACGGAUUUCUCUCUAAAGGCGAAGAAAAAGAAGUGGGCGAACACUCGGCCCAGCGGGCGAACAUGCCGGCUUCGGCUCCGCGCACCUCGGAUUCGGCAAGAAUCUCAUUUUUUGGUAGUACGAAGGGGGAAUUGGCCCAAAAAUUGGAUAGGGGUAAAGACGCAGCCGGGUGCCGACGGCUUAUUCAAGUGCCCCCCGAACCGCGCGAAAUGGUCGCCUAUUACACGGCUCACAAACUCUGCCUGGGAUGGGGCUACCUAUUAUUCGUAGGCGGUACGUACGGUGCAAGGACCAUAAUAUUUUAUCAAUAGGUUAUUAUUAUUUUAUUCGAAACAAUGUUACUCCUGUAGAUAUGCAUCAAUAUUUCGGUCUUUUGAGAUCUCUUCUCUCACUUUCGGAGCACAGUUGGUCCUCAAUUUGAAAACCGACAAAGGUGACUUCUUCCUUAUUCACGCCUUGAUGCACCUUUUUUCGUGUUCAAUCUCGCCUAAGAGCAGUGCAUCGAUACAACAGAGUUCUUAUUCUUACCCUUCAAAAGAUCGGGAAAGGUCAUUCUAGGCUCUUUAUCAGAUGUAUCAUUCCAUCCUUUACCUUGUGCCAUGCAUGAUUCCUAGAUCGAUGGAAUGAUCAAUUCGAACUUUAGGAAUGCUAAUCAACCAAGGGAAGCAAAAGAGAUACAAGCGAAGGUUCAUUGUUUUAUUUGAAGUAGUGAAACUAAUCAACCAAGCGAAGCAAAAGAGAUACAAGUAGUGAUUAUUAUUAAAAGAUUGGAAUGCUAUUAAGCAUAACGAGACGCUAGCUCACGUUGGCAUCUUUCAACCUUUCAGAUAACUUCUCUCCAUACUAACCAAAAAGAGCAGGGCAGUUUUACUACCAUUAGCGAGUAGUUCCCUCUCCAUUUUGCAAUACAAAUAUAAGAUCACUAUUACUACGAGUGGUGAAAACGAAAGCAAUAGCCGCGUACUGGAAUCCCAGUAAAGAAGAGUGAUUUUCGUCAGAAAGAACAAAAGCUGGAGGAAUGCGAUCCAGAAAAAAACGGAAACAUUGCACUUUUUUUCGUUUGCAAGUAGUUGAAGAGGGAAUCCACUACCAAAAGAGAAAGAGUUCAGCUGCCCCGAUUUCUCGAAGGGUAAGAAGAAAAUAAGAAGUCCAAUGAUCAAUUCCGGAAACCUCUAGACCAGGAUAACUUACUAGUCAUUCGAAUAUUUGGCCAAGUUAUUGGAUUAAAGGGAACAUUACAUAUUAGUUUUUGUUUUAGUCGUCUAUAUUAUGGAAAUCUAAUAUAAAAUAUUGUCCGCCAUUUGGCUACUUGAGUCCUGGAUAAUUCUUUUGAUAAAUUAUAGGUCAUUAGAGGAAGAGCUUCUUUUAUGUACAUAUUAUAGGUCAUCAAUAAUAUAAAUUUUACUAUGAUAAAUUACACAACAUCAUGAUCCACCUUAUUUCGUCAUUCUGUAAGAUAAUACUCCUAAAAUUCUUUUGAUCAAAAGUGCGAUUCUUCAAAUAGUCUAGAUAUUAGAGGGUUUUUGGACAAAUUAUAUUGUUAAUAUACUUUAUGGUUAUUCUUGAUGGACAAUAGGAUUAUGUUUCACUCAAUAAUAUUAUUGACUAACCACUACCAAGGAUCAAACCCUGGAUCGAUGAAACCAAGGUAUAAUUGUCCCCAGGGAUAAUGCAAAAAUAACCGAUACAGUUCGCAAGGCGGGUGUGACCGAUGGAUUUGAAGAAGGAACUCAUUUUUUACUGAUUCAGACCAUUUACCGGAAGAGCGGUAUGGUUCAGAAGAGGUACUCAUAAUAUAGAUAUCGUUUAACGAAUUCCCGAUCGAUUACCAAUUCAUUAAGCCUAGCUAUACCUCCUCAGGUUCCAGCCUACCUGUCAACCUGCUCUGACAUACCCUUCUAGCUCACUUGAAAGGAGAGUUGUUGCUACUGUAUGAAAGUCUCGAUUAAAUAAAGGGAUAAAAAGAAGGGCUGGCCCGUUAAAAGGACGCUUACUUUGCGAACGAAGUUCAGAAUCAACAAGGGUUCUCCGAACGAAGGGAGUGUACAACUGGGGUGCAGCCCAACUUUUUUGUUGGAGAUAUAGAAUGGAGUUCUUCACGAAGUUCGAGACAAAGGAAAAAAAAUCAAAGUUUCUCUAUAGCCUCUUCGUUUUGAGACAUUAUGGCUUUGGGGUCGACCCCGGUAACAAAAAAGGAAUCCAUAAGAACUUGGGAUCCAACACCAUGAUAAAAUACUACCCUCAUGAUUAGACCAUGUCCCUGAGAUUUGAUAAAAAAGGUGCAUUAGCGGUUAAUACGUUGUAAUUAGAUAAGUUAUUUGGAAUAUGACGGAACGAAAGACCAAGGAAAGGAAGAAGAUCCCAUGUCUUCUUCUCUUCCCUGAAUGAUCUUCGGAAAAACAUAGGAAUUAGGUCGAUGCUGCUCAAAGAAUAGCUCUGGAUACCUGUGUUUCCAAUACUGACUUCAAGAACAUAACGGUUCACUCCCUCCUAUGGAUAAGAAGUAGACAACUCGAUGUGAUGAUAGCCAUUUCUCAAUUUAGAAGGUAGAGCAAGUCCAAAGCAAAGCUGUCUUAAGUAGUGCCCCCACCCCAAUACUCGCUAGUUUCUCUGGUAUCCUGUACUUCCCAAAUAUAGCGCUCAUUAACCUGUGGAAGGAAAGCAAAGGUCUCAUCCGACGAAUUGACACUUGAUCGAUAUGCUUCUUUAACAAGAGCGGAACAUGUGGUUGGUCGACCUAUGAGAUACUGGAACAUCUCGUGGUCAACGAUGAGAAUUUGUUUUUGGAUCCUUCCUUUUUAGGGAAGAUGGUUAUAGAUCUUUCUCUUUCCCUAAAUCCAUGUUGGUUUGACUGUGGAUUCUAUUCAAUUAAUACUUUGACUAGUCGGAAGGGCAUGCUGGAAAAUUCCAUCGGUGCAGGAGCUUCUACGAUUGAUUGUUCGAAAGUCAAAGUCGUUUCGUUAAGUCAAUUGAAAGGUGGGUUUUAUCAGUAAUAAAAUGGAAAGGGGGAUGGGGGGAGGUGAGCCGGUUAUGCUUUAAGUGAGGAGACAGGAGCUCUCGAGCUUAGAUAAGUUCCCUUGGCCAGACAGAGGUCUAGGGGGAGUCCGGAUAGAGGACUCUUUUGACUGGUGAGCCCGCAGAUUAGGAAGGCGGCCUGCCAACUGCGCAAACAAAGCGACUCCUUUUUGGUGUAAGAUAGGUGUUGGUCCCAUUAGAAACUAAACAUAUCCUGACUCGCUUUCAUAAUAGAGGUACGCCAUUUUCGGGUUCCAUAGAAUAUCUAACCCAUUAAAGUUUCCUCUUAUAUAAAUUUUUUUCUUGGGAUCCAUAUAUAAUGACCAAUAUAUUGAAAUACCCAAGUUAAAUGUAAUAUCUUUUUUCCGUUUUCGUCUUUUGGAAAACAUGGUAGAUUUACCGGCACCCCAGCGUCGGUAGGGACCCAGAGAGCUACCUUCGCUUUUGGCGUUCCUUCAUAGAUCUACGGAUUUCACCCCUACACACGAAAUUCCACUCUCCUCUGUCUCACUCAAGUGAAUUGAUUUCGAGAGCAUUCUGCCACUUUUUGGCGACUUUCACUUUCAACCCGAUUCACCGCCUAUGUGCCCUUUACGCCCAGUCAUUCCGAAGAACACUUGCCCCCCCGUCUUACCGCGGCUGCUGGCACGGAGUUAGCUAGGGCUUCUUCCUCGAGUCCUGUCAUGAUCGCGCACUCGACGGAAGAGAUUUACAAGCGGCAUUGCCAUUCUUCACUCACGCGAUAUUGCUGGAUCGGGCUUUCGCCCAUUGUCCAAGAUUCCCCACUACUGCCCCCCGUGGGAGUCCGGGCCAUGUCUCAGUCCCAGUGUGGCUGAUCAUCCAAAAAGACCAGCUAAGCAUCAUUGGCUUGGUCAGCCUUUACCUGACCAACUACCUAAUACUACGCAGGCUCAUCAAACAUCGCUUUUGAGCUUUCUUCAGGAUUUGGCCCGAACUGUUCGGCAGAUUCCCACGCGUUACGCACCCGUUCGCCACUUUGUUCUCAACUAUUCUGAUUCCAGCAAACGGAGGCCGUUAGGUCAAAGCCGUAGCGCGCGCCCUGUAGUUUUGAAGCAGGGCGAGACAACUUUAGCUAGGUGCCUCUUUUCCUUCUGCCCAGCUCCCCGAAAACAACGUUCGACUUGCAUGUGUUAAGCAUAUAGCUAGCGUUCCUUCUAAGCCAGGAUCAAACUCAGAUUUUGACUAUGAUUAGGCGGGGACAUGAUUCGAACCUGCAGUCUUCAGGUCAUGAGCCUGAUGAGUUGACCAAUUCCUCUACCCGCUUCUUCCCCUGAUCUUUCUUUCCCUCUUCCCAUAAACAUUGAUUCUCUCUCCUAACCACUCUUAAAUAUGUGAAAUACACGGAAUCGAUCCAAAACUACAAGCAAGAGAAUCAACUUUUAUUGCCGUAAAGGAAAAAUAACCCCUUUCCUUUAUAUAUAUAUACAAGGAACAAGUAGCCUUCGCCACCUAUUCCUGAAUUAAGGGAACGCGAGAAAUCUUUCUCUAUGUCAAUUCAAAACAAAACAAACGGACGACUUAAUCCUAUAAACGAAAUUCUUUUGAGAAGAGCUUGCGCCUAUGCUUCUAUAAAAAUAACCUAUGUGGAACGGAUGCUUCUACUUGAUCAUCAUAGACCAGCAAAUCCAUUUGAGAGCUGUCUUUCUUUGAUACCAACUCCUCCAAGGCGGGUACUUUGAUCUGAUGACGUCUACUACGUGUUUGAUCCAUUAACACAAUGACAAGCGUUGGUACCUUCAGAGGUAUGCCACAGGGCUCACUACUCGGAUUAACACUUUCCAAACUAAAUAGCUGGGCAUCGACAGCGACAAUCAGCGGAUGAAGGAGUGGAUGAAAAGGGUACCUGAGUGCUUGCAUGCCUGGAUCACCCCAAUCCCUAUUAGUGAGUGAUCAAGCAAGGUCAAAAAGAAGAUCAAGCCCACGGCUAGGCAUAGUAUCAAGAGAUUGCUCGCCCGUCACAUGCCUAACGAAUCCAGAGAAACAAGAAAUGCAUGACCAAUUGAAGGGGUCGACUGCCCAAGGAGACUAAAAUAACUAUUAAGUAAGGAAGGAGGGGAUUUAGUCACACCCACACCUAGCCCUUGGAUGAAGUAGGGUAGUAGCUAAUGGGUCAAGUUUUGAUACUGGUUCCUCAAAACAGCCUUUUCACUCUAUGGGACAUUUAUGGAAUUUCUUCCAUCGGCAAGAGUACCUUUGUUUAUCAACUUUAAUGAUUUUUUAGUCCCUCGAUACUAACUAAUUAGUUAGGGGAGGUGCUUACUUUUUUAGUUAAGGAUCCAAAGAAACGGGUUUGGGGUAUCACAAGAUGAAAGCGGAAUGCCUGAAGCAUAGAGAAGUGAAGUACAGUAUGAAUAAGGAAUGGUGGCACACUGGCGAAUGCAAACUCUCAGCUGAUAGGGAAGAGGGGGGCGGCUAGCUAGGGCUUACCUCUGACUCCCUUUUACUCCAGCAUCUCAAAUAAUACUAUAAAAUAUGUGCUUGCAAUAAACAGAAGCUAAAGGAAGAAAAGCAAUAAAACUAAUUCACUUGCUUCUUGGGAUCGAUAAAUGGCUUUUUUUUCAUUUGGGACUGCCCUCUUCCAAGAGUUCAUCCACGAAAGGAAUGGGAUAUUUUUAUUAAUGGUAAGGCUAUUUAGGUUCCUGUAGUCUAUACACAAUCGCUAACUCCCACCCAUCCUACCUACAGGUAUAGGACUUGAAAAGGGAAAAGGGCUUGAGCUUGGCCUAAUCACAGCAGCUGCUAGCAUUUCAUCGACCAACUUUUCAAUGGCUGCCUUUUGAUCGUGCGAGUAUCUAUACGGUCUAAGAUUAAUCGGCUCAGCUCCCUCUAGAAGAGGUAUUACAUGAUCAUGGGUCUAGUGGUAACUCUUUUGGCUCAUUGAAAAUGUCAGAGUCUCGGGUAAGUAACUUAUUCAUACUGUUAGAUAUUCUGGUUUCUUUGCUAGUGGCAUUCACUGGAAAAGCUUGCACGAGCAUACAAAUCUCUCCUUGUUGUAACUGCACCCUUCCUCUUUCUACUGACCUCCUUGUCUGAUCCUGAAUUCCCUUUCAAACUACUUUCUUGCCUUCCUUGACCAAUGUUAUGGAUGGUGCACUGGUUGAUAAAAUAAUUGGCCCUUCCUUCUUAUAGCAACAAAAUCCAAUCCCCCCCUCAUACGAACCUACCUCCAUGACUUUCAUGUCAAACUGAAACUCCUUCCCUUGCAUUACCCAUAGCGUGCCAUCACAUUUGUGCUCACAAUACAUCUUAGCGCCAUUUGCUACUGCGAUUUCCAUAGGUUUAUACGGAGUUGAGUCGUAACCAGCCCGCUUCACAAUCUUUGGGGUCUACAAAACAGUGUGUGCUGCCACUAUCAACCAAGGCAAUCACUGGCACUCCGUUUACCUGGUAUCUCUGUCCAUAGUCGUCUCCAAUUUUGGAAGACUGAGACUUGCGACACAGCAGCAAUAUUAUUCAAAUAACAUGUCAUUCAAACGCAGCGCGCCUUGUUCAUUGCUCGUCACGUAAGUGAAUUUACGAAUAGGGAGCCCAGGUGCCCAACAAGUGAACUAUUUCCUCCUCCAGGAUUGUUGCUUUCCUUCUAUAGCCUCACGUAUGAAAAACGUGUGCCUUAUAGAGGGCUAGGCCACAAAUACAUAGCAUAGAUAACAAGGGUUUCACCAAAGUAGACGCUCAAGCGAAACAUUCCACUUAUCAAAGAAGGGAUACAGGUAUUUCAAGUUCAAGAAGUAGGCAUUGAUCCCAAAGAAUGUAGUGAAAAUCUAGGCUAGGAGGAAUGCGUCAAAGCCAAGGUCAGGCAAAAGGUUGCUGGAUCUUUAUGUUGGCCAAAAGUUAUUUCUUUUCAAUGAGGUUCAAUGUUCUCUAGAUUGCUUAGAAGUAGCCUACCUUACUCGAGCCAACUAGGAUCAGAAGGUGUUGAUAGGGCUAGACUUUCUCUCAUGGGCGUGACCAUAUUAAAUAAAGGGUCUUUUCAUCGCUUUGGUCUGGAGCCGAGUAAGGAAGGACUUUGCUAGGUUUGAACUCCAAAGUCAUUUACGCCCAGUAUUUCCUUUGAUUCUUAUAGCCUUCGUGUCAAGGAGAGAUGCGAGCGGUCCAAUUGCACAUCAAUAGCAGCUGCUUUUAUCUCCGCAUUCACUAAACGAAAUGCUGAACCCAUGUUGGUAAUUCCCUCUGUGCUCUACUGUCUUGAACUAUUUUCUUUAGUUGACAUGGAGGCUUUAGUGCCGCGUUCAAGCUAAAAGCUGUGAAAGCAAGUCAAGCAGUGCCAGAUGAUAAUAAAAUAGCGGCGCAUCCUUCUUUUGAAAAGUGACCAAACGGGACUUUUCAGCAUAGUAUCAGAUGCCUUAUUUUGUUAGUUAGGAUCUCCUUCUCACUCCAAAGUAUGGUUGGUGUAUACUCGGCCUUUCCCACUGUAGUUUGGAGUUCACCCUUUAUUUACACCGACCCAAUCUACAAUCAACAAAAUGUAAUUUUAUAAGAAAUAAAUCAAGCGAAAUGUGUGGAAAACAUGAAGUGGAGGUAUACGAUUGUUAGGACUUGGAGUUUUUAGUAAGAUAGGAUAUAAAACACGAUUCAAGCUAUGACUGUAAUAUCCCUUCAAUUAUAAGAAGAGAAUGCUAUUAUUCAUUAAAAAGCUAUUACAUUUAAAUAUAAUAAUCUUAUAUUAUAUGCCGUUAUUAUAUCCUUCUCCAUAAUUUACCUUUGAAGUAUUUAAAAGAAUAUCCCAUAUCGAACCAUAUUUGUCAUUUGCUUUUCGUUUUGAAAACUUGACUUAUCAGAGAGGGGCCAGGGGGCUGGAAGAGAAGAACUUGAAUACUAAACGCUGGAAGAGAAGAACCUUAAUACUAAACCAAGUUUUGGGAACUUCUUGGUGACUUGAUUGGUUCCCUUCCCCCAAUUUGCAAAGGAUGAUUCCCGUGAAGGUGAUCUCAAUCACCAUUCUAUGAUAUUUCUGGAUGCUUUUGAGAAGCUUUUCCUUUUACCUAAUGCCGGCUACCGACAACUUACUUCAUGCUAUUACUAACACUUAUGACUGAGCCGCACUUGCUUUCCAAAAGAAAUGGAAACUAUCAUGCUUGAGACUAGCCAAUAGAAGAAAGAGCCACAAGCAAGCCAUAGCAGCAUCCUUUUUCUUCGCUUUCUUCAACAAUGCGAAUCUACCUCACUCCUCAUCAUAACUCAAAUACAAAUUCGAGUUCCAAAUUGAUAUUUCCUCACGUAAGAAAUAAAAUGUGAAACCAAUAUUCAUCAUGAAACUUCAGACACUGAUGAAUGUGAGGUUCUGGAAGAGAGACGAUGUAGGCUGAAAAAAGUAAACAGAAAACCACCCCUUAAACUCAUUUGCUUAACAUUCUUUCCACAACAACUAGAAAAGUGGAGAAAAUCCAAUAAGGGGAGGUCCCAGUGAAUACAAAUCAAUUGGAAACCGAACCCCGCAUUCAUGUCUCUAACAAGGCUGUCUAAGCUAAGCGGCCAUGGACCCAUGGACCUGGGGAAUUUGAACCAUUAGGUAGAGUUUCAGCUGAAAGAAAACCAGGUCAAUCUUUUGAUCGCGAGUCUUUACAAGCUUGAAACAACUUAAGCACAGGCGGGAGUCGCCCCUUUUAAAGUCAGUAUUUAUGCGGCGCUGAACUAACGAGCGGAUACCUAACCUUCGAAGGAGAAGAAAAGACGGAUGUAUCUUUCAUUCAUAUCGAUCAGAUGUGCUUUGCUCAGGACUCCCAUUUUACCAUUGCUUAAGCCAUAUUACAUAAAGCAUAGUGAGUGAUACGCAAUGCUGGUACCACCAUGUUUUUUUCCUCAUUCUGUGUAGCCACACUCAUUUGUCCAUUUCUACUUAUUAUUUAUGUUAAAUAGUAUCCGUUGGUUGUAGAAGCACUGGCGUUCAGGGAUUGCAAAAUCCAUAAUAUCAAGAAGCGGUAGGAACUUGGCUAACUUCGAUGCGGAUAACGCGCUGUAGAAGAAAGUGGAUCAACCAAAGUAGACCUUGAUCGAAAGGCACCACAAGGUGAACCAAUAGAGUGUGGUGUAAGCGGUGAAGCAGGAUAGGAAUUGGAACUGCUUGAACUAGUAAGGGCUUCCGCUACCGCGCUACCUCAGGAGCUCCGGAAACGGUAUACUCGCUUCACUCAUCUGUAAUGGUAUCCUUGAAAGCUAGCUAAAGUGGGUUCUAGACAAAGUUCUCCUAAGCAGGGCGGAAGGAAAAACAAGAGCAGUAUAGCUCUACAUUACGCUUCGGGGGCCUCGUCUUACUCACUCACCUUCUACUAAUCGGACCGUGACAAAACAACCAGCCCAGCAAUAGGCAAGCACUGGCUGAAAUCCCUUUCCACAUCGUCCUUCUCUAUUGGGGGCUCAAUAUUAAUUAUAGACGGUUAAUAUUAUUCCGAAUUAAGUGUGCAGCCUUCACUCGCACAUUUUACUUCAAUCAAGUCAACACAUCUAUUUUUAUCGCCACCAGGUUUGAGAAUAAGGUGGGAUCCAAGAAUGUAGUGGCUGGUGAAUCACUGAUCAAAAAGCGGAUUUUUGAGAGAUUCUUCAUCGAUCUAGUGGCCGGUGAAUCACUAAUCAAAGAGCAAGCAGCCGCCAGGUUUAAUGAUCAUGGGUGAAGCAAUCGAUCAUCAAAAAGUUCUUUAUCAGCCGGCGGAAAGCAUGGUAAUUCAUUCAUUUCAUCGGAAAAGGAUCGAACUGGAGUCAUCGCAUCGUUUCUAGAUCUUCGAUACCUCUAUAUUCUAAAGAAUAGGUCCUAAAAUGGUCAAUCAAUUGUUUUCUCAACGGGAAUAGAGGAAAUGGCAAGGGUUUGAGUAUAGCGAGCAGAGGAAUAGUUUCCUUUAUCAAAAGAAGCCUAUCGACUUGGAAACAGAAGAUGUUGUAACUUAACUGCACCCUUCCUCUUCUGCUGAUCUUUACAACGCUAUGCACAUCUCCUCCUUAGUUUUGAAAAAGAAAAGGGCCUCUUUCCUUUUCCCAAUACUUGACCAAGAUUUUUGUUUAGUUCAGUUCCAGAUUAGGAAGCAAUAGAUGUUCUAUUGGCCGAGAAGGAAACCAGUAAGCAGAUUGAAGAGAUAGAUUGAAUAACAGGCAGAUUCCCCUCGUAACAGGCAUAUAAAUAAGUCCCAUUAAAUUGAUUGAUAGACUACGCAUCGAUGGUGUCGAGUCAAUCCUUGUAAGCUAAAUACUACAUAACCCUCCUUAGAGGGGGAACCUUAGAGGAAGAAUAAUAUUACUUAGAGGACGGAUGAUGGUACAUAGGCAAAUCCUCAAUCUGUAGAUGCUUUAGUGCCAGGCAGGCAGAGCCAGAGCCGCGUCGGGCAACGAACAACUCGUUUUUCGGAAGAUAGUUGCGUUGCAGGUAAAGCUAGCAGUAGUUGGAGCUAAAGCAAGCUAGCUAUAGGUGUUCGGAUAGUUGUGUUCAUAGAGGGUUUUCUCCCAGAAGACAUAUCGAUUACACACAAGAACCUAACUCUACUUCUUUUAUCCUCCUUACUGCUCCUUAUCUCAUUUCUCCUUUUAUUAGCACAUCACCUUGUACUCCUUUACAGAAGCUGUAUCGCUCAGAGCACAAAUCGUUUAAAUCGUUGUGCUCCUCACUGUUCAAGGGAGUUCUUGCCCUUCUCUGAUCGGGGAAGGUCAUUUAAAAACACUAGAUCAGCCCAUUUCAGUUGAAGAAAAAAAGUGAUCCACCUAGAAUAUAUGAUCGAUACCAAAAGAUUGGAUGUCAUUUCUCAACACCAGCUUCUCACCUGGAGGAGGGAAGGGAGAUAUGAGCAUAGCGAUAGCGGUAUCUUUUCCUCUUUUGAUAGAAGCCCACACGCCCACUCUUCUACCCCCCCGUACUACAGGGUAUCAGGGGCCUCAUGAUCUCCACGAACAGAGAUCACUACACAGGAAACAGCUAUAUGAAAAACUUGCUUGCUUCUUCGAAUCUCGAAAUAACAGAACAUAUAGAAAGUGUUUUUGUGAUUUUUCCAUUCUCUUCGGGGAACCUAUAGAAAGAUUAUCAGACGGCUUUCAUGAUAUUAUGCUUCCUUGCCCGUGUGGAACAUGUGUGAGCAUUAUGUUUUUCUAACAAGUGAUCCGACUGGAAGAAGUGUUAUAUGAGGACUUCGAGAUCAAAUAGAGAAUCUGUCUCUCCAUUCCUCGUGAGCCACUUAUUUCUCCGAAAUCAGAGAUCAGAGUGAUUUUCCUCCUUUUUCCCAAAUAGUCAACGGUCUUACACCAUUGGGAUACUUCGGAUAAACUGGAGUACAUAUAUGAGAGACUGGUGCUAAAACCUUUUCUCGAGAUAUCUUCCAGAUUCUUAGGGUCCUUGCUCCGGAUCUCGCCCCCCGGUGCAAAAGCAGUUGGUUCCGUAGUUUGAGAAUUCUACUAAUUCCAAGUAUUCCAUUAUUAUUAUUAAAUAAGAGAAUAUAAAAAGUAAAGAGGAGAAGACAUAACCAGAAGAAUUGUGAGAAAUAAGUUAAUUUAUCAAGUUGAGGCAUUUCGAUUUGGAUUUCAAAUAAGAAAAAAGGAUUUUGUGAAAUUUAGGAGUCGUUCGAAAGCAUCAAGAGGGAAGAACUCAGAUAGAAAGGUAGGCGAAGUUGGCGGCCAACCUAAUUCCCCUCCCAGUUCUACCCUUGUGCAUCCCCUUCGUAAACGAUUUCCACUGGAUCUGGAGAUUCCCCGGCCCCCCCCCCCCGAAUCAUCAUCUUCGGACCCCGAAUCAUCAUCCCACCUAUUACGCUUCCGCGAAGAAGAAGGGCCUGCCUCGUUCGACCCAUCAUUUGCUUUUGUGCUUUCAGGGGAUCCCGUGGAAUGAGCCUCCUGCUCUUCCAAAGGCGCAUCGGGGUCGGGAGAAUCCGGUUCACCGAGCUCGGCGUGGCGAAACCGCUGCGCCAGAUUGGUGGCUAUUGCGAUGAAUUCGCUUGCAUCCCCGGCUUCCGUAUAAUCGGAGAAGAUUUGUUGAAGAGUAUCUCCUCCCUCACUAUUCCACAAUACAUGAUUUUCAGUGAACGAUCACGCAGAUUCACCUUCCUCUAAAGGAAGAGGAGUGCCUACUUCGUGAAAUACUCUUUCAACCUUGGAAGUCAACUCUGCAAUUAUGUCUUCGGGAUGGGCGGCGUGCGCCAUUUCCUGCUGGAGGUUUGGUAGUCCGCCAACGGGAGGUUGGUCUAUGGGAAAGUCACCCUCAUUAGGAGCAUUGGUCAUGACAAUGAGACUGAGACCUACUUUUCGAAUUCUCAGAGGCUAUGAGAUCCACUUUCUUUUGGAAAAGAGAAGGGAGAAGCAGCAUUUCAACUGUGUGAGGAUGGACUCUAGACCCACUCGUUCUGAUUCUUUGGUUGCAAUUUCUCAAAAUGGAUCAUAAAGUUGAUCUUGUUUACUAACUCACUCUCGAAGUAGAAGUACCGGACCAGGUAACCAGAAGAUAAGGCCACUCGGCAAGACUGGACUAGUUUAACAUGGCUAUCUAGUGGAACACUAUAUAUAUAGGACUUGUAGAGCUUGAAAAAGCUUGUUUUGGUCUUUUUUUCUCUUUUCUGGGCACUGAACUUCAUAGACAGACUUACCAACUCAUGAGCCAAAGUAGCAAAUUUCUACUUCUUGGGAGGGGCGGACUCUACGUUGGUAGAUCGAACUUUCGUUUCUUCCUUCCAUUUCAUCUGUUCAAGUAGUCUCCUUUUCAAGUAGAUACGCUUUGAUACCAAACUGGUGUGCAUUCUAUGCUUACCCAGCGAGCGAAGGAGAGAGCCAAUUCCUCUGUUCCGGUAGAGCCAAUUCCUUUGGAGAAUUCUUUAAUUUCUUGUCUUUCCUCCAGUGAACAGAGUGGAAGACCAGGUAUCUUCGUAGUUGGCUCUGGAAUGAUUGCUUGCAGGAUUUCAUAUUUUCCAGUGAUCAGCUUAGUUGGAAGAGAUAGAUAGGAGAAGCGAAUGCCAGAUGUGCGGUGUGCCAAUCAAUCCAAUUUCAUGAGAUCGAGUCAAGAUAAGAAGGCAAAAUUCUUUGGAGUAAAGUCGCCUGGAAGAAAGAAUAGGAAUUGAUCUAGCUAUAGUAUAGAUAGAGUGUCAGAUGAAAUGCUUGACAAGGCAAGGAAACAGAAAUUCCACAUCCUCUGUUCACACUACCUGGAUUGGAAUUGGUUCUAUCGAGAUAUACUGACUUGAAACAGGAAUUUCUUGGUAACUGCUGCUUCUUUGAAGCAAGUGCUUUCGGGUUGGCUCUUCUGAUAUGUGUAUUUGCUACCCAUACGGAACAAUUUCAUUGAUGAAAGAUGGAUGGCUAUUCUCCACAUUUGCCAGCACAGUGCACUUUUUCUUCUAUUUCGUGAUUCCUUUCUUUCUGUCGCCAUUUGAAAAUGGAUUUCUCCUCCUGGUUUUAGUCACACACGUCUUUUCCACCUAGGAAGGAUGCCCCUUCCUAUUUUCUAAUUUUAGUCGAAAAUACGAUUCAUGUUAUUUGCUACAUAUUAGCUUUGUUUUGAGGAAUAGCUGCUUAUUAAAGUCAAACUACUUCUAGUUAAUAGCUUUGAUUGUCAUUAUGAUUUGAUCAGUGAUUAUAACUUGGCCAAAUACUAUAAUAAGUAUUCACAUACUGUUCUCAACAGCUCCAAUAUGAUGUAUUUAGCCGUUAAUUGCUGCAUUUUCUGGAGUACCGGCCAAAAACUGGCGGUUUUGGCAAGGCCUUGAACUUCAUAUAUCCCUUUUUUACUCAAUCCAGAAUACCGAGAAAGUCAGAUUGAAUCAUUUUGUUGACCUUUCCUUUGGAUUUAUUAUCAUAGGUAGUGUUCGAGAUUGCCUCUGUGCGGUGAAUGCUCGAAUGUAGCUAACAUCAGUUUUGUCCUCGCGUGGUUGAAGGAGAUGCUGCUGCUGGAUGGAAUGCUUCCGGGGCGCCAUGAUCCUUCUAUCAGGAAUAGAAUAAUCGAGGGCACUGACUGACUGCAUCAAUAAUCGCUUAGUGAGCUAUUAAUUGCCGCCAAUAGCGCUUCGCUUGCAUGCAAGGCGGCUAAUAAAAGCGCCAGGUAGACGCGCGGAGAUGCAUUUUGAGUACUAGUGGUACUGGACAAGCUCUAGGGGAAUAAUCUCUUUCUUAUUUCUUUCCCAUGACGACUAGGAACGGGCAAAUCAAGAAUUUCACUUUGAAUUCCGGACCUCAACAUCCUGCUGCUCAUGGUGUUUCACGAUCAGUAUUCGAAAUGAACGGAGAAGUGGUGGAACAUGCGGAACCACAUAUUGGAUCACUCCAGUGCGGCACGAAGCCGCUGACGCUGAGUAGGCUCCUAUGCUGCUAGCACGGUGGAGGUUUUGUAGCGCGUCAUGAGCACCGGGCAAAGGGACAAUUGGGCAACUCAAGCGAACUGCCCUACCUGACUUUGGAUAAAGAUAGAAGGGAGAAGGUUGUGAAGGUGGCCUCGUUAUCCACACAUCUGGUCGGAGGACCGACCUGGGUUUUCACGAGCGUAGGCGGGUCCUGGAGUGCCCGUCAAGGGCGCUAGCGCAUACCCCGGGGUGAUCAUCACCACCUGCACCUCACAUCUCGGCACAGUGGAACGUGUAACCCGCCUGCUGUCCAAGUCAACCACUGAAUUUCCUUUAAUUCAUAGCGCCUAACAGAACAUAGCAGCAAGGGACAACCCACCCAUACAGAAAGCCUACGGGGAGGAUGGCACUACUGGCAAAGACCGUCUGGCGAAAACGCCGCAGGCGCGAAGCGUGGUGGGCCUGCGCCAGGGGAGCAUAGGGAGGAAAGGGAGCCCGGACGAUGGAAGAGCCAGGGGAAGCCAGGUCAUUUGACGGAAAUGGAAGGUCCGAGUGGCUCAUUCAUUCUUGAAAAAAUAGGGGGGGGGGGAGCGAGCCAAUGUAUCAAUGAAUAGAUACAGUCAACGGUAUUAAGACAACGCUGCCUACACGCGAAUUAGCUAACGAGGUCGAGUAGUCUCAAUUUCACUACAGAAUUUGUGAAUGAAUGCUGGGCUGGGCCACCUCAAAUGGCGUGCGCCACAUGCGGGGAGACCCGCACGUACGGUUUUCAGGGGGAUCCGGCCGGCCGGUGCCCACCCGACUAGAGGGACUGAGAAAUUAAUCGAGUACAAAACUUAUCUUCAAGCUUUACCUUAUUUUGAUCGUUUAGAGGGCGAUCGCGGAGUCACUGAAUGAAGUCCUCCCUCCCUUUCUUUCGGAGGUGCUGACCCACUGCGAGGCAGAUAUGACUAAGUGACAUAUUGAAUAUGGCGACGACUAUAGCAUGUCGUAGAAGGAGAUAAGAGGUGGAUCCAACGACCCACUAAGACUCACGUAUCUACAACUACAUUUCCGAGCGGCAGUCAAACGGAGGCGUGAAUGCAAGAUGCCAGCGAAAUGAUUAACCGGACAGAGGCUAGGGCAGCUUUCUUCCCACCGUGUCCUUCCUUGUGUGUCGGAGAUACAAAGCGAGUGCACCUGAAAAUAAGGGGAACUGAAUCGAUCUAUUCCAUGGCGAAGCAUCCGAAGCAUAACUGCACACUCACACGAACUUUGCCGAGAGAUAGGAGCAUUCGGUGGAACCGGUGAACUACACUUGCUUCUUGAUAGAUGUGUGGACAGAGGGCUCGUGGUACCUGCCGCCCGCCCUUCCUCCGCUUUGAUAACUGUGUGAACGUAGAGUGGUCAGAGAAAAAGGGAAGGAGGUCCUCAUACGGAGUCGCACACUUGAGCAGUGCGAGAGACUGGAGAAUGGGUCGAGUAAACUCCCUUAGGGCCGAUUAAAUCACAGACGAGGAACUUUUCUUUCUUUUUUUCUUUUUGAUUUGAAGGGUAUGUUCUCAAAAAAGAAAGGCAGAGGUAAAUACUUCGAAGAGGUGGCUCGGUAGGGAUGGAAUGGUCAAUAGUCAAGUCAAGGAUGACUUCUUUGUUGGCGAAACGAUGGGGGAUAGAAAGCACGCCAGUGAUUCUCUGAGCCGGUCUUCAUUUCGAACGCCUCGGGAAAUAGGUCGAGAUAGAUGACAACACCUUUUUAUCCUCUUCCUUACUGGGAAGGCGCAUUCCUACUAAUGUAAUCUCCAUUACAGAUGGACAAAUAUUCUUAUCUGCGGAUCUAUUCCAUGCCAGAAUUCGACCCGCUAUUAAUGUGGGUAUUUCAGUUUCCAGAGUAGGAUCCGCGGCUCAAAUUAAAGCCAUGAAACAAGUAGCUGGCAAAUCCAAAUUGGAACUAGCUCAAUUUGCAGAGUGAACAUAAGCAUUGAACACCGACGGCUAGCCCAUACAUGCAAACACAAGAAAUCAAACCAAACAAAGACACUUAGCAUAGGAGUAUAUCGGAAUCAAACUAAGACAAAGAACACCUGACAUGAAAACAAAUGUCUCCAGACACUUAUUUAAUUUAAACCAACCUUAGAAAACUAAAAAGAGUCUACGGACUCUUCUAUUCUAGCGAGAUGCUAGACGAAUAAAGAGCACUUGCUGCUCCACCCGCAGCGCUUCCUGCCUCUCCUCCAAACCCUCUAUGCGCUCUCUGGUAGCGUGAAUGCGCGCUUCUUUCUUUGCAGGAUCCAUUGUUCUAACACUUGUCAACUGGUUGUUUAGCACUCUACGGUGCCCUUCAAUCUCAUUUUGCAGUUGCUCCAUUUCGGUAGCAAUUGCAGAAAGCCUGUUUGCGGUUGCAGCAUCCAUAGCAAUGCGUGCUAGUACUCAAUUUCUUUGUGAUGAAGUGAAGAUAUCUAUAUAGCAUUUAUAGAGUGGUAGAGUAAUAUCGCCAUGCAGUACGAAUUGCAUGGCUGCAUGCAGCCUUUAUGAACAAACAAACUUUGCAGAGCCGUUUCACCUAAUCGAUUCCGUCGGCGGAUCAUCCAUGUCACGAAUUGAAUGGUAGGCACAAUUCUUACUAGUUCUCCGCCCUACUUUUUUCAGUUGAAGACUAUCAGGCCUGGAAAUGGAAACUUUGGACCCGGGAGAUGGUUUGAUGUCUCGUACAUAGCCAGCCCAGGGCGCUGCCCAUAAGGGUCACUGUAUGUAGGUUUUCAGCUCUAAGGUCCCCACUCAUCACAAUCGUUGGCCCUCAUCCCGCAUUGGAGCAUAGCGUUUGUAUCUUUCGGUGUAUCAACAACAUAGGCACCUGAUAUAUUUGAACUUUAAACCAUAAGGGAAGUUUUCACAUAAGCAACCUUUCUCCCGUUAAAAGGUGGGUACCUUUCCCUUAAUCCUUCUCCCAUGCAUGCUAUUCUCCUGUUCCCUCGAAGGGCGGUAUCAAUACGGCAACCCGAAAGCUCGUUAUCAAAGUGGUCUCUUCUCAAAAGCUUAUCUGCCAGAUGAAAACAAGUUCGUAGUAACAGGUGGCCGUUGAGCUCCUAGUUUGACUGUUGGUGCCAGACUAGAAUGGAAGAAUGCCCAUAAUACUGAAAUGAAGAAGAAUACCUCACUAAUAAGAAAUAGAGCAACACCCAUUGUGCUUCCUUUCUUUUACUAGAGAGAUUAGUCCAAGCCUCUAAAUAUCUUGAGGGCUUUGUGUUGGAUCUGAUGGUUGAGCCUUUGUUCUUUGCGAGCCUUGCCUUUCUCUUUUUUGCUCUGCUGUAGAGUUCUUUGAUGGUCUAUCUUCGCACCUGGCGCUUCUGGCGCUUUCUUCCUUCCACCUUCCUCUUGUACUCGACUCUUCCCCGAUCACUCCCCAACAAAGGCUUGCUCGUCUUCGUCAUAGUCCAAACUAUUUCUCGUGUGACUGUGGUGCUUUCUUGAGCGAUGACUUGGGAGGGUUCCAGUCACCCCUACCCGGGCAGACAACCUCCCUCAUUCACAUCAGAAUUACACAUUUAGUUGAAGCGGAUUCAAAGAGCUCUAUCGAGCAAGGAAGGAGUUUUCCUAACUCGGAUUUCAACUCGGUGGGUUCCAACAGCUAACCUACACUUGAGAAGAACCAUAACCCGUGUCGUCUUGUUCUCAGCGGUGAGCAGUCUCUUUUUCAGUUCAUUACCAGGGAGCUACAAAUGACACUGAUCUAAUCUCAAAUUAGUCUAGCUGCCAUGAUCUUCCUGGUUGACUGAGCAACUUACAUUCAGGGAAAGUGUGGUAAGGCGGGUAGCCUUGCACUGGCCGUUAUCCCCGGGGGAUGAUUUUACUCGAUAGGAUCGUGGCACUUCGAAAGCUAGUCUAUCGAAUGUUUGUCGAAGCAAUUGUCGUACGUGCUGAGAUUCAUAGGUCAAGCUAUGUCAAUUCAAAACGGCCUAAGUUUGAAUGCAAUUCUAGAUCUGAAAUAGGAUCAGUUUCCGUACUUCUGUCUUUUUUAGAAAGUAAGGUCUGUAUCACAGAGUCUAAUUUCCUAACUCGGAUUUGAACUCGGUGGGUUCCAGCAGCUAGCCUACACUGGAGAAGAACCACAACCUAUGUCGUCUUGUUCUCAGCGGUGAGCGGUCUCUUUUUCAGUUCAUUACCAGGGAGCUACAGAUGACACUGAUCUAAUCUCAAAUUAGUCUAGCUGCCAUGAUCUUCCUGGUUGACUGAGCAACUUACAUUCAGGGAAAGUGUGGUAAGGCGGGUAGCCUUGCACUGGCCGUUAUCCCCAGGGGAUGAUUUUACUCGAUAGGAUCGUAGCACUUCGAAAGCUAGUCUAUCGAAUGUUUGUCGAAGCAACUGUCGUACGCGUUGAGAGUUCACAGGUCAAGCUAUGUCAAUUCAAAACGGCCUAAGUUUGAAUGCAAUUCUAGAUCUGAAAUAGGAUCAGUUUCCGUACUUCUGUCUUUUUCAGAAAGUAAGGUCUGCCGGUUUGCAACUCCGAAGCUGAAAAGGAAAAGUAAAUAAGUGCAUUUGGCCAUUGUGUUUUUCCAACUUUCGUAAUAGAUCUGGGCAUGCAUGGUUUUCAAUAGAUAACCCUAGGCCUUCUUCGUUUCCCCACGGGCAUUCACUUCUCUUCAAGCUCGGGAUUAGCAAACAUGGAUCCGACGCCCAUCUCUUUUUCCACUUUGCAAGGCUGAGAGACUUUACCAAUUGAGAAAAACACUCUUGAUCCUUACAUCACAUCUUUACUAUGACUAAAAAGUGCCGGAAGGAGAAAGUCAAAGAAGGACUCGAAACUUGCAGAUAAUGAAUAUAAAGAUGAAAGAUUGAAUGCUUUAUCAGAGAUAGAUUUUGACUUGGGCUUGAACAAAGCCAUUCUUCGCCUUUCUUCGCUAGUUCGCUUAAGUACAUAGGUUAUGGCAAUACAACAUUCUAUCUUUUGCUUAGGCUUGAAACACUUAUUUUCUUAUUAUCUUUUUUAUUUUCUUUCGCCCUAGGCAAUCUCUUUGCUUGCUGACAUAAACUUUCAACAUAGAUCAAGUUGUUUUUUAGGAGUUUUACCUCUUCUUACUUCUUGACAUCAAAAAGACAAGCGCUUACCUCCUUCCUAGCAACCUACAUAUCUGUCUGCUCAAAGCACAUUCAAAGUAUGGUUGACUAUUCCUCCUUUACGUAUCUCAGCCAAAGCCUACUUUAUUCUCUGCAAGCCAGGUAGUUAAGGAAUUAAUUAACUAAUUUGAUUGGUGGUAGGCUCCGAAGAAAGCUUAUGGAUUCAGCACUUUGCUAUAAGAAAGAAGCAUGGUUGUCCGACAAAACUAGAGUUUUAAGUAAGCAAGAGAUUGAUUGCGUGGUAGGAAAGAAAGGAAACUACCAAGCGAGGGAUUGUUUGCAUAUUAUAUACUUAUUAACUUCCGGUCAGUAAAGUACUAGUUUUUUAGUUAGUAGUGUGCAAUACUGUUUAAGAAAUGCAUGCAAUCUAAGACUUAUGAAAACGCAUACUUGAGUCAAACUACACUAGAAUAGUCAGUGAAAAACUACACUGAAUUAGAAAGGUCUUUUCCUUGAAAGAAUAGGUUUUUUGCAUCAAGAGGCUGUGAGGAAAUAACCACACAAUCAGGUUGUUGGUUCAACCCAAAAUUGAUCUUCUUCUUUCUUGAACGGAAUUUUUUUAUUUGCAAAAGAAUUGGUCAAAAACGCCCCGAUCUUCCAUUGAGAAUCAUCAAAACAAUGAGAAUUCACAUUUGUUAAAUAGCUUCUUAAAUAGCUUGCCAUUUCUUCCAUUAUCUCAUAAAUAAAUAAAUGAUUGGUCUUUAAAAAGAAGGAACGACCUUUUUGACGACUGGGAGAUCCUAUAAAAUAAAGAGCGUUUCGUAAACAAAUCAGUGUCUUGUCUGAAUCGAGAAUAGCAAUUCCAUUUCUUGAACCACAGAUAUAGACUUUGAAAUGGUGAUCAGCUACCCGACGGCCGAGAUGUGCAUCGUACAAAGUAAUUUAGUACAGACUAUCGAAAGCAUUGUCAUUUUGCGAUUUGAGUUUCGGAGAUAUAGGUGGUAAGUUAUGGGUAAUGCGGGGGAACUUUAAGACGAGAUAGAAUACCUAAUAUGGGAGUGGUUUAAGUGAGAGAAUAGCUCCCUUACCAAACCAACUGAGCUAUUUGCCAUGUUUUUGACAAAUGACCUAACUUUGAUGUGAUGUGCCCGGCUAGCCCGGAUCAUUCUUAGAGCAGUCGAGGUUACCGGAAUUAUGGCAUCCCGUACAAGAACUGGCACUAUUGUAACUCGCUAUGGGCCUCCUGCCUUCUCAAAAGAAACUGGCUUUUGAAGAAAUUACUCUAUUUUACGCAUUUAGUUGAAGCGGAUUCAAAGAGCUCUAUCGAGCAAGGAAGGAGUGCCAUGCACGAGCGGAGCGAAAACUAAGCAAGGGGAAUUCCGUCAUUCCAUGGAAAGCAUGCGAAAUCCUUUGAUUGUUUAUAGAAUCAAAAUAACUAUAUAGUCUUUCUUGUUCCACUUGCAAGGCAAGGAAAAUAAAAUGUCAGUUUCGUUAUUACAACCUUAUUUUUUUAUGUCAAAGACAAAAAGCUACGCGCAAAUUCUCAUUGGAUCUUGGUUGUUCUUAACAGCGAUGGCUAUUCAUUUAAGUCUUUGGGUAGCACCACCAGAUCUUCAACAAGGUGGAAAUUCUCGUAUUUCAUAUGUACAUGUUCCUGCGGCUCGGAUGAGUAUAGUUAUUUCUAUCGCGACAGCUAUAAACAGUUCCUUGUUCCCAUUAACAAAGCAUCCCAUUUUUCUUCGCUCUUCCGGAACCGGUACAGAAAUUGGUGCUUUUUCUACUUUGUUUACGUUAGUGACUGGGGGGUUUCGGGGAAGGCCUAUGUGGGGUACCUUUCGGGUGUGGGAUGCUCGUUUAACUUCUGUAUUCAUCUUGUUCCUUAUUUACCUGGGUGCACUGCGUUUUCAAAAGCUUCCUGUCGAACCGGCUCCUAUUUCAAUCCAUGCUGGACCGAUCGAUAUACCAAUAAUAAAGUCUCCAGUCAACUAGUGGAAUACAUCGCAUCAACCUGGGAGCAUUAGCCGAUCUGAUACAUCAAUACAUGUUCCUAUGCCCAUUCCAAUCUUGUCUAACUUUGCUAACUUCCCCUUCUCUACCCGUAUCUUGUUCGUUCUGGAAACACGUCUUCCUAUUCCAUCUUUUCCCGAAUCUCCCUUAACGGAAGAAAUAGAAGCUCGAGAAGGAAUACCACUAAAAACCUAGUUCGCUCUCAAAUAAAAACCUAGUUCACUCGCUAAAGCAUCCAUGGCUGAAUGGUGAAAGCGCCCACCAACCUAGAAAGGCAAAAUGGGUCAAAAAGUAGGUUCGAUUCCUGCCGGAUGCACUGCCUCUUAAAGACAGAAACAGAGGAGGGAAAGAAGGUAGUAUAGGGAACUUGCUUUUGGGUUCUUAUCGAAAGUGAAUCCCUCUAACACUUCUGUUAGUGUUUUAUGAGAAAAUCUUUUAUAGACACAACAAGUGUGAAAAUCCUUAGUCACUAGGCAAGAAAGCUCGAUGGGAACAAAAAGGAUAUAAUUAGUUCAUAAUCAAAAAAUGUAAAAUUUCAAAGGAAAGAAGGAAUGGCAAGUUUCCCUCCAUUGAACAUCAAUCAAUCUAGAAAUAGGUAAAGGAAGACGUAUCACAGGGGUAUUUUGCUUUUUUUCUAUUCACUUCCGCGGGGUUCUAAAUUGAAAACAUGAACACAAACGAAAUCGUAUUGAAAUUACAUAAAAAAAGAAAAGGGAGUAGUAGCUCUUGGUUUAAAGAAAAGGGAGGAGAUGGAUCGAAUUCAGUCUUUUUCCUUUCUUUGAUGAUCUUCAACACAUCUAUUUGAAUUCCCUGUGAGUGAAGGAUUUCUCGUAUGGAGAAAAACCUCUUGAGCGCUAUCUGAUCUUAUUUUUGUAUUUCAAAUAUGGGACCUGCCUUUUUAAUGGGACAUCCUGGCAACAGGCCUAUCUCAUGCAUGUGUCCAAGUACUCGACCAAUCCUCGGAGCGAAGGGAUGAAUGAAUUCUCGAGGUCUGGUUCAUUGAGGUCAGCAUCACAUGAAACCUUUAGCACUUCCGUUUGAUAUUGAAUGGAGUAUGGCUGGAAGGUCAGCCUAGCUAGUCUUGUCAAUCGGCCCUGACUCGUCCUCUCCUUGGUACCUACCGCUAUUGAACUUUGGUACCUAUAUUCCUGAAACAAGACAGACCUUCAUGAAGACCUUCUAUUUUGGAAUAAGAUCGGACAUUUCCACAUUGAGGUGAAAUUACAUAUGAGGAAAAUAAUCCUAGACUACGAAAGCUGCCCUUGUGUGGUAGAACCAGGUCUUCCAUCGGGCGGUCAGCCAAGUACUAAAGCCCCUAUCUUGAUAUAGAAUAGAAGUGAGUUCACACUAAAAAUAGAAGAAGCCCUAUGAUUUUGGAGCCCUGCUAUCAAUCACUUCGGUAAAGGGAUCGAAAGAUUAUGGUCUAAAAUAGAGAUUUGAGAGUCCCUCGUGUGAGUACAUGCUGAAGAGCAAGGAGUGAAAGUGUGUUCAUCUUUCUUUCUGCUAGUUGUUUCCUGCUAAUAGUGAAUAGUGAGUGCCCCAUACAUAGCCAAUGUCCGCCCGUGUUCACAUCCAGUCUUCUCUGUACACUAGUGCAGCUUCCAGCUCUAUGCUAUGUAUGGUAGUCGUUUGACUCAGGAAUCCCUGAUAAAAGCUUUUAGUCCGUGCCUGGCAGUUUCAGCCGUGGUCCAGUCCAGCAGCCUCUUUUCGAUCCAAGAGUCGCAUGAGAAGAAAGCUUCCGGUUAGCUUCAGUUAGUAUUAGUUAAAUAGAACAGGAACCUCGUAACUAUGCCAAGCUCGAUCUUGGUUCCAAUGCUGCAGAGAAAGGUUAUGGGUAAAAAGAAGGUCUUUAUCCUGGUGCUGCGGAGACCGGUGUUGCUGAUCAAACUCAUUUUCUUUCGAGGAGAUCAGAAAUCUAUGAAUUUCUGCGAAACGAAUUUACAUAUUUAUUGCGAGGGGCUUUGAAAAGCGAAAGGAUGAAGACUGAUUUAGAUCCUCUGAAAGCGCAGGAAGUAUGCCUUUUGAGCUUUUUCUCCACCCACCUCUGAGCAUCCUAUUGGAAUGGUCCGAGGAAAGACUACGUACGAGAAAUCAUUCUCAUAGCCAACUUUCCUUCUUCUGAGCAAAUAAUUGUAGUAUUUAGUCCAACCAAUCAUUGGUGAAUCUAUGUCUUUCGUGAAAAGUGGAGUAUUUGUGCCCAAGAUCUUUCUGUUCCCUUUAGUAGGUGCACACAUCUCGUAUGGUAAAUAUACCUUUGUGCCCUAUAAGGUAAGAUUGAUUCCGCCUAGGAGGGCCAACCGAGCGAAGCUCUUUUUUUUGCCGUGCCGUGAAGUGCAAUUUUCUCUUAUGUGUUUUAGAGAGGUUGUCGAAAAAAGACGAUCUAUAGAGAUUCCCCAUCUAUAUCCAAUCGAGAAUAGAAGCGAGUCGCUUCCGGCGUCGGCUUGUAGUCUCUGCAGUCGGCACACGCACGCGCCCGCCAUCAUGCCUCCUUGGUUCAGGACGAAGCCAAGCGAGACAUACGAUAGACGAAGGAAGCGCCCACCCAGCAGGAGGGCUAAAACCUGUAGUUUUGAAGUUCCAAACUCCAGCUUCGAAGCUGGAGUGCUUUAGCCCUUUUUAAGCAAGAAUCACCGUCUUGAGCGCCUUGCGCGCUCAAGAACAAGCAAGGGAUGAGCGCUUUGUUGCUAAAGCGGAUAUGUUUUCUUGCUGGGGAAGGCUAGUUUGAUCGAGGAUUGGAGAGGAGGGAUAGGUGGAAUAAAAAAGCUCGGGAUGGAUUUUGGAGUCUUUCUGCGAGCCGUGUGAGCUAGCUAAAGAUCCAUCGUUAUCCUUUCCAGCAAUGGAGGCGGAAUCAAUGGUCAUGUCAGGUUUCAGAUUCAAAGAGAGAUGUCAAGCAAGCGCCGAAUCUGAGUACUCAACUUGCCCGACCCGCCUCUUCCACUAGACCUCGUCUUUUGAAGAGCAGCAACCCUACAAGCCUAAUAGAACCUUGUUUCCCUAUUACUAACUUUUGCUUUGAGCGUCGCACUCCAGUGGCUUUCUUUCCUAUGGCUUGGAUGGGGGUCCUCAACAAGAUCUAUAUCAGUGUCAUUAUUUACUUAUUUAGACGAUAGAUGAUGAUAGAGAGCAGACUGGCUCUGAGGAAGAAUAUCUUAAGUAGUUGAAUCCGCUCCGCUAGGUUAAAUUGUAUGAUCUGAAUGUAAGAGGACUGCUGCUGGUGACACAAUUUCUUUUUGGUCUGAAGAAUGAACUUAGAGCUACAGUGGAAGUGCACAUGCCUAACUCAAUUAGUGAAGCUGCAUCUUUUGCUCAAUCAAGUGCGGGAAGGAGUUUUGGAGAGAGGCAGGCACUACAUGAACAAGAAGGACAGUAACUAGAAUUAGAAGUCAGUUGCCCCGCAGCAGCAAGGCUAUGUCUCAGUCAAAGUUCGACAGGGGGCAAAACAGUUGCUGUCCUAAUAGAAGUUCAUGUCGAUCCAGCCAAGCCAGUGCCAUCAUUAGAAAGUCCGGCCAUUUUAGUUUCAGCCAGUUCAAGUUAGGGCAAGGAGGAAAGGAAGAGAGUAAUGCAAGGAUGUAAAGAAUGAGGCGCUAGAACAGACUGGCCCGCGGGCUUCCAACCUGACACCGCUUUGCUACUUUUCGAAAGAGGAAGAGAAGUUGCUUGUACGAGACUGCGCCUCCCAGCUGGAAACUCCAAUGGCAUUUUCGGUAAAUGAAAGCAAAGCGAAGCUUUACGACCAAGAAGAGAUAAGCAUAUUUUAUGAAUGAUAGAAGGAGUGCUCCCCGAGCACAGGCUCGCUUGGAAGGAUAGAUCACUUGAGGGAACGAACGAGGAAGACCGAUCCCAAAUAAAUAGAGUUUCCGAUGUUAGGAGGAAUUCCCUUUAAUAGGGAAAGCUUAGAUCGGUACCUCUGGCAUCGGUACCUUGACUAAGCGCCCUGGGCGACCAGACUCGACAAGGGUAAGAUCCCAAAUCUGUUCCUUUCCUGUUGUAAAGUCUGCACCCUUAGAGGUGGCAUCCCUUUACGCAUGAGCCUUGUUAGUGCAUGUCUCAGUCCCUUGAGACAUGCUCAGUCCUAUGUUAGGAAACCAAAUAGUGUAAUUAGCUUCCCCCUCUAUUCCCGGCCAUCGUAUGGACGAGGGCUCCUCUCCCUCUGCUCUGCUGCCCGGAAAGGUAUAUAUAUACUUAAAUUAGGAAUUGAAAAUGCUUGGGCUUGCCUUAUUCUCUCAUUUAAGUCCUUCAAUUCCCUUAUCCAGAAUGGAGAGGGAUGUUGUUGAAGGGAAGGAACGGAGGUAGAUCGUUCCUCAGAACGUAGGAGAACAGGACCCACGAAUCAGCUCUAGUCAGGAAAGCCAGGGCUCUGAGCUCUUAUCCCUUCAUGGGUAAGAGCGAAACCCGCAGUCCAGGGUUCUAGGCUGCUUAAGUAGAGUUAGCAGCCGUAUGCCCCGCAUAGGGGAGACAUGGACUUUAGUCCGUAUCAACCCAGUGCCGCAGGACUGUUCCUAGCCUCGAGGAGUGAAUCCGAGAGGCGUGACUGGAGCAACUGAGUGGGUACUGGGAACCGUAGAGAUGAGGAUAGAUCUACCGGGGAGGGGGAAACAAGAUCUCACGGAGUGGAGCCCACUCCUCUAGUCCUGUCUUGAGCUUAGCUUUCUUUUCCGUUGAAUUAGUUUCCUGUUUGAAUCUUCCUUUUCAAAUAGUUGGCAAAGCUAGACUUGAUCUAUUGAAUAGGUCUAGCUUGCGCCUUCUAUUCCUUUUGGAAGGGGGCUCGGGAGAAACCUUUUAUCGGAAAAAAGAGCUGAGUCAACUUGCCCAAAUUUUCAAUUCACGAAAUUCAUGUGACUAAAAUAUCAGAACAGAUGCUUCUAGGAAUUGGUACAGCUGAAAUUUCUCGCACCACCUCAUCAGGGAGAAAGAAAGCUAAUAAACUAAGAUGCCAAUCCCUAUUAGGAAUGAGAUAGUGGGAGAGAGACAAACCUUCCAACAUCUUUGACAUGUUCAUAGGAAUAGGCCUUCUAUUCAAUGCAGUCCCACCGAGCCAAGGGUCUUAUAAUUAAGCAAGCCCUCGAGAGGGCUUAGUUGAUCAUGAUUUCUGUUUUCUCUUUCUUUUCCUUUUUGUUUCGAGAAAGAUAUCGUUCGAUUCUCCUUCUAUUGAUUCUUUUCCGAUCGAGAUGUACGGAUCCAUGUGUCUACAUACAUAGAUUCUGUUCAUGGAUUAACGAAAAUGUGCAAGAGCUCUAUUUGCCUCUACCAUUCUAUGAGUCGCUUCCUUUUUGCGUAUGGCACCCCCACUCCCUUUGGCAGCAUCUACUAAUUCGGAACUUAAUUUGAAAGCCAUAUUUCGACCCGGACACUUUUGGGAUGCUUCUAAUAACCAACGAAUGGCAAGUGCUCUUCCUUGUUUAGAUCCUAUUUCAAUCGGAACUUUCCGCGUCGAUCCUUUUUUAUUACGUCUUGUUUUUACUCCUAUAUUGGGAGUUACUCUACGUAUUGCUUGACGUAAAACCAAUAGUGGAUUUGUUUUUGUCUUUUUUUGAAUCUUUUUCACGAACUAGCAACAAGGAGCUUUUCCAAGCAGAUCUCCCUGUUCAGAAAAGGGCAGGAAACAGUGGGUUUUCCCGAGCGACCGAUCCUAUCUGUGGUCCAACAGCUUGAUUUCAUCAAAUUAAGGAAGCCAAAAAAAAAGCAAAACCGAAGGAGAGACUUGUUUUAUGAGCAAGAACGAGGGAGGCCCCUUCGAGACCCUACCUAUCGAAGCCUUGUUUUAACAAGGGAGUUAGCCGGGGCUUCUUCCUCGAGUCCUGUCAUGAUCCCGCACUCGACGAAAGAGCUUUGCUCAAUUCAUUCGAUUUCGAAAUAGUGUAUAAAGUGAUUCUUGCAAUUUCACUGCAGGCAGCGUAGCAAUUCUCGCGGGAAUCUCGGUCUUGUUUGGGCCGAUUCCUUAACGAGAGCCUAGUCGAAAGCGCCCAUAAAAAGAGUAAAUCGUUUUUGGUAUGGGUAUGCUGGCCCCUACGAGGGGCGGUAAGCAAGGUAGAGACCAGGGAGCAGGACUCACGACUCUAUUAGAAAGUAGAAUGACCAACUUUUACACGAAUUUUCAAGUGGAUGAGAUCGGUCGAGUGGUCUCAGUUGGAGAUGGGAUUGCACGUGUUUAUGGAUUGAACGAGAUUCAAGCAGGAGAAAUGGUGGAAUUUUCCAGCGGUGUGAAAGGAAUCGCCUUAAAUCUUGAGAAUGAGAAUGUAGGUAUUGUUGUCUUUGGUAGUGAUACCGCUAUUAAAGAAGGAGAUCUUGUCAAGCGCACUCGAUCUAUUGUGGAUGCUCCUGCGGGAAAGGCCAUGUUAGGCCGUGUGGUCGACGCCUUGGGAGUACCUAUGGAUGGAAAAGGGGCUCUAAGCAAUCACGAACGAAGACGUGUCGAAGUGAAAGCCCCAGGGAUUAUUGAACGUAAAUCUGUGCACGAACCCAUGCAAACAGGCUUAAAAGCAGUGGAUAGCCUAGUUCCUAUAGGCCGUGGUCAACGAGAACUUAUAAUCGGGGACAGACAAACUGGAAAAACUGCAAUAGCUAUCGAUACUAUAUUAAACCUGAAAAUCCUUGAUUUAGUUUCGAGUAAUAAACUAAUAAAACCUUAAUCAAAACUAUUCAACUAGCCUAAACAAACCUUCAAUGGAAGAGUUUACUUUUUUUUUUGCAAAAUUUCUGUAAAUUUGAAGUUGAACUUAAUUAAACAAGCCAAGCAAUUCUAUUUGCUCACAAUCACAAGAAAUUUGUCCCCCGCCAUAUUUUCUUCCCCUCUGUUUGUCCACUACCUCGGCUAAACCUAAGCAAAAGAAAAAGAGGUCCAAGAGACAGACCCGAAUAAAGAAGAAUUAGUAAUCUUUGACGAAUUAGGAAGAAAAAGGAUUCUUAUUUUGAUACAAGAAGAAUCGGCACAAGAAAAAGCCACCCGGAGAAGAUUUCUUUUCUUUGCUGAUUCCUCUCAAUGAAAUUUGCCAUGUUGCACUAAGUUACUUACGGAUGUAUGCAUGGAGUCCGGGAACACUUUGGGGUGAACACCCAUCCGAACAAGUAGGGUCAAUAGUUCAGCAUUUAGGCCGUAACAUUUAGCAAAAAAUGAAUCUGAAACCCAACAAGUGCUCUCCGAACCAAGCUAGAUAGUCUCCUAUCACUAGGCUCACCAACCAACCUGGACUUUGAUUCUUUCUUAUUAUUCUAACCGGAUAUAAAAACCAUAAGGAUUGUUUCCAGCCGAGAGUUCCCAUAUGACAUAAGCGCUCUUGGGUGGGGUGGGCCCUCAUUCGCCAGGUCUUUGAGUGCCCGUCGUACCACGUGGUUGGUACACUAGGCUGAUAGAUACUUUACUUUAAGGAUCUGGCUCCUUCGCUAGAUGGAGAGUAAGCGACUUCUAUUAGCACCGGACCGUCGAGUCGAAUUUCUCGUGUCAUGUGCAACGUCCAUCAAUGGUGGUUCAUUAAUGUCCAUAGAUUUAGACUCCUUCCCCCUUCCCUUAUACGCAAAAGAUCGAGAGGGGCCCGAACCCAAACCAAGAACGUAAACAGAAUUCGACUCACUCUCGUAUGGCUCGCCCUCGAGCCCUGGGCGAGUCGGCCGGGUCUUUCCCUCUUGUUCUGUUUCCACCACGAUAAAGACGCACGGAAGAACUAUGGUAUGCCCAGCGCGUGGAGGAUCCGUUGAGAGUGUCCCUUGUCUCGGUAGGGAACAGUACCUAUUGUCUUGAAAAAAAAGGUCAGUGCUACGGUCCCCUAUUGUUUGAUCCAAUAUUGACCGGUGCGGAUCAUGUUCUACUACCUCCGGUCCGUGGUUCGACCUCCCGUAGUGGUCCUUGCUUUUCUUUUUGAAAGCUCCGCAGGGCCAAUUUUGCGUACUUGCUCAGUGUGCCCCCCUUUCGUGGAGUGCCCCGCCCGGUUCACACGGCUGUUGGCCUACCAAGCAAGCACUUGCCCGCUGCUCCUGCCGCCUGCCAAGUGGGAUCCACGCUUGUUAUCCUGACUGUUCUCUCUACUAGGCCCUUUCCUAUUGCUCUAACCAUAAGCUAUGGCAAUUCCAGCUCGCACCCACUCUGGCCCGCCCAGCGGGGCCUGAGUGAGCUCAGUGGUCGGCCCCUGACGUUAGGGGUCUUUCGCUUUUGCCAGAUCUAUAGAGAUAUUACGAGUCCUCUGUCCCAGAUUCCCUCGCCGCGGCCAUCUGGUUCACCGGUACUACCAAAAGGUCUCAUGCUUACGUUACUGUGACUGAUAUAUAAGUAUGAUCUCGGACUAUGAAGACCCAGUCGUGCUUCUGGUUUCCAUUCUCAUCAUCAUAUUAAAGGAAACUCCUCGUGCUCUGCCAUAAGAACUUGGAGUCCGUAUCAUGGUGAAGGUAAGGUAACGCUGUGAUUCUUGCUCAAAAAACUGACCGAACGCGUUCGAGUUAUUGGCUCGUCCGACCCGGCAGCAUUCAUGAGUCGCUCGUUCAACUAUCCCUCGGAGACACAGUCGAGAAGUGCCAUGCAUGGUCGCCCCCCGUCCUUUCUUUCUCUCGGUCCCACCAGGGUGGGCCCCUCUGGGGUAAUAAAGAAAUGGAUAAAAAAAGGGGACUUCUGCUACGGGCUAUGCCACCCAUUACUUAUGAGGCAAGUCGCAUCCAUCUCAUCGCAAGCACCUACAAUGUCAUGAUCACAUUGGUUUACAAGUGAAAGAAAGAGAUCGCAAUGGUCUAAGAUAUAGUCAGUGAACAAUAACUCAGAUCUGAUGUCGGAUCGAAACAAAAAUGCAAAAAGACAACACAAACGUAAAAGAUCGAACUCUAAUUUAGUUACUGAGUGAGAUGUUUUGCUACCUACAAAAAGUUGGUUCUUCCCCUACAACCCCUAGCCCUCCAAGGCAGUACUCUUCAUCGAAUUUGAACGACUAAUCACUGAUCAAAAGGCAAAAUGCUCUAUUAACUAAUAAUAGGUUAAAUGUAAUAGCUUUUUAAUGAAUAAUAAUACGAAGGAUAUAAUAACCAGAUAUAAGUGAAUUACAUUCACCGUUGAUUAAGAAUUCUGAUUAAUAACAUUAUCCUUGAGAGUAAACGAACAGGUUAAUAUCUUUCUUCAAUGGAUACAUAAUAUAUUAUAACUCCAGAUCAAGUUAUGGAGAAAUCCUUCACUCGCAGGGAAUUCAAAUAGAUGUGUUGAAGAUCAUCAAAGAAAGGAAAAAGACUGAAUUCGAUCCAUCUCCUCCCUUUUCUUUAAACCAAGAGCUACUCCUCCCUUUUCUUUUUUUAUGUAAUUUCAAUAUGAUUUCAUUUGUGUUCAUGUUUUCAAUUUAGAACCCCACGGAAGUGAAUAGGAAAAAGCAAAAUACCCCUUUGAUACGCCUUCCUUUACCUAUUUCUAGAUUGAUUGAUGUUCAAUGGAGGGAAACUUGCCAUUCCUUCUUUCCUUUGAAAUUGUACAUUUUUUGAUUAUGAACUAAUUGUAUCCUUUUUGUUCCCAUCGAGCUUUCUUGCCUAGUGACUAAGGAUUUUCACACUUGUUGUGUCUAUAAAAGAUUUUCUCAUAAAACACUAACAGAAGUGUUAGAGGGAUUCACUUUCGAUAAGAAUCCAAAAGCAAGUUCCCUAUACUACCUUCUUUCCCUCCUCUGUUUCUGUCUUUAAGAGGCAGUGCAUCAGGCAGGAAUAGAACCUACUUUUUGACCCAUUUUGCCUCGCUAGCUUUGAGCUUGUAUGUACCAGUAAUCAAACCUAGAAUCUCAUUUCCCAUUGCUUUCAUCGCAUAGAGCCAGCUGCCGCAUCCACAGGCCUAUUUAGUAAGUGGGGUGUAUCCUUGGUGACACUUGAGAAAUAAUCCUAUACUUCCAAUAACCCACUACUUCCUCCACGGAUGGUACAUGGCAAGCAUCUGCCGGAACUAGAGGCGAGAACUUUUCAAUCAAUUACGAGAGGCAUUCGCUUCUCUGAGGUGAGGGGUACGAUUGUGGAAGAUCCCGUGGAGGCAGGGGUUGGAGAUGUGAUGCAAGGGUGCGGGGAAUUGGGUGGAAGGACAGUUGUUAAUGUGGAGUCAGGACGGGCGUGAGGCAAGAAGUGGAGGGAAGUGGGAUCUAGAUUAGAAGAGAUAAAUACGAUAUUGCUGAUACCCGCAGACGAUCCCUAGCCUAGCUUGGCAAUCCCUUGAAAAUGCAAUGCAUUUUCCCUUGAGAUGAAAUUGCUUUUUCGAUGGCAACUAAAAAAACUCUCAAAUCAACUCACGCAUAUUCCCUUGCUUCUGUUAACUACGCAUAUCUCCUGUUUCUAUACUUGCUAGCUAGCAACCUCUUAUCACACAGAAAGCGUGACAUGAAUGCAUACCCCCGUGUAUACAACUCCUUACUAUCUCUAAUAUACCGUUGCUUGUUCGGCGCAUAGACCUAUUAUUAUUAUCGGUCAGGCUUUCCUUUUAGCAGGUGAUUACUAUAUAUAAUAUAGCGGGCUUUCCCUUAUCUGUUCGCUUAGGUAUCUGACUGUGUAGCAUAGUUCGCCAAUUCCCGGGGCCAACACGGCACAAUCGGAUCCCCAUCCUUAGCCAAAGUCCGUACUUUACCCCGUUCUUGAUCCCCAAUGCCAGGGUUGAAUAGUAGCCAGCCAUGAGAUCUAUACUUUAUCCUCUGGUCAAGUAGCAUAAUUGUUUACCAGGUCUUUCUUCUUGGAUAGAUAUGGCCCUACCUUCCUCUUGAGGAAUCCGUUCAUGAUGCCCUGGCUACACUGACUGGACUAUGUUGUGCGCUUUCGAGAAGAUUCACACUACCGGCGAAAGGAAGCGGAUAAGCUUAUCACGAACGGUGCAUCCUAGGACAGAUAAAUAUGUAUCAUCCCUUUUGGAGAUGACUACACUACCGGGGAAAGAAUCCAUAAAAUACUAGUGUGUUCAAUUGGAAUAUCAUAAGUAGGACGGAUAAUAUCCAAAGACACCAGUCCAUCCAAUUCCCUAAACUUCAAUCAAAUCAAGAAGAAACUAAAGAAACCACGGAAGAAAAGCAAUGGUUGUUCGGGGAUAGGUCCCGCAAUGAAAGUAUUAAUAAAUCUAAAGUAGAUUGGCAAGAAAGAGCAGUUGGUCAUCUCGGAAAGAUAGAUAAAGCUAAAUCUAGGAAAGCAAGCUAGGAAACCCUAGAUAGGAGCAAUCCGUUCCACCACUCCUAAGAAUUUAGGGCAUAAUCACCCACGGAGCAACUGGGGUACUCAACAAUGUAGUAGUACAAUCAGUUGUCUUUCUCUAGCCAAUAACACGGCAAGAGGUGGACGGUAAUGAAGUUGAGGGUAAUGACAACAAACUAAAUCCCAACACUUAAUGCAAACAGCUCUGAAUGGUCUAAAGAUACAAAUUAUUCGACCGAGAUGGGUUUACCUCACUCGUUUGUAGAAACACUUUCAAAAGAACAGACAAGAUCCACCAGAUAAAAAAUUGGUACGCCACGCACCGCUGCUCCGGCAAGCGACGGGGGCACGGGCGUGGUGUUUCUCGUAGUUGCUCGAUGGCUAGGGGAACGGAUAAAUCCCCUUUCAAACUGACUUGAUUAUCCCUCGACUAGGAAACAAGAGUACUCUUUACCAUAGGAAAGAAGCUAACUCUAAAAAAGAGAAAUGGAAUCAUCGAGAUAGGAGCUAGUUCCUGGAUUGAGAGAGUUCUGCCUAAUGCCUAAAUUGGAUGGUGGAUCUUCAGCUUUGGCGAGUUCACUUGUAGAAAUGUCCGUUUGAUUGCUCCUCGGGUGCUUCCUUCUUUCAAAUCUAGAUUUCCUAGAAUCAUACCUUCGUCCAUUCUUGGCAAGCCUUCUUCUCUGAUGGUAUAGAUGAAGACACCGGAUCCCCAUCCUUAGCCAAACCUUCAAUUCAAGCUAGGGCAACAAAGGUUUCAUCCGAAAGGGAUGGAUGGCCUCCACUCAUAGAUCCACUUUCUUUCGGGGCCAUCAAUACAAUAGAAUAGUUCUGUUCUUUAGCCGACGUUUUUCCUUGCCGUCUAUAUCCGAGCGGUUCCCUUUGGCAUAUUUCACUUGCUUUGCUACUACGGUACCCACAUUCUUGAAAGAAAAAGGGAUGGAUAGUUGCCCUUAGGAGACAGAUGGUGCCCAUUUAUCCAUAGAAUAGGUUCAAGAAGAUGAGACGCAUUGAUGUUAAUGAACUUGAGGUUGAAGUUCUAGUAAGCUUAAGCAUAGGUUUAGGUGCACAAGUGGUAUACCAAAAUACUCGUUUAACUACUCCGCAAUGGGACACCCUUCUCAAGGUGGAUCCCCUUUCGUACGACCUAUUCUCUCUCUUUGAAAGUAGCAAUAGAAGAAGGAUAGCUUCAUGAGUUCGUUCUGACUCCUAGUUCGAAAGCUUUUCCUUCUUCUUGGGAACGAUCUUAUCCCGAGUCCUCUGUGGAGUGAAGGAAGUGAUGCCAAUUCUACCGGGUCCGGUACCCACUUAACAACGGAUUCCAUUUCUCUUGGCCGAUGGCGUUCUCCCACCGACUUGCUAAGGAAGAGGCUAGUUCGCGUGGAUGCUGCCCUACGUGGUGUUGCUCGUUUUUAAUGACUCUGAAAAGAGUUUACUAAUGAAUUCCAAAGGAUUUAGGUAUUUGACAAGCAGUCAUCUUCAUCAGGUCUAGAUAUUGCUGUGAAUAAGUGUUCUUUCGCUUGAACCUAUGGAUUGGCUUAAGCAAGCAUGGUAUCUUUGGACCAGACCUCGAACAUCUGCUUCUAUAUGAGUUCAUGUCUGUCAACAUAACUAGUUUGACCCCCAUUCCUAAAGUAUACAUACAACUCUUUUCUAUUCUGAUAAUAAGUAAAGUGUCCCUCCUCCACCAGUCGACGAGCCUGCCUGAGAAUCUAUGCACUAAAGCCAUACUGCAGGAUUGCCCCCCAUCAUUCCAGCUUUAACUGCCUAUUCGGCUUUAGCAGUGGGUUUCCAAAGGCGCUCUUCCCAGAUAAAAAUGGUUUUUAUUCUAUCCACAGGGACUUUUGCUCCAACUAGAUUGAGCACGAAAUCCAAGGACCUUGAGUGACCACAAAGCCGAAGGGCGAGAGCAAACGGAUCAAUCACUAGAGACAGCUUUGUUUCUUGAUAACAAAGAUAGCCUGCCUUGACUUGAAUUGAGAUAAAGGAAAUGUAGUACAUUGAUAUCGCUCCGCAUUGAAUUGAGAAAAAGCAUUACCGGAUUGUGGAGGAUCAAUAGACUCUGCCGUCGAUAGACAGAAAGACGCUUCAAUUGCCCAUUUCUCUGUGCUAUUCUUCGCUUAGAAGGGCUUGACUUACUUAACUUACCGCUUUCCUGAAACUAGCUAAAAAAGGGUCAGGUAUACCUGCCUGAUGAGAUAGGGUUUUUUCUAAAGCGGGAGCUGCUGUCGGUAUGGGCAAUUUCUUAAGUUCUUUGAUUGAUUCCGUCCCCGAGUGCUACCAAAGUUCCUCUAAUUCCUCAGCCAGAUAUUUCCCUUGCCAGACUUUCCCGAUAGCAGAAUCGAUAGAUGUUAUAAAAUUGAUAGAACCUAAAAUUGAUGAAAUACCUGAUAGAUGAAGACUAAAAAUUGCUAAAUCAACUGCUCCUCCAGAAUGGCUGGUAAUACCACUUAAGGGCGGAUAGACUGUCCACCCAGUGCCGCUGCCCACUUCUACUAAGGCUGAGCUUAAUAGGAGCAAGAGACUUGGUGGCAACAACCAGAAUGAUAUAUUAUUUAAUCGUGGAAAUGCCAUGUCAGGUGCACCUAUCAGAAUCGGAACAAACCAAUUACCAAAUCCACCUAUCAUCGCCGGCAUAACCAUAAAAAAGAUCAUUAAAAAACCGUGAGCCGUUAUUAAAACAUUAUAAAGUUGAUGAUUCCCACCAAGAUUUUGAUCGCCGGGUUGGGCUAAUUCCAUACAAAUCAGUACGGAGAAGCAUGUGCCCAUCACUCCUGCAAUGGCACCUAAGAUGAAAUAGAGAGUCCCAAUAUCCUUGUGGUUAGUAGAGAAGAGCCAUCGAACCAUAUUUGUCAUUUUUAAUUUUAGAAAUGAAAACUUUCCUUAUCAAAGAGGGGCCGGGGGGCUGGAAGAGAAAAGAAUCAGAAUUAAUGAGCUACCCCAUUUUUUUUCUAAUUCCCUUCUAAAAUCCUCCGACUUAAACAAGUCGAGAGCAUGCUCGUGCUCAGCUCUUUCGAGACUUGCCUUGCUCUUGGGGAUUUCUUCCCACCGGAUCCUCUGUUCCACUUCCAGGCACCUCCUUGCGGAGCUUUCCGCCUCAAGGAGAUCCCAGUUGUGGGAAACAACAUUUUGAAAGAAAACGGAUCCUCCCUCAUUCUCCCGCAGAUCUUGAUCAGACACUUGGAGAACAGUGAAAGAAUCAGUUGCAUGAAUAUGGUCCAGAUAGGAAGGAAGCGCUUCAUCGACCAAGUAGGGCUCGAUUGGUAGAUAAGGCCCUACUCUUUGAUAAAGCGCCACAAAUUCCUGAAACUGGCUUUUCCUUUAGUCAUAAUUACGAAUACAACAUCUACCAUUACAUUUAACUAGAGACUCAUGCUAUCCGAACCAGUCAUUAUAAUGUUGUUGUUGAUAUAUUUUGACUUAUAUAUCGCGGGUAGGGAUAUAUAAAGUUGAUGAUUCCCACCAAGAAUUUGAUCGCCGGGUCGGCUAAUUCCAUACGAAUCAGUACGGAGAAGCAUGUACCCAUCACUCUUGCAAUGGACGAGCACGGGGCUUAGUCAAGUAGAACCGGGUUGCGCUGCUUGAUGCUCUGAUCGAAAACAAAUCAGUGGGGCAAUGCCGGUACGACAGAAUAUGCGUUAGAAAGGUCAAUCCCUCCCCCCUUUUUGAUUUUUUUAAUGAAAAACUGGGCCGAACUUCUAAAAAGCAGCCCACCAUCUUCCAUAGAACAAUAUCGCGGCAACGUAGACCUAAGUGGAUUUGUUGGAUCGAGGGGAACCAUCACAAGUACGGCCGGCCUAUAGAACGAGAAUGCCGUGUCGUCCAGCGGAGCUUAGAAGAAGGUGACUCGGAGCCUAAGGAAGGUGACUCGCGCAGACAGCUGACUCCUUUUCAAUGAUCCUCAUUUUCUCCAACAUUAAGAAGAUUAUUGGUAAGGUGACCAACAAUCACGCAAGAUUCCGGGUCAGAGUUGCACCUCUUGCCUGAUAUAUACAGGUCGUUACUGGCGAUUCGUUUGUGCCCUAUGGUGUUCAAUUGCCCGUUUGUUCCCUCCCCCUCGGGACGGGUCAACCUACUUUGCCCGCUCAGGCGCUCCAAAAUGCUCUGACUAGACCGCCGACACCCAUGAUUUGUCCAUCAUUCAAAAUGGCAUUUCGUAAGGGCUCAUAAGGUAGGAGGAAUCACAGAUCCUCCAUGCACUUUCGCCUAGAGUUAGUUUUAUAUUUCACUACUUUCUGAGUGGUGGCUAAACCCUGAAACUUUUCCUUGAAAUGAAAUAAAGAUCUAACUUUAUUCCAGUAGUGGUUUCCGCAAAUGUAGAUAAUCUUGUUGAUUAACACCCACUUUCCAUACCCUGCAAUUCAGAGGCCAUCACCUCUGGUCUUUUAGUAACAUAUUAGUAAACAAGGCUCUCCCAGUGUAGCUUUUUGUUCUCGAGGAAGAAAAUCUCAUUGAUUACUUAGAAUGCCGGAUGAAGCAAGUUACAUCAUUGGUUCUUUCGUGAUUCACGUAUAUUGGAAAUCUCUUUCUUUAGGAAAUGGGAUGGCAUUCAAUUCUAACUUAGGGAUUCUCUUCUUCUUGAACAUUCAUGAAAAUAAGGACUCUGGCUUUAAUGCUAAAGUUUAGUACUGGGCCGAGCGUCCUUGCCUACUUAGACAAGAGGGAUACUUAUAGAUCUCUAUGAGCGUAAGGCAAAGUGGGCAAGACUACUUCCACAACUACAUUUUCGCUUAAGCAGGACCUGUGAGACCUCAAAGCAACAGUCUACUACUAGUUAUAGAUGCUAUUUCUAAUUGAAUAGAAUGGAUGCUUCACAGUGGUUCUGCGACAGGCAGGGCAGCCAGGUGAACAUAGGCAAUUGUUCCUAUAGAACACAAGUCUUUCUCUAAAGCACGACCUUUCGAUUGGACUACGUCUGGUCUCUAUCCUUUUUAUUCCAAAAAUGGGUCCUCGAUCAAAAUGAUCUGGUGUCUAUGUCCAUGCCUAAGGUUGGUAAACCCUAUAUCUAUUGCGGGGUGGUUUGAGGAAGGGACAGCUUGUAACCCACGACUUACUACUACGAAGAUUCUGGCGGAGAGCUUUUCACAUAUAGAUAGGUCGGGAUGAGGAAGCUCCGCAGUCAACUAAUAGAUAGAAAAUCCACCUUGUGAACCAUGUUUAAAGUACUGUCUGAGAAGGAAUAUACCUGUUCCAAUCCCUCUAGUGGCUAUACUGAUUGACAUAGGUAGCUUUCGUAGUCAAAGCUCACAAGGCCAAAUGCUCUAUUGGAGUGGGCACGAACACACACAAUCAAGGUUAGAUGAACUUCUACUUCACGCCUUGAGGAUUCUAUGACGCUCACUCAAUGGUGUUGUGGCGAUUGCAAGCAAUCAAUAAACGAGGAAGCCAAAUUAUGGAUCCAGGAAGGCUGCAUCAGAAGGAAGAGUAGGUGUUGCUAUGCUGUUGGCUGGGACUGAGACAGAGAGAGGGGAGCAUAGCCCCUAUGAUCCCGGUAAAGAGUUCCAACUAAGCUCUUCUCAGGUUCUUUCUUUCUCUUCCAUUCUUAUGUUUAUAUAUUAAAGUGUAGUUUUCUUACUGAAAUAUAAUAAUAUUAAUCUAAUAUGCCCAUUGGUGUUCCAAAAGUACCUUACCGGAUUCCCAGAGAUGAAGAAGCGACUUGGGUUGACUUAUACAAUGUUAUGUAUCAAGAAAGGACACUUUUUUUAGUUCACUGCCCUAUACAUAGAAAGAAGUGCUUUUCCACCGGUAUCAACAUUCUAUCUGGAAUCAGUAGCGAUAAUUGUUGUAUUGUGAGCCAGCCCCGUAAGGAAUUUGUGGCGCUUUAUCAAAGAGUAGGGCCUUAUCUACCGAUCGAGCCCUACUUGGUCGAUGAAGCGCUUCGUUCCUAUCUGGACCAUAUUCACGCAACUGAUUCUUUCACUGUUCUCCCAGCAUCUUAUCAAGAUCUGCGGGAGAAUGAGGGAGGAUCCAUUUUCUUUCGAAAUGCCGUUUCCCACAACCAGGUUCUCCUUGAGGCGGAAAGCUCCGCAAGGAGGUGCCUGGAAGUGGAACAGAGGAUCCGGUGGGAAGAAAUCCCCAAGAACAAGGAAAGUCUCGAAAGAGCUGAGCACGAGCAUGCUCUCGACUUGUUUAAGUCAGAGGAUCUUAGAAGGGAAUUAGAAAAAAAAAGAGCGGGUAGCUCAGUAAUUCUGAUUCUUUUCUCUUCCAGCCCCCCGGCCCCUCUUUGAUAAGGAAAGUUUUCAUUUCUAAAAUUAAAAAUGACAAAUAUGGUUCGAUGGCUCUUCUCUACUAACCACAAGGAUAUUGGGACUCUCUACUUCAUCUUUGGUGCCAUUGUAGGAGUGAUGGGCACAUGCUUCUCCGUACUGAUUCGUAUUCCUCUCCUUUUGUAUCUCUUUAUCCAAUUUCGGUCUCGAUUAGUUCACAAGAUUGAAUGGCCAAGUCAAUAUCUUUUUAUAAUUCCGAAUGGUUUCUACUAUAACCCCCAAAAUUUUAUGCAUAUCUUUUUAUCUUUCUGUAUCCAUUGAAGUAAAAUGUAAUUAUUUUACCAUCGAACCAUAUUAUUAAGUGAUAUAGUUAUGUUUAAAAAACUUUGAUUAUAUAUAGUUAUGUAAAGUACAACCUAUUAUGUAAUGCCACAUAAAAUUCACCGUUGAGUUGACACACAUUACAGUAAGAUAGGAUAUAAAACCGACAGAACUGUAUUACAAUGACUAAUUAACAUAAAACCACUCAAGGAAACUCAGGGGAAAUCAUGCAUACCCAUGACACAGAAGAUCUGCCUCUUGGCUUAUGUCGAUAUAUUGAUUCCUCCACGCAACAAUUUGCUUCUCGUAUCGAUGAAUUAGAAGAGAUGUCAACCGACAACCGUAUCAGGAAACAACGAUUAGUGGAUAUUGGUACUAUCACUGCACAGCAAGCAAAGGAUUGGGGAUUCAGUGGUGUAAUGUUAAGAGGUCGUGCGACAUGAAGACAUUGAUAGCAAUAUGGGGGAAGUUCCCAUCCGGCAACAACAGUUCUGCCUGACCCUACAAAAGCAUGCAUAUGUUGUCAGUGAAGAUUUUGUGUGAAGCCUUGGAGACGACGUACCCGGGGCUAGGGUGAGCUGAGGAGGGAUAGCGUAAGUGAGUGAAUGUGUGUAAGCCCAGUCAAAGAUUCCUAUUCUAGGCGGGGAGGGCCAUCAACCUUCGAAUGGUGUUGGUCCUACGGACCAUGAACGGAUUCGCCUCUGGCCUCUGGGCACGUCGGAACCGCAUGAGUUCACCGGGGUGGAGCACGGUCCGCCAAAAUCGGCAUAGGUUAGGUGCUAUUGAUGGAACAUGGUAAGCCCAUCUUUCUCCAUAUGAAAGUGUUGCGGGCACAUAGAGAUGUGGGUAGAGGAAGUCUCAAAAAGCGAAGGCCGAGUUGUAGGUCACGUGACCUGCACCGAAAAGGUGGCUGACUGGGCUUUCUCCUGGAUCAAAGCGGAUCAGCUUGCCAAAUUCGUCGAUCGAAUCGGGCAGCCCGGAACGUCGAAUGAAAGUGGUCUUUCUACAACCCUAUUUAUAUGAUUUUUAGGCCCCCUUUCCCCCUAUCCCUCCCUUAUGUUUAGGAGCGGGAUCUGCCCAAGAACGACCUAUGGUGGUACGGAAGGCACAGACUCCGCAAGCGUCCCGCACCCUCUGAGAAAGAAACUCCUCAACCAUCACAAGAUAAAGAAGUAUGACGCUCUGUGGCUGACUCUAUUGGUCAUAGAUCCUUGCUGUUGCGGCCGGUGCUUGUUUGCGCGCGUGUGAACCACCAGAUCAUAAGGAAAGAUGCCUCUUGGGGCAUCUGAGAAUGAUUUGAGCCGUAUGAAGGGAAACUCCCAUGUAUAGUUUGUUUUGGGGGGGAAGGAGCCCUAUAGGGUCCCCCCACUGACUUGGCCCGGGCCAAAGUGAAAGUGCAAAAGUGAAGUGGUGGGCCUACCCAUCCCAACCUGGGGUAUGCUGGGGUUCGCGAAGAGCAGCACCUUACGAUGUUCAUGACCAAUUGGAUCUUGACGUACCAGUAGGUACCAGAGGAGAUCGCUAUGAUCGUUACUGUAUCCGUACAGGAAUGAGUCAGUGCCAGGUGUCCCCGGUCGUGAUACACUAACCAACCAACUUAACCUAUAGUGCUCAAUCAAAUGAAGUUUUGAUUUCCCAUAUGGAGAAAAAGCUACCUUCAAUCCAUAGUGCCAUAUUUCUCUUAAAAUGACAUUAGUUAUGCUUUCUUCAAGAUCGAGAUCAUCUAAGACCUAUGUCUAAUCCCGUCCAAUAGCAGGUUUAGUGAGCACCACAGACCAAUCCACCUACUUUGAUAGCAUAAAAUCAUUCGGGGAUUUUAAUGUAAAAACACCUGCGCAGAGCUUGGAGAGCAGAGCACUCAGGUGCGAUGGGUUGAUUGAUUCCAUAGUAGGUUUCUGAGUUCAUCAGGUGUGCUCGUGCCUGAAAUGCUUUUCACAAGAAGCUAGUCAGAAAAAGGGGCACGCAGCUACGCGAUUCUAACUGCUCUUGGUUUUGUAACUCACUGCUCUUGGUUUUCUACGUGGGAGUUGGUCCGGAUAACAUAUCUUAACGAGGGAUAUAAAAGGGCGAAGGUCAAUCAAAUGGGGUCCUUAUAGGUAUCUGCCCAUGUUCAAUCACUGAAGUAAUGAAUCUAAACAAGAAAUGAAGUAGAAGUGAAAAGCUUUUCAAAUAUAUUUUUAUAUCUCUUUGCUCAGUUUUCCCCUUUAAUGUCCCUCUCCAUUAUUAUUCAUAGUAAUGUGCUCCUCGCUGAGCUUUAUGAUUUCCAUUGUCAUUCUUCCCUCUCCUCUCUGAUUGCUUUUCAUCGUCUCUUUGCGUUUACCCUAUUUUCAUGACUCUCCUCUCUUUCUUCUCCCCGUACCAUUAUUUUGAUCGUUUCUGAAUCUUGAGAUUGCUUCAAUGCAUGUGAUCCCUCUCCUCAGCCUUCCCCUCCUAAAUCUUAGAAUCCUAAUGCCGCAGGUGCUAUGUCGGAAAUCCAUUUUUUUAUCCCCAAGGAAAAUCAAAGAAGAAGAAAGCCCUGGUAUUCUCCACUUGAAUUCAGGAAGAUUCAGAUACCGAAAGCAAUAGGAAUGGGAAAGCGGAGUGGGCAAUAGGUUUAUGACUGAGCACUAGAGCCUGGAAUAGCAGGAAUGAAGGUUGGGAAAUAUGCCAUGCAGAAUUCCAAUAAGUUGGCACUGCUUUCCCUUUCCAUAUGAAAAAUGGAGUGGAAAAGCAUGGGUGGACCAAGUGUUUUAACCGGAAUCUAGUGACGGAGAAAGAAGAAAGAUUUUUAAGCACUAGAUAGGGUCACAAUUCAAUAAAGAUACUUGGCUGGAUGGCGAAGCUGUGUUUGCUCUCCCAAAUCGAGAUCAAAGUCUUGCUUGAAAGCGUGAGGAACUUUGAAUGCUCCGUACAAAGGGUCAUAGGGAGCUUUUGGAGGUCAGGGAGAAGUGUGUGUGGCCACUGUGCGCAAGCAUUCUGUACAGCGAUCUUGCUGAGGAGGUCCCCGGUCCCACCUCCAUAAACAAGAUCUGGUGACUGCCCAUUGUCUUGUUUUGGCUUGGAAAUCUCCUCAAAAUAAGGCAAGUGAGUCAACGAUCUCUGUAAGAGGAAUUGGAAGAUGGGGGUUCCAUGGCGCACUGAGAUGAACGGUUGUCUUGGACGUGCGGCCCCUUAUCCCUAUCCCUUUGUUGAUGAAUCCCAUGCAAUGCGCCCUUGCUUGGAUGAAAAAAUGUCAUAAGGGGGACUCGUUUCACUUGAUUUGUUCCGUCGCACCCACACUAUUCCUAAAUUUCUUUUCUGUUUCUAUUUUUAAAAAAAAGGUCGAACUCAUUUCGUAUAGAAAGAAAGAUGUGUCGGGUUUGGAUCGAGUGACACAGGAGGUGCUUCUGCGUGGCACUCUUUUUAAUGGGCUUUACCGUCUUUCUUUACCUUCAGAACACAAAGCUUUGCUUGGCGAAAUAACUCCUGCCUAUAUUUGGCAACUCAUCUACUUAAUUUAAUGACAUUCCAUAUCUCAGGAAGGAAAAAAAGCAAAUGGAAUUUCAGUCAAGUCUUUUUUUCUGCUUUAUCCUUCUCUCAAUCAAAGAAAGGGAAUGCAGAUGUUCUGUCGCCCUCUCUUCGUAUGCCACCAGCCUUCCUCCCAAAAUCAUACUGAUCCGAUCUUGCGCAGAUAGGUAGGGACGACCCCUCCAGUAACCUUGCCUAAAAUCAUAAGCUGACCCAUUACUUCUAUAGGUGCCUCAAUUCUUCCCAUUUUCCUACUUAUAUAACUCUUUAGGGUGCAUACCGCACUUGGGAACGGGAUAUGAUUGCUUUCUUAAACAAACCUUUUAGAGCGUUGUCAUCUUACCAGCACAGGACUCAAUAGUAAGGACUGUCACUGCAUUGAUAUCGCUCAUGGAUCGUGUUAUACUUGGGAAGAUCCAGCCCGAGGGGAAGUCUGUUAUCCACAACCCAACCUUAGAUGAGGGAGAAGUUCACGCUUGAUCUUCGACCCAAGACAAUGGAAGGGAGCUAAAGCCUUCUUCCUUUUUAAAAUUCGUUUAUAUGGAGCAAAAAGAGGUCGUGUCAUACCAUUUAUUCCGCCAAGAAGCAUUCGUCUACGACACUUAGAAUGCCUCGACACAUUUGUACUCACGCCUAGGACGGUCUUUCACACGGAAGUAAGAUUAGAGAGUUUGAUCAUAGUUUGACCAUAGUAAAAAAGAAGUCCCUUUCUCAUUUGCUUCUUGGUCAUCUCUAUAGAGAUAGAAGAAAGAAGUCCCAAGCAAGGGUCAUGCUAUUUCUAUUCUUUUCACUAUUGUUAUUCCCUAUUUCCUUAACUGAUCUUGAGUUGUACCGAAACAACAGAAAUAUGGUCUCACAUAAAUUGAUUUCUUUCAUCACUGUUCUUAAAUCAAUCCAUGUCAGGUACAGAGCCAAUCUUCACAUCCCAUAGGUAAAACAAGUCGCUUUAUGGGCUCCUCAUGAAACUACAACCUUUCUGAAGCCCUAGUCAAAAAGUUGUGCGAAACCUCAAUUGGUAAGAGGAGUAAACACCUAUUCUUUGGCCAUUCAAAACAUCGAAUUGGUUGGCUCGCUCAACCUCUCGAACCGGGACAAAACUUCCCAGCAUUGCAUUCACCGCCUAGCCUCGUCCAACAUGAUUGUAAGGCAUGUUUUGCAUGCCUUUAAAGUGUACCCCCUCAGAGGUAUCAAAAAGUGCGAGAAAUCGCAUUGAUGACUAAUAAAGUAGGGUUUUCACUCGUGUGGGUUCGCCCACCUUCCCUUCAGCAGCUCUCCCUGGACACCCUAUACUAAACUGAGGAAUUACUUAAGCUCCUGGCUUUUUUUUCCAACAACUCAAAGCCGAUGCACCGACAGAUAACAUGCCAUGGAUCUUAUGUGGCGCUAAAACUUCAUGAUAGAUCAAAUCCUGAUUACGACUGGAGAGGGACAUUGAUGUUCCAAACAUUGGGUUCAAGAGCUCGGUUUGAUAGACAUAAACCUCAGUGAUCGGCUUUACACCAGGAAGGAGCAAUGAGAUAAACCCACCCCCCAUGGCGAGACUAGACAGAUUCAUGGCCUCCUGCUUGAACAUUGUCCCAAAAACAAUGGUCACACCCUUGCCAAACACCUCCUCAGCUGACGAUAAUAUAUCGGACAUUGGACUGCAGGGCCUUAGUUGGCCAAGUAUGUUUUGUAUAUAAGGAUCCAUGGACUUAUCAAACUCCAAUUACCAAAUGGUACAUAUAGGAGUUGUUGCAUAAAAGGAAGUACCAUUGCCACCAGUGAUCUUUAAAAGUGAGAAACUAAACUCAUCACGUUAGGAGAAUCCUCUAAACUUAAUAUAAUAGGCUCACUUUAUCACUAGAAACUUUUUAGUGAUGACCAAAUAACGAAAAUACUUCGUUGAAUGACAUGUUGUUAAAGAAAAUAGCUGCGUCGCCCCCCUUCAAGACAGGAAACUAUAGACAGGUACCUGAGGUGCCCUGCUGAGAGAAGAAUUUGUCAACAAUCAAGCACUUGAGCUUGCAAGAAUAAAUAUAUGAUGUCUAUGCUAUUAUUCGGAUAAAAUGAAUCAAAAAAGCAGCAGAAUACGAGAAGGAUUUCUUUUCUUAAAGGGUGUAUACAUUAGAGUGUACCUGCUUGGUAGGCAUGAAAUCACUGACAAAGAGUUGCCUAGCUCCGAUGAGCUUGCAAGCAGAAUUUGGAAUUUCAUAGAAGCGGGCAUAGCUAGGGGUGAACCAUGAGAAGUUAGAGCAAUUAAUGGGUAGGUAUCGUAAACAUCCUGAGUGUAUCAUGGCAUUGAAGCAGAAGAAACAGAAAUGUUUUCCUUUCUUUCGCAUUUGAUUUGCAUGCCCCCUGUAGAUUUGACUCGGAGCUAAUGCCAGUCUUUUUUGCGAUCAAAUGCACUUGAGCUAGUCACUAAGUAAGGCGACAUCACCAAAAGAUGUGCAUGUGUCAUUAGGCCAUUGGAUUACUCAACAAAAAGUGAAGUGCCAAACGAUGAAGAAGAACACUUGAAACCAGAUACUGAACCCUAAAUGCUUCGCCUGGCUAACUAGAUAGAUUACUUCUAUUUGCUAGCUUGCCCUAAGAAAAACAACAGUUCCACAUAUAUCUCCAGUGCUUUUCUAUUUGAAACACAAGGGCGCUAAGCAAAGAGAAUUUCAAUUAACGAACAGUAGGUGCCUUUUCUUCCUUGGACCAUCUCAGUGAUAUGUAGGCUCUUAGCCCUUACUUGAAUCAUCCGUCCUCCCUACAGAAAGAAAGCGAUUUUACGCCCUCCCGAAGGAAAAGGUUUGGGCCGGCUAGAGCUCGACAUGGAGCAAAAUGUAGAUGAUCUCCGCAAAUGGGCAAGGUAGGAGGACGUGGUUGGAAGUUUUUUGACACGAGGCCUUGCGCAAAAGACGAGUACUUCAGAGCCCACCAGGAAAAGGAUAUUGGUUCGCAUCUCUAUAUUGAUCCGCGGCGCUUCUAUGAAGUUUUCCUUGUCUCCGAUUUCAAAGCUGAAUGGAUGACUGAAUCUGUCGAAGCAUCAUUCGAUAUUUGCAGAUUGACGUAAUGCUAUGAGGAGUUAGAGUCUUCUGCGGGAAAGACAUUUCUUGUAGAGUUUUGUAGAUCUUUUUUCUCUACUUUUUCGAGUAUUCCUUACAUAAGAUCUCGGAAGAGCCGAUGUUUCCUUCCGUUCCUGGUAAAUAGGAAUUCUAUAUCCUCUAGCUCUUCGUGACCUGUUGUGUCUGCCCUCGACUUAGCCGUCAUAGAAUAGAAAGGUUUCUAACCGUUGAAAAGGAUACUUCUAAACGUUAAGGGGCGCUCAACCUUCCACUCAAAUCCUUUUUACCAGAAGGGAGCUUGCCUGCCAUGACAUAUAAGGGAAAAUGCAAUGUGUGGAACUAGAUCAAGUUUGAUCUGCCACUUACACUGGAAGGGAAAGAACUAAUGCUUAUGCGUAUUCUUCCACGACAUAUAGAAGGUUAACUACUCCAACUCGAUGGCUGAGAGAAAAGUGAAAUCCUAGCUUUCCCUAGAAUCAACUCUUUACUAUCCUGCCCCAGGGGGUUUUUCGGAGACAUUGAACCCUAGAUUUAGAAGCUUUCCCAAACAAACCUUUUGACCAGGAAAAGGCAUACCAAAGAUUUUUGGAAAGACACAUUGAAAUGGAAGCUCUCGAACCUAUUCUGAAGCAAGUUUAGGAUGAGGUUUCCGAUCCGGUUGGUGUUCCGACAUCCCGAAUCGAGGUGGCUCUAAACUCAGGUUUGCCUACCUCUCUAGUUACAGAGGGAGGAGAGGGGCUUCGUCUUUUUAGGUCUCUGAAAAGCCAGUUGACAUGUGCGAUCCAAUCAAGGAGGGAGUACUUCUGCCUGAGUUCCUCUGGAUCCUGUAGAUUCUUAUCCAAGACUUGUAUCAUUUGAUGAUGCCAUGUGAAUCAAGCAACAGGAGAAGGACCCAAUAAUGAAAGUUUCGUAAAGGGACUAGAGCAGACUACCAUGAGACAAAAGAUCUUCUUUCUAAAGAGAUUCGAUUCGGAACUCUUAUAUGUCCAAGGUCAAUAUGGAAAUUCUUUCAGAGGUUUUCCCUUACUUUGUCCGUGUCAACAAACAAUUCGAAAUACCUCAACUUUUUCAGAACAGGUCCGAGUCAAAUAGCAAUGAUUCGAAGCACUUCUUUUUCCAUUACACUAUUUCGGAAACCUAAGGACUCGAUCGUAUGGAUAUGGAAAAUACAGGAUUUCCGACCCUAGCGGGAAAAGGAGGGAAAUGGAUACUCAAUUUAAAGUGAAAUGACUCAAGUAAUCCAAGGGUAGAGCAACGUAAUCCAACGGAGGGGCUACGUGAUCCAAUAGAAGAGCUACGUAAACAAGGAACACAUGAACCUGCUAAGGAUCCACUCCACCUGCCAAGUGUACCAAUCACAAGAGCUCGGGCCGAGAAAUUCAAUGAAGUAAUCCAUAUGCUGAUUCAGCAAGCCAAGCAUUGGAGUUGGUAUUCCAAGUUUCUUGAAUAACCUAGCUGUCUGAAACUCGCCAAUGGGAUUCUGUGUAAUCCUCCGGUCUACAUGGUGUAGGUAAAGGGCAAAAAAAGUCGCUAAUUAGUGGCACUGAAGUAUGCACCCGACGUGUAAACUUCUUCUUUUUAUUUACCAAUGUAGCUAUCCGACUGAUCAUCCUUUGAGACCACGGAGAACAUCAGAGAGAAAGAUACGUCACCUAAAAAAAAUUGACACCCUGACUUAUAUGAGUCGGCUAGAAACUCAAGGCCUGGCCUUUUGUGGGAGAAUGCUGAGUCCUUCCCAAAAUCACCUGGAUCAACGAAAGAUCUGGAUAACGCUAGGUUGUGAUACUGAUGUCUGAUUUUACUCAUAUACAUCCGAUAGUGAAGGCUGUGAAGUUUGAACAGCCUCACUUAACCCUGGUUCGGUAACCUUUAUAGCGCCCAGGUAUCCUUGACCUGUAUAUAGAGGGCCACUUUCCAUUGGAUACUCCGAAUAAAAGAAGAAGUAGUUACCUAAUCAUGGGUCUAUACGUAAGAUCUCCUUGCGUAGAGGUUAAGUCCAGAUGGAUUACUGAAAUGUAGUUUGAAUAACGUUUCCUCAUCGACUGCGAGAGUUUGUGGUGUGUGUUCUCGGACCAAAGAAACCAAACAAGCAUACCUUUCCUUUAAUGGAGUAUCUUGGGUAUGGUACUCCCUCUUUAUCAGCUCGAUGUUCAAUCAACAUUCCUUCACGGGGAUCUUGACCGGAUGUAAGUCAAGAUUGCUAUUAUCUUUUUAAAGAACAUAAACUUCAAAGCUUCUAGUCUGUCCCAACUCUUUCGAGCUGCUCUCCCAGUCAACGUUCAAAGACAUCACCAUACCAUAGAACUUUUGAGCUUGAGAAAUGCUUUUCUGGCUUCUUCUCCACACCUUUCUUUAACAACUCAGUUAAAGGCCUGCUGAUAGCUCCAUACCCCGGUACAAACCUCCUGUAAUAACCCUUGCAACCCUCGGAGUUCUCUGACAUUGGCUGGUUCUGGCCAAGCUGUCUUUGUUUUAUUCGAAUUCUAAACCCAUUGUCGUCCCCAGUUUCCUUGUCGACGCAAAGGGGCCAGCAGCCCCCAAAUCAAAGUCUGAGAUCAGAACUCAUACCGCGCUUGUGGCUUGAAGGCCGCAUGCAAGUUCUGAAAUAUUUAGAGAGUAUGUGUUAGUACGAGAUCGCGCUAUCAACUUAUUUCAUCUUUCUCGAUGAUUAGGACAAAAUUGUAUCCCUUAGGAACCAUACAUGCACCUUUGUUUGGAUGCCGAUCUAAUAUUGUUACAAUACGAAAUACUUGAAGGCCACACACAAUUGACUCACCUACAUUUUAUGCUCCCACCCUUUUGUAGAAAAAGCCUCUGCCUCUGGGGAAGUGGUCACAUCAACUCCAAUUUGGAUGGAGCUUCUCGAUGGGUUAGAGCGUUUGCGAACCAAAAAGGGGGAAAACCCAUCCUCCAAAGUAGUGAAGUGAGCCAGUACAAUAAGACAAUAGGUCUCAUGGGCCAAGCCUGCUAUCAGGCAGUGAGUGGGAAUCAAUCCUGAAAGAGAGAAGGUCUAGUGCUCUCAGAAAAUAUUUGAUUCGCCGAAAAAUUGGCUUUAUCAGACCAAUCCAUGUUUAGAAGCCUUCCAUCAAAAGUCAGUGGUCUAGGCCGCUUUCCUUGACUUUGAGUUGGAUCUCAUUCUUCUUCCCGGCACAAAAAGAGGGUAGACUUCAUCCAAGACACAUGGGUUCUUUUGCUUCCUUCAAAGAACUCGUCUUUGAGCCUCUAAAAAGAAGGGCAUAGUAUCCCAGCCACCUAGACCACCUAAAAGGAAGGAAUUGGUCUUUAGCUUUGAGUGAUCCAAUCAUUGGUGAAUGGGUUCAGUAAGGUAGAAGGAAAGGGCCCCUCCUGACCUUUGAAAUUCACAGCAGGAAAGACUGGCGUCGAUCAGCGAAAGCGAACCCUUCAGUACAUCGCAUUCAGCCCUCCCUCAAAAUCCCAUUUGUUUUAUUGAGGAAUCACUCUUGAUCCUCUAAAGGCUCUUCUCCGUCUAUAACUCAAAGUCCACCUGUCUCUCGUGGAAGCGCCUUAGAGUGCCAAGAAGAUCCAGCAAACGGGGGUGCCAAUGCUGUCCCAAGACCAGAUCACGGUAGGUAGCUGCUUUAAAGAGGUUGGGAGACAGACUGGUGAACAAUCUUCUUCUUGUUUUCUCCGACCUAGAGCAAUCUUUUUUUCAAUCGUACGAAGAAACUCCGUGAAAAAACCCAGCUAUCACUCCUAUGAGAUGGCUAACUCCCAACUCCCGAUACAUUCUUUAGAGUCGACCAAAGGACUCGUUGGUUUGGACAUAGUUUCUUUGUUCCUAUGUUUAUGUUUUGCUCUCCCCCUUUUUUCACUUAGUUUAGUUGGAAUGGAAAGAGAACUUCCUUCAGUUUUUAUUUUUUUUUUGUUGCCUGGUUCGGUCUCUCCGAGUGGAAUAAGUGGGUCCUUCUUCUUUUUCCUGACUGAUGAAGGUCGAAACUGAAGAUCGAAUCAAGCGGAGUCUGGAUUCCUAUGUUCGUACCAACUCAAAUGAUUGAUGAAUUGGAUCUUGAGUAUGCUCACUUCGCUACUCAGCAAGGGUGAAAGAAUGACAAAGAGACUGACAUCACAGAGGAUGGGAAGGACCCAAUCGCCUGCCUCUUUCUUGGUCCACCUCCUGGUGGGUACUUUAUAGCUCACAACACAAGAUAUGCAGAUAUGUGACAUAGAAAAAUUGCUUUCAUUGACAACAAGACUCUCUUCCUGAUUGGGAUUGGUCUGUGCAGGAUCUCCUUCCCUAUGAGACUCUUGCUUCCCUUUGAAAGAGGCAGACCCCUACUUCAAUUGUCAUCUGACGCCUCUACCCGCCCUUGGUGUUCGUACAUCGGUUUUGCCAGUUAGGGUUUAUGUGGCGGGUUUCGAUGAUCUCGGGUAGCUCCUCACUUGGAUGAGGAGUGGGGAAAGAAGAUUGCGGGAGAGAUCAGUGAAGAAGUGGAACUAAAAGAUACUAUAACCAAAGCUUAAAAUGGGGGCGAUGAGGCUGAUGUUGAGUCGGGUGAUGAAGCAACUUCACCGCAGCAAGAAGCCUAGUGAGCGGUUGACAUGGCGGAAGGUCGUUCUACCUUUCCCUGUGCCAACAAAGCAGACAUACUUGAUUGACUCUUUGGGGCUCGUGAGAGACAUUCAUAUUACUGCGUUCUGUGAUCAUAGAUCGUCACGAUUCAUCAUUGUAUAUCCGAGAUCUGAAACUGUGGCAAAUGGAUUUGAAGGCAUGGAAAGAGGUCGCCCUCGUGCAAGACUUCUUUAUUCUCCCGAUUUCCCUCCUCCAGUUGGAUUGACACGAAAGUCCAGUGAUAACGUUGAAGUACUUUAAAGAGUCCCUUUCAGCCCCCGCUUUAUCAUAGGAAGAAGAAGAGUAAUCUAGUUUAGGGGUAAGUGCCCUUUUGUUGCCAAUAUCUAGAGUCCUGUUGUGUCGAUAGAGCUCGGAAAACUCCUCUUUUAGUGAUGGAUUCUAGUAGCCCUAUGCCUAGAUUGCACAAGAACUACUCCGCUUCUAUAUUAGAAAACACUGUGUUUGAGCUUCUGAAAAGAAAUGAAGAUGUUACCUGAUCCAAGCAGAUAAGAUGCUCACGGCCUGUCCUGAGCACUACGGAGAUAUUUCUUGAUCCACAUGAGAGUCAGCUCCCUACACCUACACCGGAUUAUGUCAAUGAGAGCUUGCCAAUAGAGAUACUUCUGACUUAGAGGCACCGGAGUUGGCCAACUGAAAUUGCAUUUACAGCGAACCCUUGGUAGAUGAUUCAGAGCAAGAUCAGAUUCUUGAUGAUUUUUCCCUUUGUUUGAUCGAGCGAUGCCGAAUCUUUAUAGUGCAUUUCCACCUAUCCAUGCUUUAUGACUUGUCGCCAUGAAGCACAUGCCUGCGAAACCUUCUUAUUCUAUAGAAUAAAUAAUAAAGUACUUAGAAUGAAUGGACUAAAGAUCCACUUUUCAAAAGGGACGGCUCCGCCUACAUGUGAAGAUCUUUCAAGCGAAAAUAAUGGGUAGCCAUGAGAAAUCUCGAUCGGCGACUCUGAUACCAUGAUAUCAUUGGUAGAAGAAUUCCUUGCCUCGCGAGACACGUAAAGAGACCUACCCACCACCCUUGUGCGUGCGAACCUAACAAGAGAUGCUGAUGCCAGCUACACCGCGCUUUCUUUCCAACCGACCUGACGUUCCGAGGAGAAGCAGGAAUGGUUGUAUGCAUGCGCCGGACGCCUAUCAAAAAGUAAAAGAAACCAUGGAUCGGGAGAAAGAAAUCCCUACUUACUUGACAGGUUUCCGGGUCUCAGAAACAUAGAAAGGAUUUCACAAAUAGGAUAAAUGUCCAGUGAGGACAUCUCCUUGCUUGCUUUUUCAUUGACUGAUUCUAGUGGCUGGCCCAGUGAGAGAAUUACCAGUGUCUGUCAUUAGACUUUAUCUUUCCACGGUGAACUCCUUUAUUGUUGAAAAUCGGCUGGCUGGAUUGACCUUUGGGAUUGAGUCACUCGUACAUUAAAUCAGAGUAUUUCAUAUAACUCUUACUUAACAGACUUAGUGGACUGAUUGAUUGUUUCUUAGUUAGGAUUUCCUAUUUCCCCGAUCCACCAGCUACAUUCGCACACUUCCAAAUAGUAAAUGCUCCCGCGGUUGGAGUUGAGACUUUCUUAUCCCUCUUGUUAUGACGGAUUGAGCAUAUAAUUCUUUUCUUGAUUGAAAUCAUUCACUUUUCCUUGAAAUCGUCACAAAGUAAUUGGAAGAAGAAGUGCUUGAGAAGCUCAUGGAUAUAUUCUAUGGUGGCUUCUCCAAUAGUUCGAGCCAUAGCUUCAUUUCAUUAUUUCUAUAAUUUUCUUCACUUUAUCAUUGCCCUCAAGUACAAGUAAUUUCUGACAAACUUUCUUUCCCAUGGUUCGGGUGGGCACGGAUAUGGAUGGCAGGACAGGAGUGAAGAUCCCUCAGCUAAGGGCUAGACCGUACGUUUCAUUGUCUGAUGACGAGUGGCACACAAAUCAACCUGAGAAGGAUUCUGCUAUGUCAAAAGUGUUUAUAUAAAUGAAUUGUUUAACGCCAAGAUGCCAAUAGCAAUGAUGGAUAAAGCAACUCCCACGAGUAGGGCUCGAAAGCCGGGGACUCUCCUGGCAAAGAAUCUGAACGAUCUGAGUUCUUUUCUGAGAAAGAAGAAGAUGCAAGGCAUGGAUCCAAGCCUGAAGGUGACGUGGAGUGUUAUUAUUAUCGUUACUCCAGAGAAUGGGAGGCACUCUCUUCUUGCAAAAUGCAGUUAUGAAAUCUGUAAUCUAGAUGAUUCUGGUUGAAGGGGACGAUGCAGCCUAGCGGUUAUGAACUUUUUGUUCGAUUCAAAGGAUUUCCACUUGAGUAAAGCUAUGGUGGGAAACAAACUACCAAUUAGGCAAUGCGCGUCUCUAUUUCUUGAAUUCUCUGGUCUAGGCAACCCGAAAGCGUUGUUUAACAAAGAAAAAUCUGAAUUUGAAAUGCAAUCCGACAGAGAAAAUAAACUUAAGUAACCACCAGUUGAAACUGAGCGAGGAUGCCUCUCCUAAUGGAAGUUACGGGCUCAAACAAUACCUAAUGGUAGGCAACUUUGCUACCCGAGCAUCUCUUUCUUAUUAAGAACGACAUAAAUGUUGAUUUUCUACUCUCGGGAGUAGGUAAGGGGGACUAUGCCCAAUAAAAUAGGGACUAUGGUAGGCAUGAAAUAAAACUUCUUAUCUUAGGUACGGAAUUCCUCCACAUUAAGACACCAACCUGCCCUUGACAAGUCAAUAAUCAAUCACUAGAUUUAGGAUCACAAGCCGAUGCGAUGCUUCACGUCGAAAUGGGUUAGUCUGCAUCUGAGAGACCCCGCCUAGCUCUAAAAUGGUUUCAACCUUUCCUCGACCUCAUGGAAUGAACUAACUCAUAUGCAGUGAGCAUAUUAUCAUAGACAUCCCUCAUGAUAGCGAACUUGAAGAAGAAGCUGUUUCGACAUCUACUUUAUCCCAAGUGCAAUAAUGCUCCAAGUACGGGUUUUCGAAUUCAUUCCUCGCUGACCACGCGUCAUCUUCAGUUCACGAUUGAGGCUCAGAUGGAGACUGAUGAGAUACAGGCUCUGGCUAAGGUUGACAUCCAGGCUCUGGACAAGCGAUAAGAGAUAGUUUAUGAAGGAUCCAGCUAAGAAAAUGAAAUGGGUUAGUGGGAACAAGCAGCUAAAGCGCAAAGGUAAGGAUGAGCUCGAGAAGUGCAAACUUGAAUGAUAGCUAGUGGUGGAUUGAGACUUUUGAGCUUCUCCAUCGAUCACUUUUGCGGAAGCUGAGUCCUUUCUUUUUAAGCAAGUUCAAAUCCAGCAAAAAACGAGUAUCAAUCUGUCCCAAGUGCGGACAGGAGAAUCCAGGUCGGAUUACGACAUUGAAUUGAAUUGAGUGGCCCCUUCCCGUCGCAUCACGGCAUCAACCCUGAUUACCUCACUUUACGUCAAUAUUGGUGAGCAUGCCACAAGAUGUACGAUUUGAUUGGUUACUCCAGUUUCUAAGUGUAAGUUCCAAGUAUUCUUCUUAUGAUAGACUGAAGGCUUAUCGGCGCGCGAAGGUUCUCUGGAUUGGUUGUGGUGAGCGCUGGGCGAAGGAUUGUCAGUGUAAAGCUACUGUUCAACUCCAUGUUGUUCAGGAAAUGGCGGAAUUAUCGCGGAGUACUGCUGCAGGCUAUUCUAUGUUACAGGACCAUGAUGACUCUGCUUCAGAUCUAAGGGUCCUCUCCGCUGAAGCUAAUCAGAAAUCUCCUGCACUCCGUUCGGUUCAGUUAGCUUGCUCAGUAGUCCAUAAUUUGGAUGUUACCCUCUUUUCUUGGUCGACUUGAGCACUUCCCCAGAGGCAGAUGCUUUUUCUACAAAAGGGUGGGAGCAUAAAAUGUAGGUGAGUCAAUUGCGUGUGGCCUUCAAGUAUUUCGUAUUGUAACAAUAUUAGAUCGGCAUCCAAACAAAGGUGCAUGUACGGUUCCUAAGGGAUACAAUUUUUUCCUAAUCAUCGAGAAAGAUGAAAUAAGUUGAUAGCGUGAUCUCGUACUAACACAUACUCUCUAAAUAUUUCAGAACUUGCAUGCGGCCUUCAAGCCACAGCCGCGGUAUGAGUUCUGAUCCCAGACUUUGGUUUGGGGGCUGCUAGCCCCUUCGCGUCGACAAGGAAACUGUGGACGACAAUGGGUUUAGAAUUCAAAUAAAACGAAGACACUAUCGAACAAAUAGAGGAAAGGGCGGAAAGGGGAAAAAGUAAAGUCUAAGCGACAUAUGGCAUGAAAAGGAAAUCCAAUUUCGGUAAGACUUGAUCUGAAUCGUAGUUCAGAUCCAAGUCGGAUCAGUGAGGGCGACCGCGAAAGUCACCAAAUGGGUUCGGUCCUCCUUUUCCUGAUCUUUGUUUGUCCCCCCAAAAAAGGCGUGAGAGGACUGUCGAUGUCAAAACCGGCGGAUCUCGGGUAGGGGGUCCCGAACUGUGCGUCUAGGCGGAUGGUAAUAGGAGACAAGGGACAUGAUGUUUUUACCCAGGUUCGGGCCCUCUCGAUGGAGGUAAAACCCUACUCCUGCUUGAUCAAUAUUGAUGAUAUGGGUAGUACAAGAGUAGAUCUACCACGAUAUCGGAGUGGCUAAACCCUAGAAUCUAGCCUAUGGUAUGAUUGUUGUUCGUCCUACGGACUAAGAAUCUCCGGUUUAUAUAGACACCGGAGAGGGCUAGGGUUAUACAAAGUCGGUUACAAUGGGAGGAGAUCUUCAUAUCGUAUCGCCAAGCUUGCCUUCCAUGCCAAGGAAAGUCCCAUAUGGACACGGCACGGAGUCUUGAAUCUUGAAUCUUCAUAGUCCGGGAAUCCGGCCAAAGGUCUUAGUCCGGCCAUCCGGACACCCCCUAAUCCAGGACUCCCUCAGUAGACCCUGAACCAGGCUUCAAUGACGACGAGUCCGGCGCGCAAGUUGUCUUCGGCAUUGCAAGGCGGGUUCCUCCUCCGAAUAUUUCAUAGAAGAUGUUGAACACCAGGGUAGUGCCCGGCUCUGCAAAAUAAGUCCCACAUUCCAUCGUAGAGAGAAUAAUAUUUGCACCAAUCGAAUCUGCUGAUGUAUUCCGCGGUGUGACAUCAUCCAUGGCCAGGCUUUUAUUCAUUUUACCGUUCCACCUUGGCGCGUUUAGCGAGGCGGUUUUCUUGGCACGUCUUGUCAAAGCAGAGAUCGUGUCCCCUUAUUCCGGGAUUCUCAACAAUACGGGCGUGGGUAACCCAACCGUGACUUAGGUAUGACUCCCUAAUUAAAAGCGAGUCUCAAACGGUUACGGGGAGGGCUCUUGGUAUUCACCUCCUUUAUAAAGGAACCAAGGCCCGGCUCCCUUGUUCUUAAACCAAUCAAAUCCGCCCCUCGCUUCGAGCUCCAACACCCAAAGCUCUAGUUUUAGGCGCUUCGGACCUUCGAAGAUGUCCGGCUACGACCCUGAAGGCCGGUGGAUGCCUUCCUCCAUUACGGAAGAAGAUGUGCGAAAGCUAAGAGAUGCCAGGUAUCUAACCGGCGAAAUCUCGCAUAGACUGCCUACUCAAGGGCAAGCUGUUCCCGCUCCCCAUCCUGGUGAAAGCGUGGUGUUCGCAUCUCACUUCCUUCGGGAACUAGGCUUCCCGAUCGAUCCCUUUGUGAGGGGGCUUAUGUUUUACUACGGGCUGGAGUUCCACGACCUAGCUCCGGAGUCCAUCCUCCAGAUCUCAUCAUUCAUUGUCGUGUGCGAGGCCUUCCUCCAUAUCACCCCUCACUUCGGAUUGUGGCUAAAAACUUUCAAAGUGGAAUCGAAAAUGAUCGAGGGGCAGCACGCUGAGUGCGGAGGGGCUAUAAUAAGCAAGAUGGACGAUGCUCCAUGGCCCAAAGGCUCUUUUCAAGAGGAGCUCGGCUUAUAGCAACGGGACUGGUUUUACAUCACAGCCCCUAGGGGCACCACAUGGGUGGCACCGGCUACUUUUCGCUCGGGUCCCCCACCACGGCUGGUGUCAUGGGUUAAUGAAGGACUUAUCUGGGGGCCGCCAAAAGACGUGCCCCUGCUGCAGGGCCGUAUUCGAGAUCUUCUAGAAAGAGAUAUCAAUCUGAUUGUAGUGGCGCAAUUCAUGGUGAUUCGCCGCACACUGCCCUGCAAACGUCGACCUCUCCGCCUGUGGGAGUUCAAUCCGGAGGGACCACGAGUCCUACAACAUUUCAUGGGAAUGAUACCCAUGGAGAUGUACAAAUUGUUCUUCGGAUCACAAGCAAGGUGUCCGGAUUUGUCCGAGGACGCAGCUCUAAGCUGCAACCGCCCGGAUGCUAAAGUAAGUAGCCCCCCAUCUAAACACACCAUCCAUAUUUUUAUCAAAUCUACCCUUUAACAGAGUUGCCCUUUGAACAUGAGUGGAUAGCGAAGGCGAAGCUUAUCAGGUGUCCAGCCCCCCUGCCCAAGACCGUACUGAAUCCCAUGCUAACCAGGAUGCUGGAGGCCGCGCCAUUGGCGGAAGGCGAAGGGGGGAACCAAGGAGCUACCGCCUCCACGAAGGAGGCCAUUAGGAAGGGAAGAAUCGAAACUUCUCCCGACCAGGGAAAGAAAAGGACUGCCUCUAAAGAUUCGGAGGUGAUAACCUCAAAACGGGGAAAGAAAUCUUCGUCAAAGGGUUUGGCACCGGAGAAUGCCCCAGCCGAAUCGCCCCCUAAAGGGGACCCGCUCUCCCCCAAGGCGUAAGUGAAGGGAGAGGUUCCAUAAUGAAUCACAUUCAUGUUUUAUUCCUGAGGAAAAUAACUGAAACAUUAUCUUGUAGUUCAGAUCUCAACCCUUCUCAGCAGAGCUCAUCUUCAGGGGAUCUUCGUCCAGAGAUGAUAGAGAGCGAAACUCCUCCUCUUGUUCCACCAUCUCACGAGGCUGGCGACCCCGAGGUAUCGUCCCGGAGGAUUUUUUCAAGUCCGGACCCUGGGAAAGGUCGUCAGACUAGUCCGACACCCUCUUGUGCGCCGGCGGAGGGGCUGAAGGAUCUGCUUAGUAGGGCAUCCAUCUCAGAAGAACAUCGUAUGUUGAUGGAUACGGUGAUUGGAAGGAUUUCAUCCGCGGAAAGCGGAUUGUACAAGGCUGCCAGGAGUUUACUAACAGGCUUUGAGGUAUGUAAAAAGGUGUACCUUUUGGUAGAGCUGCAUAUUAAAUGUGCCCUGUAUGAAUAGUAGCCCCUGAGACUCUGUGUGUCGUCACGAGUGAUGGCGUACGGAGGAUCAUAACCCCAGGUAUAAUGUGCCGCCUAUUCCAUGAAGGUGGCAAGGCGUUCAGUGGCUAGCCGGACUGAUGAAUCUGCCGAACUAAAGCGGCAACUUGACAUAGCAGAUGCCGACAUCGCGCUUGUACAUAAGCGGCUAGACGAGGCUCAAGUAUGUUCAAAAGACACCCAGUAAUAGGAGCUUGAUGCUCGGGCCUUAUAUAUGUUUUAUGUAGAUGGUGCUGCUGCCGUGGAGAACCUUCGGGCGGAACUUGCCCGAGCAAAGGAGCAAGCAAGGAAGAGUGAUGCGGCUGCCGUUAAAGCGGCUGAAGAGCUAAAAGCCGAAUAGGCUGCUCACUGCCAGAGCAAGAAGGAAAUGGCCGAGAUGGCCAUAAAACUGAAGGAUGCUACCGACCGCUGUAGAUUUCUUGAACAAGAAGAUAGGGCGGCUCAGAAGGGUUUUGAAAAGAUCACUGCCGAAGCCAAGGAUACUCGCUCUGCCAUGAGAGCGAUGAAGGAGGAGUUGCGUCAGGCCGGAGAUAUCACGGCUGGAAAGCCUUAUAUGCUGCGGAUGAAGUUCGGAGACCCCAAGUAUGCUCCAUUAGACCGGUAGUGGAGUUCGGAAAACGCUUAUCUGGAUUUGGCCGCAAGUGCGGCGGACGCGACCGAACACUUCCGCAGCCGAGGUGACCAUGAAUUGGAAGAGCUUUUUUGGUCGCAGUACCACAAUCCAGAACGCCCACUGUCAGUAUCCGACCGUUUAGCCGCCUGGGCGGAGCUGAACAGGUUAUCCGGACUCGCCAUGAAGUAUGUUGCGAGUCGUCUGUGGGCGGAGAAGCCGGAGCCGAAGAGUUAUUUUGGCUUGGUGCAGCAAUUCCUUGGUUUGGUGCCGCAUGCUGAUGCAAUGAAUAGGUCGGCGUGCAUAGAGGGCGCACAGAUGGCUCUUGCCCGUGUCAAGACAUACUGGGCAGAUAUGAAGGCCAGUAUUGUUGCGUCCCAGGAUUCGGACGAAAGCCGAGUACCUGCCAAGCAAUAUUUCGAGGAAGUUCUUCCUGGCGCUCGUAUAAUAGAGUCACAGUGCUCGAAGGAUGUUGUGUUCGAAUAGCUUAUACUAUUUGUAAGACGAAUUGUGUUUUUAUGAAAAAAGCUUUUUUAUACUUGUGCUUGCAAGAAUCAUGAUGCCUCUUGUGUGGCCGUUUAAUGUAUAUAUUUGUAUAUAACCUGAAAGAUGGCAGUCGUUGGCUUCAGCCCCCAUGCAUAGAAUGCGGGGGUGUUCGCAAAAAGGCGCCUUUUCACACUUAAUCCAAUGUCUUGGUCCUACAAAGGAGGUGGUGGCGCGGCGAACUAGGCAACCGGACUAUAAUGCUUUAUCACUUUCACUUAGCCAUAGGAGUUUGACAGUGGGACUACUGAAUAGCCCCUAGGGGCACCGCGCUCGCUCGAAUUCGAGGCGCGAGUGUGCCUGACCGGGAAGCGGCCCUUCGUUAAUGCGGGGGAAUCCUAAAGAUUCCGAAAGUCAUCGAGUGGUUGACCAGUCUCUCGCUAUAUCAUGACAGUCAGUUUUCGGCUUUCUCUACUAAGAUGCUCACCCGGCCGAACCGGGGCACAAUCGCAGUAGUUCUCCUGGUGCUACGUUAGCCGAUAUAACGGAACGCAAGGCAACAAAACACAGGAGCGGGCAAACCCAACAUUUGACCAAAGACAUGAUUCAGAGCUGAUGCAUAUAGGGCCAAACUCGCAACGCCGAACACUCCUUAAGGUAUUCGGUCUUUAUGAAGACGGGCCGAAAUAGAGCCCUUGGUAAAAAAGCCCCUAGUGUCCAGGUAUGUGCAAAAAUUCUGGCGUGGCCACAUGCCAAGACGCCAGCCUCCUCCUCGGCUAUAGAAAAAACCGGGGGAUGUUAUCAAUAAGAGACAGUAAAAAAGGUUUACACAGGGUCUUAAUCUAAAAAGAAUCCUUGGAACGGGUCCCUGCUGCACGUCUGCGCCUGUGUCUCCGUUGUGCCAUAUCCUGGACGGGCGUAGCACGAUGUUCGUCUGCGAAAGAGAGGAACUUAGUAAAAAAUAAGCGUGCGAGAAAUCUAUAUUGAAAUAAACAAGAUAUAGUUGGAGAAAGAGUUGGGCCGUAUUGUCUCCGGGCGAGCCCCUUGCACGAGGGUAUGCGGCUAUUUGAGCAUGUUGACGCUGGACUCGUCUAGCCGUGUCCGGGAUAGUAGGGCUGGAUUUAUGGGCGGCUGUCUAGGAAGCCCCACCCCUGCCCAUACUUUCGGGGAUCAAUUUAUGUUCCCUUGUAAUGAAAUGAUGCCGUUUGGACCGGGCAUUUUAAGUGUAAGGGAUGCAUAGUGCGGUAUUGCGUUAAAGCGGGCGAAAGCUUCACGUCCCAGUAGCGCUUGAUAGCGACUUACGAAUGGGGCGAUGUGGAAUGUUAGCAUUUCGCUUCAGAAGUUGUCGGGUGAUCCGAACGUGACUUCUAACGUAAGGGAACCCAUACUUGGGGUAUCCGAACCUGGCGUUACUCCUUGAAAGGAAGUGUUGCCGAGGUGGAUUACGACUGGGUUUACCCCAAGUUUGCGGAUUGUGUCCUGAUAUAACAGGUUCAAGUCGCUGCCGCCGUCCAUAAGGGAGUUUGUAAAUUGGAGUCCAUUAAUGAUUGGAUUUAGGACCAAGGCAGUCCAACCUGCGUUCUGGUCUCCUCUAGAGUAAUCCUAAUGAUCGAAGGUGAUUGGUUGUAACAACUAGUGGGGUUGCUCCUCCGGGGCUGGCUGUACGGCGUGUGUCGUUGUAGGUGCCGUUCUAUUCUUCCAUUUUGUCACAUGAAGUAGAUUUACUGUCUUGACUUCUUGUGGGAACUUCUUUUGUUCUCCGGUGAUCUGCUCGUGGGGUGCAUCGUCAUCUUCGCUUGGUGUGUUGAGCCCCUUGUGUUCGGUGUUGAGCUUGCCGGACUGCUUAAAGACCCAACAAUCUCUGUGGGUAUGGUUUGCAGGUCUCCCCGGAGUGCUGUGGAUUUGACAUAUUUUGUCCAAAAUUUUGUUGAGGCUGGAUAGCUCGUCCCUAUCGUCUUUGGGGGGCAGCUUUUUUUGAUUUUGCCGAGAGCUUUUGAAUUCGGCGUUUACUGCCGUGCUCGUCGGGCUGUUGUCCUUUAUCUGGCACGGUUCUUUGUUACGGCACGGCUUCCCGUUCCCAUCUCUGUGUUUGGACGUACUCGGGUCGCUGGUGCUGCUUCUUGCCAACCAGCUAUCCUCUCCUGCAUAGAAGCGGGUCAUGAGGCUUGUUAGCACGGCCAUUGUUCGCGGCUUUUCUUGGCCGAGGUGUCUCGCGAGCCAUUCGUCUCGGACGCUAUGUUUGAAACCUGCUAGGGCCUCUGCGUCCGGACACUCGACUAUCUAAUUCUUUUUGAUAAGGAAUCUGUUCCAGAGCUUCCGGGCUGACUCUCCGGGCUGCUGAGUUAUAUGACUCAGAUCAUCUGCAUCCGGGGGCCAGACAUAGGUCCCUUGAAAAUUUGCCCGGAAAGCAUCCUCAAGCACUGCCCAACUUCCCAUGGUGUUUUCGGGAAGGCUUUUAAGCCAAUGCCGGGCUGGCCCUUUGAGCUUAAGGGGUAAGUAUUUUAUGGCGUGGAGGUCGUCUCCUCUGGCCAUGUGUAUGUGGAGGAUGUAGUCCUCGAUCCAGACUCUAGGGUCUGUUGUUCUGUCGUAUGCUUCUAUGUUUACUGGCUUGAAUUCGGCUGGGAAUUCAUGAUCCAGCACCUCAUCGAUAAAACAUAGGGGGUGUGCGGCGCCCCUGUAUUUAGGCGUGCCGCGAUGUUCGGGUAUUUUUUGCAUUGCAUCACUCAUUGGAGCUUCCUUUCUUGGCCUAUAGAUGGAUCUGGUUGGGCCAGUUUUUUGAUGCGAAUUCUUGGACGGAUCACGCGCCAUAUUGAGUGCGGCGUCCUUUGAUGCGUGAGAUUGAUCGUAGGGUCGUCUAUCCGACCUUGUGGCUUCCUUAUUUUUUGACUGUGGGGGCUUUAUGGCUUCUUCGUCAAAUUCCGGUAGUAGUUUCUGCUUCGGAUAGCUCUUUGUGUGGCGACUACUACCGUACUUGUGUGCGGUAUUGAGUACUUUGCCCCAUCUGAUCCUGAGUGCAUCUUCCACUGUCUUGAGCCUCCGCUUCUGCUUUCUCAGGCUACAUGCAGUGGCGAUGAGCCUCUGGUGGAGGUUCUGAUGUUCCAGCAAUUUGUUUGGUGUGAGGUUGUCCAGGCUAUUAUCUUUCCUGGGGAUUGGUUGUUCGGAUUGUCCGCCCUGCUUGGACGGAUGCUCGACGACAUGUUCAUCAUCCGUUGAGUCACCCUGCUCUAUGGUUGGGUCUUUGUCGAGGUGGGGCUUGGCCUUGCGCUUACGCCGCCGCUUUGAUUGUUUUUCGGGGGAGCGAUCCCUGGCCGCAUCCUUUUGGUCCUCGUUGUCGUUUCUGUUGUAUGUGUCCACCAUGCAUACAUUGUAUGAUGAGGUGGUUUUUCGGAGCCCUAUAGGUGCUGGUUCUUGAUCGUCUCCUUUAUCGGCAUCCAUACCGUCGAUAUCUUCGGAGUCGAAAUCGAGCAUGUCGGUUAUAUCUUCGACAAUGGCUAUCAAGUGGGUGGUGGGUGGGUUUCGAAUUUCGUCGUCCGCAUCCCAACCACCCCGACCGUAGUCCGGCCGGGGUUCUUUCGACAAAGAGAGGGACUUUAGCGAAUUUAGGAUAUCGCCAAAGGGCGAGUGCUGAAAGACGUCCGCGGCGGUGAACUCCAUGAUCGGAGCCCGAUCGGGUUAGAUCGAAAGGGGUACCGAAUAUUCAGAGUCCGGAAUGGAGCCCGGCACCUUGGAGUUACCGGCCUUGCAAAGGACUUGGCUGGUAUUCGGCUCUAUAGCCGCAGAGAUUGCGGCUCCUAGGGCGGCGUCCAACCGUCCGUCCCUGGCUAGCGCAGUCGGCUCCGAACUAAUGGUCGGAGUGAACACCUGAGUGGCGCUCUGGUCGCUGUCCGACGGCAGAGCUAGAUCAUGCCCAUCGAGACAGUGCGGCGCGCCCGGUCGUGGCCCGAAUCCGUCGAAGAUCAAGUCUCCGCGGGUGUCGGCCGUGUAGUUUAAGCUUUCAAACCUGACCUGACGGCCAGGGGCGUAGCUUUCGAUCUGCUCCAGAUCGCCAAACGAGUCGGCCCGUAGUGCGAAGCCGCCGAAUACGAAGAUCUGUCCGGGGAGAAAAGUCUCAUCCUGGACCGUAUCGCAAUUGUCGAGCGAAGAAGCCAUCGGGCCUAAAGGCGACGGCACAGAGGAACUCUCAAUGAAAGCACCAAUGUCGAUGUCAAAACUGGCGGAUCUCGGGUAGGGGGUCCCGAACUGUGCGUCUAGGCGGAUGGUAACAUGAGACAAGGGACACGAUGUUUUUACCCAGGUUCGGGCCCUCUCGAUGGAGGUAAAACCCUACUCCUACUUGAUUAAUAUUGAUGAUAUGGGUAGUACAAGAGUAGAUCUACCACGAGAUCGGAGUGGCUAAACCCUAGAAUCUAGCCUAUGGUAUGAUUGUUGUUUGUCCUACGGACUAAAACUCUCCGGUUUAUAUAGACACCGAAGAGGGCUAGGGUUAUACAAAGUCGGUUACAAUGGGAGGAGAUCUUCAUAUCGUAUCGCCAAGCUUGCCUUCCACGCCAAGGAAAGUCCCAUCCGGACACGGGACGGAGUCUUCAAUCUUGUAUCUUCAUAGUCCGGGAGUCCGGCCAAAGGUCUUAGUCCGGCCAUCCGGACAACCCCUAAUCCAGGACUCCCUCAAGGACGUUGCAGAUGUCCGGGAUGGACACGACUUCUUCUAACGCUAGAAGACCACAGGAAGAAACCCGGGACCAGAGCAUGUCGUGAAAGACGCACACGGGGCGGGCGUGUUUCGACUGUGUCUCCGGGGCACAGUUGAAUGUAGAUAUCAUUAACGCGAGGAUAAGGAUACCAGGCCGAGAAACCCGGGCAAGUACUCCCCUAAUGUGCCGGUCGCUAGCGCAUCCAGGGCCUCGGCGCCCAGCUCUGUUGGAGAGGCCGUCACUGAUCUGAAAAGUGCGUCUGCGGUUCAGAUAGACUGAUUCUGCGAACGCCUAGCCCCAGGAAUCAAUAAAAAAACAAGUGCUAAGUUUCAUUUCAGAUCAGUGAAUAAACCAAAAAAGAGACCUUUCUUUCUCGAUGCCACACUAUGCUCUUCUUCAACAAAUGAGAGUUUUCGGUGGAACCGGUGAACCACGCGAGCUGGUUAGAUGCGUGGGGCAGAGGGCUCGUAGUACCUGAUAGCGCAACUAUGCAGUGGAAGGGAAGGAGCCUAAAUUGACCCCCUUCUUUCUUUUUUAUUCAAAGACACAAAAGCAAGCACAAAAGAGAUUGGACUCUCAGAUGAGACUAAGCAGCUACCAUUCCGACGCGCCCCUGACCCUAUCUUGAUUCAAACCGAAAACCCUCUCUAAGGGGGUGCCUAGUUGAAGCUGUCAUUCAAAGAAUAAAUGGGAAUCCAAAUCCACUUUUAGGGAUAUAGAUGAAGUCUCGCUCAGUAAAGAGAGUUGUAGAUUCGUAGAAGAGGAUCAGAGUACGCGCGCUACAAAAGGCAGCUAGCUAAUGAAAGUAAGUGGAAAGAAUAUAGUACUUUUGUCCUGACCCCUCCGAGGCCCCCGGUUGUUUUGGCGCGCCCUACCCCAACGUUAGACUAUUGCCUUUUUAGCCUACGCUUGCUGCUUGCAGCAUGGAUUCGAUAGAUCUACCGAAUCCAUGCUUCCCUCGCCCGGAAGCGAGACUCUAUCCAGAUCUCAAAGAAUAACAAGCUAGGCGGCCGACGGGCAAAGAAAGGGGGUGGGGCGUUUACUUGAAAAUGACAACCGCCUGUUCCAGCAGUGGGGGCCUUGCACGAGAGCAAACCUACGAUUAAGUAGCAGUUGCUUUCGCUGAUGGGCCCAGUGAGGGGGGCAUUGCCCCUCAGUUCUUACCAACCUCAGGUGUUUACAUCUAACUUAUUAUCUUCUUUUUUCAAGCAAGCCUGACCUCAGCUGUCCAUUUCUUAUUCAUUCAGGGCGCCCCUAGUGGACUUGGCGGUGCUCCUUUCUCAAGCCAGAACAACUCUGAACGUUAGGGAAAAUAAGGGAAGACCACCUGAGCGAACCGACCGAAGGGACUUUACUUAUCCGAACCGAACGUUAGCGGCUUAAGCUAAGCCUAUCAUGAGCCGCGUUGCUGCUUGAUCGGCGGGGAGGAAGAUCUCAAAGUAUGGGGCAAAUGAUCAAGCGCUUUGACUUUGCUUUGUCCCCCGGGAUCCACCACAGGUUGCGUUUGAGAGCCGUGUGAUGGGUGACUAUCUAGCACUGUUCAGAGAGCACAUGUAUGUAGUCUGCGCUGGUGAAUGGAAGCCCCCGCCGCAAAAAGUAAGCGGCUCUUCCCAUGGCUCUGUCACCAUUGACUCUAUUCAUUAUUAUGGUAAAUCAUUGUAUCAAGAUGUCAAUCUUAGAUCUUAUUUUAGUUCGAUACGUCCACCUACGAAACUCGCCCUUGGCUUUCGUCUCGGUAGGUGUAUUAUUCUACAUUUUCCCAAAAGGACAUUCAUUCAUUUCUUUCUUCCCGGGCGAUCACCACGACUAAAACGAAAACAAGACAAGAAAUCAAGACCCGUACUAUAGGAAAAGGGCUGGUGGCCGACAUUUGUGAAAGUCGGGCCGAUCGGGUGUCUUCAUUCAAGCGAGGGUACAGAGGAAGAAUGAAACGAAGUGAGAGGCCGGGGGGCAGGGAAAAGAGUCGAGUCGAUUGACCGGGAGAAGCAAAACGAAAUCCGGAUUUGGCCGAAAAAGAUGCAACGUUAUGGAUACCAUGACCAAUCACCAUCGAGAAAGAAGAAUUUUGAUAAAUCACUUCGGGUGAGCGGGGCCUUCAAGCGGCCUCAAUACGCUGGGGUUGUAAAUGGCAUACCUUUCCUUAUGGGAAAUGUCGCCUCCUUACUAAAAAUUAAUAGAAUCAAGUUAUUUUUACCAAAGAAGUCCCGCACUGACGGCGCGACGAGUCAUCUACUAAAAAGGACCCUCCCCGCUGUGCGCCCCUCCUUGAAUUAUUCGGUCAUGCAAUACUUUUUUAAUGCUAAGAUUAAAAUGCAUUUUGACCCCGUCCUAGUUCUCAAUCAUUUUGUGGCACCGGGUGUGGCUGAACCAUCUACGAUGGGGGGAGCGAAGGGAGGAAGCUUAGAUAAGAGAAUACACUCUCGCAUCGCUUUUUUUUAGAAAGCUCUACCAACGAGAAAAAGUGUUUGGCCCGAGCCAAAAAGAGGUUGAUCCACUUCAUUUGCCAAGCGAAUGAUCUUCGCUUCGCGGGAACAACAAAAACCACCAUAUCGCUCUUUCCUUUCUACGGUGCUACCUUCUUUUUUCCAAGGGAUGCGGUUGGGGUGUAUAAUAACCCUUUUUUUUGAGUAUGCCCGGAAACAACUCCUAGCUCAAUUUAGGAUCAAAUGUAGGAACCUCAUGGGUAAGGAUAAGGUAAUGGAAUUGAUAGAGAAAUUCAUAGACCUAGGUAGGAUAGGAAAAUUGAUAAAGGGAAUAGAGAUGAUGAUAGAGAUGAUACUGAGAAAGAGGAUAAUUCCGUAUGAGUACAACUCUUAUUUGAACGAAGUGCAAAAAAUGCGAUCUUUUUUGUCUAAUAGAACAAACACUAAUACCUUAAUUGAGUUGGUAAAGAUCAAAUCUGUUUAUCAAAGUGCUUCUCUGAUUGCUCAAGACAUCUCUUUUCAACUGAGGAACAAUCCAAUCUCAUUUCGUUCCAUUUUUAGUAAAAUAGUGAAGGAUAUUCCAUUAAUAAUGCCAAAAGGGGUGGAGGGGAUACGUAUUUGUUGUUCUGAUCGAUUAGGGGGUGCGGAAAUAGCUAGAACUGAAUGCGGAAAGUAUGGAAAAACAUCUUGUAAUGUAUUUAACCAGAAAACCGAUUAUGCUCCUGCGGAAGUAUCUACUCGUAAUGGAAUUUCAGGUGUCAAAGUGUGGAUCUCAUAUAGUCAAAAUAAGAAGGGACGUGCUAUAUCCGAAAUGUACGAAAUAUAGUAAAUAUUUUAAAUGCAGAUGUAGUAGGGGUCGCGAACCGGAUGGUACACAACUUGAUUUUGGGAGAUAUGUCACCAAAAGUUGUAGAGUUGGUCAUCUUUCAUAUCGAGCCAUUGAGGCAGCGCGUCGGGCUACAAUCGAACAAUUCCAUCGUGCUAUGAGCGGACAAUUCCGAAGAAAUUGUAAGAUAUGGGUAAGAGUUCUCGCAGAUCUUCCUAUUACGGGGAAACCCUCAGAAGUUCGAAUGGGAAGAGGAAAUCCAAUUUCGGUAAGACUUGAUCUAUCAUCUUAUUCUUUUGGUUUCUUUUUGGGGGGACUGAUAAUAGUUCUCAUUGUGAUUGUGGCUGUAGUUUUAGAUCCCUCUUUGAUCGUGACAGAUCAAGCUAGGGAACUAAUCAUGGAAUGGAUUCUCUCACUUGCCCAAUCUUUUUAUCACAUUCUACGGGCCCUUUUCGAAGAAAUGCGGCAAACCUUGAGUGGACGGGAGCGCUAUGCCCCCCUGGUAGGAACAGAGCUGCUGGCAAGAAAAACUCCUUCGCGUUCGGAGGAGGAAACCUCCAAGGCGGCAUACAUUCAUCUAAUGCUAUCAGAUGAGAGUGAUAGUGAGAGCAUUAACCAACAAAGGGGUGGGAGCGAUGUGCCGCCUUUAACUAUUGACUUGAAUCGACCGACUCAGGAUCAGGAAGAUAUUCGGCAAUAUGCCGAAUCAAUAAAGGAAUUUUGGAUUGAUGAGCAAUUGAGAAUUUCAAAAGGAAUUAUUCCACUUCCCCGCUCUAUGAUCAAUUAUGCGCCUACGUCAGAGAUGCUGAUGUUGUUAAAAACCAGUGUAUCCGAGAGAUCUCGGAGAACUUUCAUGCAACAGACGCUGGGUUAAUCGAUUUCGUCAAUCAGACGGAUGACACUGAAGGGCAAAGAAGAGUCAUAUGGGAUCUUAUCAAGCUUCAUUUCUAGGAUGAGCUUGAUAAGAUCCCACCCGAACUACAACAAAAUGAAAAUCCAGAGGAGGAAUGAAUGGUAUGGUAGCCAUCAUGAUCAUUCUCUUUUUCGUUAUAAAGAUAAAGGGCUUGCUUCAUUUGAAGAGUUAGUUGGCCGGCCUACCGGCCCGCAGAUGUAGAGACAGAGAUAGAGGUUGCCUCUCUUAUUGAACUGCGAAAUCAAAGGGAUGCUUGGAAAGAAAGGAACACACGGCUCCUAUCUGGUUCGAAUCCAGUUCGUCCCGGCCGGCCACAAAGACUACACCAAACUACACUAACUAUGAGUUUAUGAAAGCGCAGAAAAAAUGAUAACUAUAUAUGGGAAUAUGAAAGCAAGAACUACUAAUUGUAAAAAUGACAAUCGAAAGCCCCCCCCCCCGGUAGAAAACCAGCUAUCGUUUCAUAUAUGCGCUAGGAUAUAUAUAGUAUACUAUCCCCCUCAAUCUCAGGAGUCGCUUUCUCUAUGCCCGACUUACGAGCUCUUUGCUUAUUAUUUAUCGGGUGGGAUGAAGGUCGAAAUGUCUAGUUUGAAUUGCUUAUACUUAUAUAGUUUGAAUCGUCUAGCUUCAUACCAAGGUUGUUCUACAAAAGAACCAAGUAAGAAAGUAAGCCCGUUCAAUUGAAAUAGCUUCCUCGCUUCGCAGUUCGAUACCCACUGAAACUAUGGAUACGAUAGACUCGGGAGGGGUAAAUGGUUACUUUAUUUGGCCUGCUAAGUCUUUCUUGUUGAUUCCGGAAAUAAAGAGGACCUUCUUAAUCCUUCGUGCUCCACACCCGCCUCACUGGACCUAUCCAUUCAAGCUCUCUCCUCCAAUCCCAACUCGACACGGUUGGACAAUGAUGCCUGUUCACUUAUAACGAAAUCACACGUUAAGCCCGAUGAAUUCAUCUACAAUUUAUGGAUUUGUCGGUUUGGCAAGGCAGAACCAGGGCCCUUCCAUUAAGGUUAUAUUAUAGUUUUGAUAGGAGAGAUGCAGACCAAAUAGGAAUGCAAGAAUACUCUGUAAAUUGUUUAUUAAUCGGUUUAGUCUGUGGGAGAGAAGUCUCGAUCUAGAGGAUUCCCCCCCCCCCAGACUGACCUCGUUGUCCUUGACUUGCUUCGGAAAGAGAAGACCUAGUACUUGUUUACCUUGACCAUGGCUACUUUCCCGCCGCCUUUCCUUCUAUACUUUUCCUAUGUGCUAUCCCAGGCAUCCCUUGUCAAGCUACCUAUCCCUACGAAAAAGCAAGCCUACUUACUACGUAUUUUCCUCUAUUGGCAAAUACGCAUAUACUAACCUACUCACAUGCAUAUCUUGCAUAAAGCCUUCCCCUAAAAAAACAAACUAGCAUGUAUCUUCCUAGUCCUUGUUGCCAGCCCUACUCGACUUUACUCGACUAUUUAGAAAAAGCUACUACUUGAAUGCAUACUUUUACUAUUAUUUAAAGAAAAAACAAAAACUAUUUUUGAGUUUAUGCCCCACCAACAGAGCAAAAGAACGCUCAAAUGAGGACCUAGAAUAUGAAAGUGCAAAAUAUCCUACCGAACAAAGAACGUAGGAGAACAGGACCCACGAAUCAGCUCUAGUCAGGAAAGCCAGGGCUCNNNNNNNNNNNNNNNNNNNNNNNNNNNNNNNNNNNNNNNNNNNNNNNNNNNNNNNNNNNNNNNNNNNNNNNNNNNNNNNNNNNNNNNNNNNNNNNNNNNNNNNNNNNNNNNNNNNNNNNNNNNNNNNNNNNNNNNNNNNNNNNNNNNNNNNNNNNNNNNNNNNNNNNNNNNNNNNNNNNNNNNNNNNNNNNNNNNNNNNNNNNNNNNNNNNNNNNNNNNNNNNNNNNNNNNNNNNNNNNNNNNNNNNNNNNNNNNNNNNNNNNNNNNNNNNNNNNNNNNNNNNNNNNNNNNNNNNNNNNNNNNNNNNNNNNNNNNNNNNNNNNNNNNNNNNNNNNNNNNNNNNNNNNNNNNNNNNNNNNNNNNNNNNNNNNNNNNNNNNNNNNNNNNNNNNNNNNNNNNNNNNNNNNNNNNNNNNNNNNNNNNNNNNNNNNNNNNNNNNNGGGUAAGAGCCCUGGCUUUCCUGACUAGAGCUGAUUCGUGGGUCCUGUUCUCCUAUGUUCUGAGGAACGCUCUACCUCGGUGCCUUCCCUUCAACAACAUCCCUCUCCAUUCCGGAUAAGGGAAUUGAAGGACUUAAAUGAGAGAAUAAGGCAAGCCCAAGCAUUUUCAAUUCCUAAUUUAAGUAUACAUAUACCUUUCCAGGCAGCAGAGCAGAGGGAGAGGAGCCCUCGUCCAUACGAUGGUCGGGAAUAGAGGGGGAAGCUAAUUACACCCUUUGGUUCCCUAUCAUAGGACUGAGCAUGUCUCAAGGGACUGAGACAUGCACUAACAAGGCUCAUGCGUAAAGGGAUGCAACCUCUAAGGGUGCAGACUUUACAACAGGAAAGGAACAGAUUUGGGAUCUUACCCUUGUCGAGUCCGGUCGCCCAGGGCGCUUAGGCAAGGUACCUAUGCCAGAGGUACCGAUCUAAGCUUUCCCUAUUAAAGGGAAUUCCUCCUAACAUCGGAAACUCUAUUUAUUUGGGAUCGGUCUUCCUCGUUCGUUCCCUCAAGUGUUCGGUCACUCCUCGUCGACCUUGUUCUUAAUGGUAUUGCUAGGUUUUUAAAAACUACCUUGAAUAAGACCAACAUUAUGAACUACUACUCGCUGAAGUACUUCGCUUUCAAGUAGAUGGACUUGAUUUGAUCACAUGAGGGAUCAAAGGGAAAAGGCUUGUUCACUCCAAAAAGGAGGCCUAUUUGGCCGAUUUGCGAGACCUGACGUAUGAUCCUUCACAAUCAGGCUCCAAGUCCUUGUUGGACUCCUUUUUUAAUACCAAACAAGGGCUCUGCCUAAUGCAUUCAGAACCGAACAUUAGCAUUCCGGGCAAGGAAUAGAACUGCUUUGCUAUUAAAUGGAAGUCCUCCCAAGGGUCGGACACUCUUUCUUUAUUUACCAAACUAGCAACAAGGAGCUUUUCCAAGUAGAUUUCCCUGUUCAGAAAAGGGCUGGAAACAAUGGGUUUUCCCGAGCGACCGAUCCUAUCUGUGGUCGAACAGCUUGAUUUCAUCAAAUUAAGGAAGCCAAAAAAAAGCAAAACCGAAGGAGAGACUUGUUUUAUGAGCAAGAACGAGGGAGGCCCCUUCGAGACCCUACCUAUCGAAGCCUUGUUUUAACAAGGGAAAUAUUAGGUACCACAAGGCCUCUUUUACUAAACGAAUCCGCCUGAAAACGUGUUCCAUAAAAAACUAAGUAGGACCCUAUUGAAAGUGCAAGGAACUGGAACCGAUAAAAAAGAUAGGCACUUUUCCUAUCUUUUCGCGUUAAGGCGCAGCAGUCAGGUAAGAAACUGGAACUGGAAACCGGCUAACGUUACUUUUCCUUUUCAGCUUCGGAGUUGCAAACCGGCAGACCUUACUUUCUGAAAAAGAAAGAAGUACGGAAACUGAUCCUAUUUCAGAUCUAGAAUUGCAUUCAAACUUAGGCCGUUUUGAAUUGACAUAGCUUGACCAGUGAACUCUCAGCGCGUACGACAGUUGCUUCGACAAACAUUCGAUAAACUAGCUUUCGAAGUGCCACGAUCCUAUCGAGUAAAAUCAUCCCCCGGGGAUAACGACCAGUGCAAGGCUACCCGCCUUACCACACUUUCCUUGAAUGUAAGUUGCUCAGUCAACCAGGAAGAUCAUGGCAGCUAGACUAAUUUGAGAUUAGAUCAGUGUCAUCUGUAGCUCCUUGGUAAUGAACUGAAAAAGAGACUGCUCACCGCUGAGAACAAGACGGCACAGGUUGUGGUUCUUCUCCAGUGUAGGCUAGCUGCUGGAACCCACCGAGUUCAAAUCCGAGUUAGGAAAUUAGACUCUGCAAUAUCGACCGACGCGACGCUAUCGUGAUAAGCAUAGCCUCCGCCCCGCAGAGUGCUAUAUCAAUGGUUCACCAGGCUCAAUUCAUUAAUGGCUUAGGGCCGGUCUUCAGUAAGUCAAUCACCAUCGGGUGGAGGGGAAAGCCCUAUGUCAAGGUCAAUGGAUUCACCUACCCCAGUCUCAGAACUUUCUAGACUUUCUUACCUGUGUUCUUCUCAACUAAGAGAAGGGCGUGCAUCUACAGCAGUGGUAUUAUCUUCCGUUUUCUUUUUGCAUCUUUGAAUCCUGGUGUGUUGGUUAGUACGAAGCCUCUUGGCUAGUAUAGAGUUGUGGUUUGAUAUAGCUACUAGAGAACCUGGAGGCACUCUCUAAAAAUAAGUAUUCUUCAUAUGACAUGUCAAUAGACAACUCCUGGUAUGCUCAUUUCAUUCCUCUUGGACCUAGAUCUUCACUUUCAAAAGUGCAGAAUUGAUGUAUCAAAGGCAUUUCAAAGGAACAGAGGGUCCAUCUUUGAAGUGAGAGACAAUUGGUUUCAACUGUGUCGUAGGGGUUGUAUUCUUAGACCUGCCAGACGGGAGGAACCACCGUCCUGGGUAUUGAGCAUGUGAAUCAUGUUAUUUUGUAGGAAUAGAGAUUCUAAGCCAUCAUAUCUUGUUCACCCUUGGCCAUGUCUCCUUCCGAGAAUGAGUUGGUUUGGGAAGAUCAUUAGGUUACUGAGAUCGAAGUAGUGAGGCUGCUUGAGUGCCAUCGAAACCCAUUUGAAAUUGCAAUGACAUAUUGAAGUAGUAGUUCAUUCAGCACCCGAUUAGGUAUCUGGAAAUAGUUCCUUAGCUCUUUUCUAGUUCGUUAAUGACCUCAGCGGUUGAAAUGGAAUUGGAUCCCGGCUUGUUAGUUAAUAGAAUCUAAAUGAGAUUGAAUGGAAAUGUUGGUAAACCGAGGGGUGCAUCAUACUUUUGAAUAGAUGUUGGGGUUCCUAAACCAUAAGGAUACUCUUUUCAUAGAACAAGGCCCGCCAAUCGAUCUCCUAGGCUAUAAUCCAAGGGAUAGCUUAACAUGCAUCUCCUAGAUGGAAGUGUGCUACAAUAACUUUGAGCUCCUGUAGUCUUUGAUCCUUGAUCUGAAGAGGUAGGCAGCUAUGAUAAAGAAGCCAAGGGAUGAAGUGAUUGUGGUUGGCAUGCCACAUUGAAACUAGAUAGGUGGAAGCUAUUUUAGACGACCUUGCGGGUCAUCCUAACAUUGAAAUGAAGCUAUUUGAGCAGACAGUGAAUAAAGCUAUGAAUGGGGGUAGCUUUACGAGGCAUAAUGCCGGUGUGCACUUUUUUUUCUUAAACUAUGGUUGAUCCUUUGUAAAUCAGAGGUCAACAUUUCUUUGCAAUGAGCGUUUAUUAGGUCUGGAAAACCUUGUUAGGUGCACUCGUAGGUGAGCUCAAAGCGAGGAUUCAUGCAUUCUUUCUUCUCAAGAAGACGGAAUGAUUGCUCGGUAUGAUAUAGAUUCUUAGCCAGGGGUUUGGUAGCUUAUACCCCCUAGUUUGCAAUGUAGAGCAGAAAUGGUUGAAACGGCUCCCAUUGUGUGUGGGAAUUCUUUCAAAUGUGCAUGUCCUGGCGACUGAUAGGAUGCCCCUGCGAGUGCUAUUCCAUGUGCUAGAAAACCUCUUUGGCACAUCUUUCGCGAUCUAGUUAACAGCACUUUAGUGACUCAUGUCUUCCAGGGCUUAAACCUGCUUAUUAUACUAGAAACAAUGGAAUACCUAAAGUUGGAUAUAGGUGAGGUGGGACUUAAGAAUGCCUUGUCUGGAACAUCUCUUCAAAGCAAGAAUUAGCGUAUAGAAAGGAAGCAGCAUUUCCUUUCAGCUGCUUUUAAAAAGUCCCCGGGGAUAUAGCCCACUUCUCAUUUCUCAACACCAGCUUCUCUUCUCUUUUAUUAAGUAUAAGAGGGAUAGGUACUUAUUCCUGGCUGGCGGUAUCAUUGCCGCUCCCAUCCUCAACUCCAAUCUCUGAACUAUUUAUAUGUAAGUAAAAUCUCGCCAUGCCAUGGGGCGAUUUCUUUUUUCAUUCAACCUUUUAAAUAUAUCUGUUAUUAAUAAAAACACUCCAUAGAGAAGUGAUAACCUUUGCACAAGUGAAAGAAUCCCACAUACCCACUCUCCUUUCCCUCCAACCAGAAGUAAUAAAACCAAAGCUACCUGGCGUGGAGGCCUGGAAUUCACUAUUGGAUUAAUGAAUCCUACACUACGAUCAAUAAAAAAAUAAAAAUAAAAAGGUAAACAUCUUAUUUGUUCUUUAUUCUCACAUUUCUUUUUUCAUAUUGGGGAUUGGGAAGAUUUAUGGGAAGAGUUUGCUUACUUGAUCUAUAAUUAGCAUCGAGAGCUGGCUAUUGGGGUUAUCCAGCUCCUGGGGCUUUUUCCAUCUUUUGAUUUUUUUCCAGUCAUUGACUGAGAUAGAUAGCAUCAAGAUCCCAUUCUAAGAUGGAAUGGGUGCAGUCAGUUUGGUCCUCAGUGGACCCCGGAAGCUGCAGAUGGAAAACGUGGGCCUUCUCCACUACCUGGGAAGCCAGCGUAUCCACUUUGCCCCUUAUCUUAUUGAUAGAUUUCUUCGUGGCACGGAGAAUUCUUUCAUCUGGAUCGCUAGUCAUCCAAUCCGAGGGAUCCGCUGCUGUAGUCGUCGAACAGGAAAAAAGUAAGGUAAUAAUAACUAAUCCUACUGCAAAGGCCCCACCCGGAAUGAAGGUAUUUGCUAUGGCCUUCGCAACCCAAACAAGAAACGAUUUGAGUAGUAAGCGGCAUCCCCUCUGAGUUGUGAGUAAGCGGAACCAUUCUUUUUUUGUUCUUCUCCAGAUUCUGGCCGGAGGGCUUUGUACCAACCAUUCUAGUGUGGUUGGAUUCUGUUCAACAGCCCAAGGACUUUCCGCACAUUUUUGGUUCUUUCCACUGCUUGAAGUGAUCGCGACAACUACGAAGAAACGAUGAAUCCCAACUACGGAUAUAUAAGAACCGAAACUGCUCAGAGCAUUCCAUCCGGCGUAAGCAUCUGGAUAAUCUGGAAUGCGACGUGGCAUACCCGAAAGCCCUAAGAAAUGCAUGGGAAAGAAGGUUAGAUUAACCCCGAAAAAGUGAUCCAAAAAUGGAUUUGGCCUAAAGUUUCAGGAUAUGUCCGACCAAAGAUUUUACCCACCCAAUAGUAAAAUCCAGCAAAUAAAGCAAAAACGGCUCCCAUAGAAAGUACAUAAUGGAAAUGUGCAACCACAUAAUAAGUAUCAUGUAGAGCAGUGUCUAGCCCAGAGUUUGCUAGAACUAUUCCAGUGAGCCCUCCUAUGGUGAACAAAAAGAUGAACCCUACAUCAAAUAACAUGGGUGUUUUGUAUUGUAUUGAACCUCCCCACAUGGUAGCGAUCCAACUAAAGAUUUUGAUUCCUGUGGGCACAGCUAUGAUCAUGGUAGCUGCGGUGAAGUAGGCACGCGUAUCAACGUCUAAGCCCACAGUAAACAUAUGAUGAGCCCAAACUAGAAAUCCAAGAACACUUAUACUUAUCAUGGCAUCAACCAUGCCUAGAUACCCGAAGACCGGUUUUCUUGAAAAGGUCGAUAUGAUAUGACUAAUAAUACGAAAUCCAGGCAGAAUGAGAAUAUACACCUGGAUGACCGAAGAACCAAAAGAGAUGCUGGUAUAAUAUUGGGUCUCCCACUCCUGAAGGAUCAAAAAAGGUUGUAUUAAAGUUUCGGUCGGUUAAUAACAUUGUAAUUGCCCCCGCCAGUACCGGAAGUGAUAAUAAAAGUAGGAAUGCUGUCACUAGAACGGACCACACAAAAAGUGGUAAUCUAUGCAUAGUCAUUCUAGGUCCACGCAUGUUGAAGAUAGUUGUUAUAAAAUUGAUAGAACCUAAAAUUGAUGAAAUACCUGAUAGAUGAAGACUAAAAAUUGCUAAAUCAACUGCUCCUCCAGAAUGGCUGGUAAUACCACUUAAGGGCGGAUAGACUGUCCACCUAGUGCCGCUGCCCACUUCUACUUAGUCUGAGCUUAAUAGGAGCAAGAGACUUGGUGGCAACAACCAGAAUGAUAUAUUAUUUAAUCGUGGAAAUGCCAUGUCAGGUGCACCUAUCAGAAUCGGAACAAACCAAUUACCAAAUCCACCUAUCAUCGCCAGCAUAACCAUAAAAAAGAUCAUUAAAAAAGCGCGAGCCAUUAUUAAAACAUUAUAAAGUUGAUGAUUCCCACCAAGAAUUUGAUCGCCGGGUCGGGCUAAUUCCAUACGAAUCAGUACGGAGAAGCAUGUGCCCAUCACUCCUGCAAUGGCACCGAAGAUGAAAUAGAGAGUCCCAAUAUCCUUGUGGUUAGUAGAGAAGAGCCAUCGAACCAUAUUUGUCAUUUUUAAUUUUAGAAAUGAAAACUUUCCUUAUCAAAGAGGGGCCGGGGGGCUGGAAGAGAAAAGAAUCAGAAUUACUGAGCUACCCUGCUAUUUUUUUCUUCUAAUUCCCUUCUAAGAUCCUCCGACUUAAACAAGUCGAGAGCAUGCUUGUGCUCAGAUCUUUCGAGACUUGCCUUGCUCUUGGGGAUUUCUUCCCACCGGAUCCUCUGUUCCACUUUUAGGUACCUCCUUGCGAAGCUUUCCGCCUCAAGGAGAUCCCGGUUGUGGGAAACAACAUUUCGAAUGAAAACGGAUCCUCCCUCAUUCUCCCGCAGAUCUUGAUAAGACGCUUGGAGAAUAGUGAAAGAAUCAGUUGCGUGAAUACGGUCCAGAUAGGAACGAAGAGCUUCAUCGACCAAGUAGGGCUCGAUCGGUAGAUAAGGCCCUACUCUUUGAUAAAGCGCCACACACUCCUGAAUGACAUCUUGUCGCAUAGAAGAGAGCUUUUCUUCCGUUAGGAAGAGCUUAAGCCGCCCAGGUAUGUCUUCCAGGGGGGUAUUGUGAUUAAGCUCGUUCUGAAUGAACGUAACCCAUCCCGGAUCCUGCUCGUAAAGACUCAGAUAGAAGUUUAGCCCUGCUAAAUGAGCUAGACCUGGGGGUCUUGAAUCUCCGGCGGGAGAGUGAUCAGAAAGGAGGUCUUAAUCGAUAGCAAUCCAAAUCUAUUACUAUCAUCACAGAAGUAGUUUGCUUCUAACGAAACUACUUUGUUCAAUAAUCAGAUGAAGUGGCCUUUACAUCAAUAAAGUCAUAUUAAGGUAAAUAAUUAUACAGCAAAAUAAUCAUAUCUUCGUUCAAGAAAUAAAGAUAUUCAUUAUUUCUGACUAAACCUGAACUUUGCAGAGCUAAUCCUGAAGAAAUAGCGUGCCUUAAAUAUAUUAUAAUUGGAACUCUACAAAUCGUCACAGAAGGAGGACUUUCACAGAAAAACAAAAGUUGUAUGCCAAAAAGAGCCAAUGUGAAUUUAGGUUCAAAAGGAUCAAUAGCACAUGACGAAGUUCAAGUGUCUUCUCUUCAAGAGAAUAGAGCAUAAUUGUAGGAUUAUAUGGAUAUCAGUGCUUUUAUUCAAUUCCCGAGGCACUCUUCAAUGAUUGAGGAGAUUCUCGAGGCAGUCUUAGUGCUAUCGUCAGGGUCACCAGCCUACUGUACCCCUUAUUCUGGCUUAGCCUUGCUUAAACAGAAGAGGCUUGGUUAGCAUCCUUUCUAUUAGGUGCUAUUCUUUGCUACCAACAAUUCUUUAAGUACGCGGUGAAGUAAAUAAUAGUGCACUCACUGACAGUAGAACCCCUAAGAAAUCUCACAGUAUAGGCUGAUAUCUUUGUGCAAUGUCAUUUACGGGUGGUUAGGCAAAUAAACACAAAGGAAUUGAUCGAUUCUCUUGGUUGAUGUGCUUUCUUCCAAACCCUUGACUGGAAGAUAGUCAAUACUGCCUUGCUAUUUGUAGAAUUCCUCCCCUGGGUCGGAGAAUAUAUUACUUUGUUUACCGACAUGUAGAUGGAAUAAGACCAGCAUUAUGAACUACUCAUCACUGAAUGUUACGUACUGCCAUUCCAACUAGCCAACUAGCUAUUAACUAUUAAGGGGAAUUCCUCCCAAAGGUCGGAAACUCUAUUUAUUUAUGGGACUGAACUUAUUGAUACAGUCAGAUUUAGGAAAAAGUGCAUGCAUGUUUCACAUACCCACUCGCUGAAAAGAGGUCGGGUCAGAAAAAACACAGGACCCAGAAAUUGCAUAUAGCAGCGAUCGAGACCACCCGCUAGGAAUCUCGGCAACCCACAUUUGAGGAAACCACUACUUCAAGAUAGGUUGGUAUUGAUUGAAGGCAUGUGUCAGAAGUUAGCCAUCACCCACAAAGCUGUUCGCACUCCAGAACAAUCAAGAACCAACAAUGCACAUGAAGAGGCGAUCUUCCUAUCCUAGCACGAUACUGGGAUCUGAUAAGCGUUAUUUGGAGCGGCUGCAAAGGGUGCAAUACUACUUGGCCUAGAGGGGACUAGGAUAAACUGUUCCAAGUACCAAAAGCCCUAAGGCUGCAAACGAUUACCCAUAACGAUCGAUAUAGAUUUGGCUCGAGGUGCUACUGAACCCUGAAUCCAAAGAUUGAUCACCUAACCAAUUCAAGGUCACAAGAUAAGAAAGGACGGUGCUCCUCUAAUCCUGUAUUUGAGUGACUGUUACGCAACAUUGGUGAUCAGUUAAUGGCAAACGAAAAGCUAUUCAGGUAGACAAUAGUCUGGCUCGAGUGGCUAGGUAUGUCCUAGUCACGCCCUACCUAGGGUUGAGGAACACGUGUUUGUCCAAUUUCGACAAAACUAAGAGGAUGUUACAAUCCCGCUAUAAAAAGAAUUUGAAUGCCCCGUCGACGUGCAGGCCUAUCGAGCUAUAAGUGAGGGAUCUUAUUUAAAGGAGGGACGAUGAGAAGUCACGUCUCAGAACAGAAGGGGUAGAAAAAUGUGGGGAACCGAGAACCACCUGCUCUCUAAGAAACCCAUGGAAAGUCAAGAAGUGAACGGAUGCAAAACCGCUUUACUAAAGAAAGUGGGUUCACUAAGAGGGGAGAGAAAAAGGCGGGCGACAAGAAGGCGGUCGCAGGCAGUAAGUAGAUGGACGACUCUUCGACAGGAGGUAGUAAAAUUACCAAACCUAAGAAGACCAUUUCUUUGCUGUCGCUCUAGCCCUACCGGGAGGGGGCUUAGCCGGGUCCAACAAACCUUAUGAGUGGGUCCCACGCACUCAGGCAAAGAGCAACCGACGAAACGUAAGAUGGCUCCAUACCGGGUGGUAAAACACAAAUGGUAUGGGAAACUAUUCAGUUGCCACUGGAACCAAAAACCAGUGGUUAAGUGGAUCAAUCCAAAAGGAUUGAAUCAACUUAUUUAUUCUCAAUAGCUCAGCUCGAGGGGAAGACCCUCGAAGUAUGAGGGAAAAGACCAAUUGAUAAAGCGCACAAUGCUAAACUCAAAAAUUGGUUGGUACUUUUCUAGGAAAAGAACUACUCAUCCCUCUAAAGCCGAAGGAAAGACAGCGGACUAACGCGUCAACCUUUCCAGAAGCCCAGGAGAUAAGGAGUUAGCUCUAUGCAUUCCUCUAUUGAAGGUAAAGAAACUGAACAGUUUUUCAUACCACCCGGGAGGUGAAUCAGAGUGAGGAGGCCCUCGGGGGGGCUUACUUAGAUUGUUAGGUAUAGUAAUAUAGGCAUGAGGCAGGCCCUACCCAAUGAGCGACCCCGUAGCAAGCAUACAACCAAAGGAGACCCUGGCUACAAGAAGGCCCUAUUCCAAAGGUGGGAAACCAGGUAAUACAGCACGGCAUCAGUGUGGUCAAGCCGGUAAUUGAACAGAUUCGGGAUCUUACCCUUGUCGAGUCCGGUCGCCCAGGGCGCUUUAUCCAAGGAAUGCAGGCAAGGCACUACUCCGCUUUCACAACAGAACUGCUUGACUAAUUGAAACUGACGUAUGCAGAUGUGAUAUUACUAGUCUGGAUUUGAGAUGACAUACUUGAGUCGAGUAUACUCGGGUGGUUAGGCAAAUAAACACAAAGGAAUUGAUCGAUUCUCUUGGUUGAUGUGCUUUCUUCCAAACCCUUGACUGGAAGAUAGUCAAUACUGCCUUGCUAUUUGUAGAAUUCCUCCCCUAGGUCGGAGAAUAUAUUACUUUCUUUACCGACAUGCAGGUGGAAUAAGACCUUCUAAGCUGGCUAUAACCAUCCUUAUUGACCAGAAAGGAAUUGAGAAAGGGGAUUGUAUCACUACUAGGGAAAAGCCUAUACACAGAAUCUUAGCAGCAGCGCGGCUCAAAAAGGAGCGCUGCUGCUAAUUAGUAGUAGCGCGUGUGCGGGAAACUCGCUGCUGAUAAGUUUUUAGCAGUAGCGCGCUCUGUGUAAACCGCGCAGCUACAAAUAUCGACCGACGGUGUUCACCUAACUCCAUUUAGCAGUAGCGCCGUGGCCCGAACCGCGCUACUACUACGGAUGUAGUAGUAGCGCGCUUUUACUGAGAUCGCUGCUGAUAAAUUUCAAAUUGGCACACUUUUUUGUCACUGUUAGCAGUAGCGCCGUGUCCCAAAGCGCGCUGCUGCUAAUUCCUUAUCAGUAGCGCGUUUCUGCUCCCGCGCUACUGCUAACCCGCACCAACCCACCACCUUUCCCCACCCGUGCCUCCCCUCCCCCUCCUCUCUUCCCUUCCCCCUACCUCCCCCACAUGAUCCCACUCUCACUCUUCUUCUUCCUCAAUACUUCUCCCCCACUACUCUUUCUCUUCUAUCCACCUUUCUCUCUCUUCAUUACUCCUACCUAACUACACCACCUCCAUUAANNNNNNNNNNNNNNNNNNNNNNNNNNNNNNNNNNNNNNNNNNNNNNNNNNNNNNNNNNNNNNNNNNNNNNNNNNNNNNNNNNNNNNNNNNNNNNNNNNNNNNNNNNNNNNNNNNNNNNNNNNNNNNNNNNNNNNNNNNNNNNNNNNNNNNNNNNNNNNNNNNNNNNNNNNNNNNNNNNNNNNNNNNNNNNNNNNNNNNNNNNNNNNNNNNNNNNNNNNNNNNNNNNNNNNNNNNNNNNNNNNNNNNNNNNNNNNNNNNNNNNNNNNNNNNNNNNNNNNNNNNNNNNAUUAAUGCAUCUCCUUUCUCUUUUUCCUUUCCCCUCCACUGGUUGAAGUUGUCUCCUCCCAAAUUAGGUAGCUAGGUAGAUGUAGGAUUUAGUUAAGUGACCUAUUUGCCGCCUAACUAGAUCUAUCUUUGUCAAGAAGAGCGUUGUGCACUUUUGAUCUCCCUACAAAACAUCAUCUCCACCGUGUGCUCGAUCUCGAUCGAGAUAGAGGUGAUGAAAAUUUCAUGCUUUUGCAAAAUGGAAAUAUGUUUAUGUGUGUGUGAUAUGUUUGUGGAAAUUGUGUGUGGCACGCCAAAUUGUGCUUUUGAGUUGCCUAUGUUUUGCCGAAAUGUCAAUUUAUUUCCGUUUCGGCGAAUUCCGGGCAAACUCUAGAUCCAUAUAUGUCCUAUUUUUAGGGAAGGUCAUGCCAAAUUUUUGUAUGACUUUGGUGCAUGCAUGCAUUUUUAUAAUCAAUUUGUUUAUUAUUACCGUGCAGAGUUGACGAUGGUCAGUGGAACGAUGGUGGACAUGUGGUUGCGGUCGGCAGUGCAGGACAUGAAAGAAAAUAACCGGACAGAGGUUUUAUGUCCAUGUCGAAAAUGCAAAGGAAUAGUUUGGCUCGACCCCCAUGACGAUGGUCGUGUCGAAGCACACCUGCUCAUGACUAGUUUCAUGGAUGGCUAUACUCGGUGGAUAAUUGAAGAUGAGGAUUACGAUGUUGAGGAUGCCGACGGGGCAGGCAAUGAUGACACGGGGCAAGACGAAGAGAUGAUCGAUAAUGGCAGCGGGGAAGAGGCCGGACAUGGCGGCGGAGAAGGGGCCGGACAUGGUGGAGGAGAAGGGGCCGGACAUGGCGGUGGAGAGAACGACAUGGACUCCACGCAGUAGAGUCUGUCGGUACUAAGUUCAAUCAUGCAGGACCCUCAUGUUCAAGCAUUGCUUCGCAAGGAGACGAGUACUGAGAGAGCUGCUUCUAGAGAGGAGGCUAAGCUGGAGCAACUGGUGGUAGACUCGAACACUCCAUUGUAUGAUGGUUGCAAUCCUGAGGUGACCCGCUUGAGUUUCAUGCUCCAACUCCUGAAGACGAAGGCUAAAAACAAAUGGACCGACACUAGCCUCGAUGAGCAUCUCAAGUACCUAAAGGAUGUUCUUCCCGUGGGUAAUCUAUGUCCUACUAGUGUUGAUGAGGCCAAGAAGAUCGUGUGCCCUCUUGAUCUGCCACACGUUAGAUACCAUGCAUGCAUCAACGACUGCAUAAUUUAUUGGAAGGAGCACGCGGAAAAAACAAGCUGUCCGGUGUGCAAUGCUUCUCGAUACAAAAAGGCCGGGAAGAAAUGUCCCCAGAAAGUUGUAUGGUACUUACCGAUCACUCCCCGUCUCCAGAGGUAUUUUGUAGAUCCCAAGGAAGCAAAGCUAAUGCGCUAGCAUGCAGAGAGGAAGAAGCCCGACGAUGGAGAUGAUCCGAAGCCGAGACACGUGAAGGAUCGAAGCCAGUGGAGAGCGUUGAACAGCUUCUAUCGGUAUUUUGAAUGUGAUGCAAGGAACAUUGUGCUCGGCGCGUGUACCGAUGGCAUGAAUCCGUUUGGCAACCAGAACACCAACCAUAGCACAUGGCCCGUGUUUGUAUGGAUGUACAACCUCCCCCCCUAGUUGUGCAUGAAGUCGAAGUACAUUCACACGAGCAUGCUUAUUCAAGGGCCGAAACAACUAGGAAAUAAUAUUAAUUUGUAUCUGGGGCUUCUUCAAGAGGAGUUAGACACGUUAUGGAAAACACUGGCCAAGACAUGGGACGCCAGCAAAGGUGAGUAUUCCAACAUGACAGCCGCGCUGAUCACGACAGUGCAGGACUAUCUCGGUUACGGAUAUGUGGCAGGCCAGGUGUGCCAUGGAUAUUGCGGAUGCACGCAGUGCAUGGAUGAUACGACAUCUCAGCAGCUAACGUCAAGGAAAGAUGGCGGGUCUGGGAAAAUCAUGUACAUGGGGCAUCGAAGAUGGCUUGAACAGGACGACCCGUGGAGAAAACGUGGAGAUCUAUUCAAUGGUCACGCUGAGCAUUGAGGACCUCCACGUAAGCGGAGCGGUGCCGAAAUCGAUGAGCUGUUGAAAAACUGGAAGGAGUGCCCCGUGCCAGGAAAGACGAUGAGAAAGGCGCCGGAUCCGCUGCUGAAGGUAUGGAAGACGAGGUCUGUGUUCUGGGACUUGGAGUACUGGCACAAACUCGAUACACCUCAUUGCCUUGAUCAAAUGCAUAUCUAUAAGAAUGUCCUUGAGAGCUUGCUCGCAACACUGAUGAACAUGCCGAAUAAGACCAAGGAUGGGCCGAAGGCAAGAAAAGACUUGCAAGAUUUGAAAAUCAGGGAAGAUCUGCACAUGCCGCCCCGUAAAAUAUCAGACGAGACAGAGACGGAGACAGAGGCACAGGAGAAGAAGGGCAAGAAAAUAAAGAAAGAGGAUUAUUGCCCCCCUUCUUGCUUCACCUUAAGUCAGGCUGAGAUCAAUGCCUUCUUUAAGUGCCUUACCAGAGUCAAAAGUUAGUUCCGGUUACUGUGGAAAGAUAAGCAGAUAUCUAGACACGGACAAGAAAAGGUUCAGCGGGAUGAAGUCUCAUGACUGUCAUGUGAUGAUGACGCAGAUACUACCUGUUGCCCUUAGAGGGAUAAUGGACAAGCACGUCCGUGACACGCUUAUUGGUCUCUGCAACUUUUUCGAUGUCAUCUCUCGAAAGUCGAUCAGUGUGAAGCGGCUCCAAAGGCUAUAGGAAGAGAUCGUUGUGAUACUGAAUGAGCUUGAGAUGUACUUCCCGCCCGCGUUCUUUGACGUGAUGGUGCAUCUGUGUGUCCAUAUUGUGGAUGACAUAAUAGACCUGGGGCCGUCAUUCCUGCACAACAUGAUGCUGUUUGAGAGGAUGAAUGGGAUCAUCAAAGGAUUCGUUCGUAACAUGUCCCGUCCGGAUGGAAGCAUCGUCCAGGGCUUUUUAGCACAAGAGUGCAUCUCUUUCUGUGAGAAUUUUCUAUAUGGCGCAGGCCAGCCGCCUGGUGUUAGUGUUGGUUUGCCCAUUAACAAGCACGAUGGGAGGCUCGAAGGAGAUGGUCACUGCAAAGGUCGCAGGGAACUGCACGUGGCAUACUCAGAUCGAUGCAGCGACUUUGACAAAGCAAACUUGGUAGUGCUACAACACCUAGACAAGGUAGAUCCUUUCGUGGCACUGCACAAAGAAAUUAUCGCAAAGAAGUAUCGUGCCCGGGGGUAUGCAGGAUGGAUGCCGAAGUUACUAGAGAGCACAACUCCACUUUCCUGCAUUGGUUCAAAGAGCAUAUUAUUGCUAAUCCUCCAGAAGAGGGCUCUAAGGACGGAUUGCUCAUAUACACCUUAGCACAUGGCCCCUCGCCCAACCUCGUAACCUAUCAGGCAUAUGAUAUCAACGGAUACACGUUCUACACGGAGGCCAAAGAUAUGGACAGUGAUGAUCAGAACUCAGGGGUGACGAUGGAAUGCAUGACCGGCAGCGACAACGGCGCAACUGAACGAUUUUAUGGAAGGAAUGAAGAGAUCUGGGAGCUUGACUACUCUGGACUACACAACACGAUGAUCUUCCAUGUCAGAUGGGCUAAGAAUGUCAAAAGAGAAAGUCAUAUUUUCAGUACCAUGACUAUACCCGACGCCAAGAGCGCUACCGUGAAUGCUAUCGCAAAAAACGAGCCAUGGGUACACGCUAAGCACGUGACACAAUGCUUCUUCAUAACUGACCCGCGCAAUCCCAGCCGUGUUGUCCUGAGGAGAGGCAAAAGGAACAUCAUUGGAAUGGAUGGAGUCACCAACGAGGAAGACUAUGAUCAGUACGGCAACCCAAUGAGGGAAGAUGACGAUGAUGAUGAAGUAUACGUCAAAAGAAGAAUCAAUACUACAUUACCUAAGAAAACUCUUACUCCAUGGAAAAGGCAAAGUCACAAUGAGGGGCUCAAUUAUUCUUCAACGAACAAGAAGGGAAAGAAGCUGACUCAAAAACGAAAACAUCAGCACUGAGGAAACUUAUGUUAUCGGUCAAAUGAUGUAAUAUAUAUAUGUUCCUAUUUUGUAUACACACUUAGCCAUUAUUAUGCAUGGGUCCAAUGAUGUGUAAUAUAUAUGUUCCUAUUUUGCAUACAUAUUUAACCGUCAAAUGAUGUAAUAUAUAUCGCCCUCCCUUCGUUCACUGCCCUCGGGAAAUAAAAGUGGGAUAAAAUAAAGGAAAAGAAAAAGGAAAACUGGCAGUAGCGAAGGUAGUAGCAGCGCGUUUUGCCUAAACCGCUACAGAUACUGAAGUUAGUAGAAGCUAAUUUCUUAUAAAGCGCUACAGCUACUGAAGGUAGUAGCAGCGCGUUUUGUCCAAAUGCGCUACUGCUACGUCCACUUAACCCAAAAUUCUCACCCGCCCUGCUUCAUCCCGCCUUCCCCCCCCCCAAAUCCCCACUCUCCCCCGUCGCACCGCCGCGCCCGACCCGUCCCCAACGCUCGCCCCCGACUCCGGCGCCGGCGCUAGCCCCCGACCCCGGCNNNNNNNNNNNNNNNNNNNNNNNNNNNNNNNNNNNNNNNNNNNNNNNNNNNNNNNNNNNNNNNNNNNNNNNNNNNNNNNNNNNNNNNNNNNNNNNNNNNNNNNNNNNNNNNNNNNNNNNNNNNNNNNNNNNNNNNNNNNNNNNNNNNNNNNNNNNNNNNNNNNNNNNNNNNNNNNNNNNNNNNNNNNNNNNNNNNNNNNNNNNNNNNNNNNNNNNNNNNNNNNNNNNNNNNNNNNNNNNNNNNNNNNNNNNNNNNNNNNNNNNNNNNNNNNNNNNNNNNNNNNNNNNNNNNNNNNNNNNNNNNNNNNNNNNNNNNNNNNNNNNNNNNGCGCCGGCGCUCGCCCCCGACCCUGGCACGCUCGCCCCUGACCCGUCAGCCCUUGCCUCCCUCCUCUUCCCUCCCGGCCGUCGUCGGGCCUGCCUCCUCGCCCCUGCACACUCUGUAAACCCCCCCCUCUCUCUGCUAGGGUUCUUCGGCUAAUUUACUUAGGUUUUAGUUAGGGCAGUAUGUUAAUUAGAUUAUCUAUUUAGUUAUGAAUUUAGCUAGGUUUCAAAAUUUAAACUGGACAUGUGAUAUGUGCGAAUUUGAACUGGACAUGUGAUAUGUGCAUAUGUCAUGUUUUGGACAUGUCAUGUUUGGAAAAUGAUCCGAGUGGCCUAUGUUACGCCGGAAUGUUGAUUCAUUUCUGUUCCGAUGAAUUUCAGGCGCUCGAUAUGUCCAUUUUUUAGCAAAGGUCAUGCCGAAAUUUCCCGUGAAUAAAGGCAUGAUUUUGUGCUACAUAGUUGGCAUUUCGAGUGCUGGCACAUAGAUUUCUUUUUAUGUCAUUUCUCAUUUAUUCAUACUUUUAGAAAUAAAUGAGGACACUUAAUCAUAGGAAUCAUGUCGAACAACGAAGAAAAUGGGCCUUCUAACCAAGAUGCAGACGAGAUGGAUUAUGAGGGUGAACAAGAGUACCUCGACUAUUUGACUGCUAAGCAAGGUUUGUAGGUCGGCCUCGAUGAUGGUACUGAUACCGACAUCGACACCGACAGCGCCGACACUGAUGGCGGCACCGAGACCGGUGGGGAAGGUACCGGCGGGGAAGGUACCGGCAGGGAAGGUACCGGCCCCGGUGCCGCUACCGAAAAGAGGAAGCAUAAGAAGCAGAGGAUAGGAAAACCUAACAAGCUAGGGAUUGGACGACUUGUGAUCACAAAGAUGGCACCUGGCAAGUUUGAGCCGUUAGAGCCGGAAGAACCUCGCAAGUGCUAUGGGAACCAAGUAGGAUGCAUCCUACGGGAAUGCACGAGCAUCAACGACGAUGACUUAAGGAGUAAAGAACAUUUGACACAGUUGCUCCUAAUGAAGUUGCACAAGAGAUUCAAGUUCCCCGACCGGGAUGAUAACAUAGAACAACCGUGGGAUGAUCCGAAGAUGAAAAAGAUUAACAAUCACACCAUGGGCAUGUUCAACAAUGAUUUGGCCUCCUGGAAAGGGAGGGUGAAACGAGCUAUUGAGGCUGAUGAACCCCUGUUCAAGAUUCUGGAGGAAAAUCCGACACUUACGGAAGAGGAGUUCAAAAAGUUCAAGGACACUUGCGCUACCGAGGCAGCCAAGGCUAAGGCUGCGAAAUUCAAGAGCCUUCAGGAAAGCAACACGGGGAAGCAUCGCCUUGGAAGCCGUGGCUACCUCGGCAAAAGGCCCAUAUGGGAUAAGGAGGACGUGGAACGUGAAGCCGCGGGUCUCCCAGACCCCUUCGCAAAGUUCACCAACCCCUUGGAGCAUGACUUCAUCUAGGCCCGCUACAAGUGGGACAAGGAAAAAAAGGUUUUUUACACGGACAAGAUCACGAGGAAAUUGAUUAGACUACUGGAGAAGCAACACCAGCUUGCAGCCGAAAGCCCUACUUCUCCGAGGAGGCCCAAGUGGGACACCCCUCUCAACCGGGCCUUGAACGAACUUAAGGGACUCCCUUUGGAUCAACGGCCGCAAUAUGGUCAUGUGCACGGCGCUGGAGAUGGCGCCACGUGGAAGGUGUUUUACAACGAGGGCCUGGAGGCCCAAAAGCUAAAAAAGAAGUUUAGUCCAGUGGACAUCGACGCGAAGGUGAAGCUUGCGGUCGAGAAAAAAGCAGCUGAGGACGCGAAAAAAGCAGCCGACGAUAAAUAUGAGUUGCUACAGCAGGCAGUCAAUGCAGCUGUAACUGCCUGCAGAAAUGAUUUUUCUACUAUCUUGGUUCCAAUUAUCAUCAAGUGGGCGAAGGAAAAUCCAGACAAGAUGGUACAUGAUUUCCCGAUGCCCAGUUUCGUCGGGAGCAACUCCAUGAACAACAACACCAUCGCACCAUCACAUGCUCACGCAACUGGGCCUCCUCUCGCAACCGCUCCCGCUCAUAGCAGCCUGUCCUCAGUCUCAGGCACGCUAGGUGGGCCUUCGUCUUUGGCUGAGCUCGACGCCGUCACGGUAAUUACAUGUCGCACCAACAUAUAUAUAUAUAUAUAUAUAUAUAUAUAUACAUCUGGGCUAUUCUGUUAUGCGUAACAGAAUAUUAUUCUGUUACCCUACUUGAACUGACGUGGUUAACAGGUUGGACUGACGUGUUUUUCAACCAGAACUUAUCUUCCUGCGUGCACGACAGACGGAAACAGGGGAUGCAACGUCGAGCUUCCGGUCGUUCUCCGGCGCGAUUCUGCGGGCCAUUCGUUGCUAGAGGAGACAUGUAAGGGUUUCCGCACGUGCGCGCGCUCAGCUGGAUGUUUUUUGAGAUUAUUUUUCAUCCCUAAUUUAUGUUUACAAGUUUUGGUGUUCUUGGUCGUUUUCCACGCCCGCCAAGGAAAUCUGUUCUUCUUUUUCUGUUGUUUAACUUUCGAAUUGGUGUUGCAGGGAGAGAUAUAAGGACUGUAUGAAAAGAUUUGCGUUGUCAAUUUUGCUUUUUUGAGUUGUUUCUACCGCGGAUUCCCAUGUCAUUUUGUCAUUGGCGGAAGUUGUGUAUGGCGGCUGACUAUAAGCUGCGAUUUCUUGUAAUCCGGUCAAACUGUGUAAUAAGUUGCGUGUUUUCAGUGUUGUUUUGAAUUGAUGCCCGUAUGUGUAGUUGGACUGCUACCGUGUCAAAGUUUUGUUACUGUGUGUUGACAUCGGAGCCGCACCGAUGGCUCUGCACUUUGAUUAUAAAGGCCGAGCCCUCUGUUAGUUUCAUUCUACGAGCUGCAACCAAAGAAAAGGGAGAUGGAUCCUGAGCUGGGAGAGGUUACAGAGGAGGAGGGGGAUGCCAUAGAUGUGAGGGCUGCAGUAGCGGAGCAGAGGAGGAGGAGGCACAGGCGCAAGCAGAUGGCGCGACGUGCUGCCGAGGAGGAACUGGAGGCAGACUUCAACAGACGACUUGCACGUGAGGUGAUGGAUACUUGCAACUCCAAUGAAUUGGAGCUUCUUUUCCCCGAGGGCAGGGGCAGGAACCAUAUUCAGAUCAUUAGUUGGGCUAGGGCGAGAGCAGCCACGGCUCCACAUCCAUCUACCAGGGCAAAAUGGCGUCGUUUCUUUGAUCGUUAUGACUGAAGUAGUGAAUAUUAUGUUUUUAAGAUUUUUGUUGUGAGGGAGCAGAUGUUCGAAUGAAUAAAUGAAUUCAACUUUGUUUUUGUCCCUGAAUGUGUUGUUUUGUCUGCAUAUGUUCGACAUGUGCACCUUUGAACUGCUUGGUUUUCUAAAGUUGAACUGAUUUGCGGUCAAAUGUUGGAUGGCUUCUGUAAUAACUAUUUCCUACCAGCUGGCUGCCCAUCUACCUAGUUAUUAUUUUUAUAAUUUGCGAGUGUCCCUGACUAUAAACGUUAUCCAUUUGUGUGUGGUAUGUGGCCAAGUCUUCCCCCUCCCUUUCAUUCAUUCUUCCAGAAUCAGAUCUAGGUUCCUCUCUCUUCUCUUUGUUGCUUUUUUCUCUGUUCCUGUGUGUUCGAUGGAGGAUUGUUCAUGCGGAUGCCUGGUAAAGAUGGCGCGCAUAGCUGACGGCUGUGUGUACGAGUCUGGUUUGGAGCUCACUCAGACUCAGCGGCGUGGGCAACUUUCUUGUUUGCUGUACGGCAACCAUGGGUUUCGUACACCCUAUGUUUGUCGCCUGACGGAUGGUGACUUGAAGGAAUCAUGGGUAUAUGUUUCUAUUCGUUUUGUUUUCUACUUUCUUGUUGUUUUCUGUUCGAAACCCAUGGACUGGAUCUGCAGUUUUGUCUUAUGAAUAGCCUGUCUAUAUUUUUUUAAUUAUGUUUUGUUGGAUUUUAACAACAGGGAUUUCUAUGUGUAUUUGUUCAUUACUUAACAAUAUUUAAACCAUUUUUUGUAUAAUCCCUGAUCUGUUUAUGAAUAUAUGUUUUUACUGUAGGUGUAUUGAUAUGUAUAUUUUUCAGUUUAGUCAGUUCACAUGUCUAGUUAGUUUUGUGUUAUUGUUUUGGUUCAAAUUUUUUCCAUUUUAGUUUGUUAUGCAAAUCGUUCCUAUAUCUGUGUAAAAAUUCAGUUAUGUCAAGUGUUCAGUUUGUUUUGUACUCCCAUGUCCAUUUGCAGAAAAUGUCACCCAGGAUCAGGAUUGUUGCUCCUAGUUCCGGUGUUCUGAAGAUGGAGACUUCAGACAAGAAUGGGUUUCAGUUGAUGGAUGUUGCCUACCACAUUGACUUUGAUGGUUGCAUCAACCUAACUACUGGGUGGAAGGAGUUUGUGGCUGAGUCUGGAUUUGAGGAUGGUGAUGUGGUUAUGGUUAUGUUCUUGAGAGAAGACGACUCUCUGACGUUCAGAAUUUAUGUGCUGUAGGUUUAAAUGUGGCAAAUGACGCCGGCUUUGAGAUUUGUGUAUGGUUGAUUAUGUUGCAGUAUUUUUUCUUUUAAAACAUUUGCAUGUGAGAUGGUUGAAUUGUAUUGUUUUUAUCAGAAUGGUAUGGAACUAGUUAUGUAAUGUUUUUCCUAUUGUUCUGCUCAAGUAUAAGUGUUUUAUUUAUACAUUCUUUAUAUUAGUAAUGGAACAAUUUCUAUAGUUGAACUGAUGGGUAUUCUUUGUUUUGGCUGGUAUAUUUUUCAUGUUCAUAACUAGGAGAUGGGUGCUAUACGCUGAUGAUUUUUUUAGAACCCCUUUUUGUUAUUGAGUUUGCUGAACUUACAUUCUGUUUAUGAUAGUACUGCUAUAUUUUAGGCUGUCAAUUACCAAUUAAAUUUUGUUUGUUGUAUAAUAUUUUUUCCUUACUUUUUUACAUGAAUUUUGGAGCACGUUUUUUUUUUCUUUUUUAUAGAUGAAUAAUGAUAGUUUUGGUAUUUUAUAAAAAAAAUUUAAUCUUCGCUCCACAGUACUUUCUUUUUUAUUUGUACUUGAACCUUAUGAAUUGUAGUAGUUGAACUUCUUUGUAAAUUCGUUUCUGAAAUUUGUAUUUACAGUGUUAUAUAUUUUUUUACUUCUUACCAUUAAGAUGUGUUUGAACUUUGUCACAAUAUUUUUCUUUAUUAACUGAUUUUUCUUGUGAGUUUUAUUUUUUAAAUUAUUUUCAUUUUUUAUUUUUUGUCGUGCGUGAUCUACUGGAUUUUUGUAAUGGGGCGAAGUACUUUGUUGGGCCAUCGGCCUUGGUCGUUGUACUCGGCCCAGAUAGCUUCUCUCGCGCGGCUGUGCAGCACGGCGUGCGCAUGAGCUAUGUGUUUAGUCCCACCUCACUUGUCGAGGGGGCUCUACACUUGUUUAUAAGCGCAGCCGACGCUCACUAGUCGAACUCCUCUGAACAGUUACCAGAUUGCUUAUACACGGCGCUCUCUCUCUCUUGACCUGUGGGCCCUGGACGGCAGGCCUUGCGGGUGUGCGGAUUACUAGGGAUUCGCCCACGGGCUCGAGUUCAAGAAUCUAGCAUUUGUUAGGGCCUGCGCCUGUCCUUGGGCGGUCAAUUUUUUCUUUGUUUUUUUGGAUCUAGUACUUGACUACACCAGUAACUUGGACUGGUACUUUUUUGUCCUUGUGCUGUCAAUUUUUUUCUUUUUCUUUUUUUGUUUGUUUGAAUAUAGUACUAUGGCAUGACUUGCCCCCGCACCGGACUGUACCGAGGGGCAUAGUUGUACUGACACAUCUUCCUUGUAUGGACUUUGCCCCAUUAUCUAUCUUUUUUAGGGGUGUGAGUGCGUGGGGUGGGGUGGGGGGAAACAGAAUAACCGCACUGCGCCUGUCAAACAAGCGCACUGCCGCGUUAGGCNNNNNNNNNNNNNNNNNNNNNNNNNNNNNNNNNNNNNNNNNNNNNNNNNNNNNNNNNNNNNNNNNNNNNNNNNNNNNNNNNNNNNNNNNNNNNNNNNNNNNNNNNNNNNNNNNNNNNNNNNNNNNNNNNNNNNNNNNNNNNNNNNNNNNNNNNNNNNNNNNNNNNNNNNNNNNNNNNNNNNNNNNNNNNNNNNNNNNNNNNNNNNNNNNNNNNNNNNNNNNNNNNNNNNNNNNNNNNNNNNNNNNNNNNNNNNNNNNNNNNNNNNNNNNNNNNNNNNNNNNNNNNNNNNNNNNNNNNNNNNNNNNNNNNNNNNNNNNNNNNNNNNNNNNNNNNNNNNNNNNNNNNNNNNNNNNNNNNNNNNNNNNNNNNNNNNNNNNNNNNNNNNNNNNNNNNNNNNNNNNNNNNNNNNNNNNNNNNNNNNNNNNNNNNNNNNNNNNNNNNNNNNNNNNNNNNNNNNNNNNNNNNNNNNNNNNNNNNNNNNNNNNNNNNNNNNNNNNNNNNNNNNNNNNNNNNNNNNNNNNNNNNNNNNNNNNNNNNNNNNNNNNNNNNNNNNNNNNNNNNNNNNNNNNNNNNNNNNNNNNNNNNNNNNNNNNNNNNNNNNNNNNNNNNNNNNNNNNNNNNNNNNNNNNNNNNNNNNNNNNNNNNNNNNNNNNNNNNNNNNNNNNNNNNNNNNNNNNNNNNNNNNNNNNNNNNNNNNNNNNNNNNNNNNNNNNNNNNNNNNNNNNNNNNNNNNNNNNNNNNNNNNNNNNNNNNNNNNNNNNNNNNNNNNNNNNNNNNNNNNNNNNNNNNNNNNNNNNNNNNNNNNNNNNNNNNNNNNNNNNNNNNNNNNNNNNNNNNNNNNNNNNNNNNNNNNNNNNNNNNNNNNNNNNNNNNNNNNNNNNNNNNNNNNNNNNNNNNNNNNNNNNNNNNNNNNNNNNNNNNNNNNNNNNNNNNNNNNNNNNNNNNNNNNNNNNNNNNNNNNNNNNNNNNNNNNNNNNNNNNNNNNNNNNNNNNNNNNNNNNNNNNNNNNNNNNNNNNNNNNNNNNNNNNNNNNNNNNNNNNNNNNNNNNNNNNNNNNNNNNNNNNNNNNNNNNNNNNNNNNNNNNNNNNNNNNNNNNNNNNNNNNNNNNNNNNNNNNNNNNNNNNNNNNNNNNNAGCUAGGAACGAGCCGUAGCAGGCGACGACGCGGCGUGCCGCGGCGUCGCAUGCGUAGGCUAGUCCAUAUCAUGACUUGCCCCAUUAUCUUAUCUUUAUUUUUUAGGGGAAAAACAUGACCGUUAUGAAUUAUUUUUUCAUUUGUACUUGUUUGAUAAAUUUUUUUGUACUGUUUGUGAGUUAUUAUUUGUACUUUAGCCGUUUGUUCUCACCAUCUAUAUUAAUUUUUUAUUUGCAUUUGAUUUUUGGUAUUAUCUUUUUUAACUGGCUAGAGAUAGUGGGCUUCGCCACGGUUGUGGGCUUUAGCCGUCCGUUUUCUCCCAGCCAUCUUUUAACCCUCCCACUCACCUUUUAACCUCUGAUGUUCCCCGUUCUGCUCCUCUCCCGUCCCCAAAUCGAUUCCGUCUUCGUUCCCCUCUUCUUCUCUUCUCGAAGGGGGAGUUGUUACUCCUGUUUCGCCGCGGGAGCGUCGGCCGGAGGGCUCAACCCCAGGGGUGGAGGUCCGGGUGUUCUGUUUUGUUCUUUUUGCUCUGCCAUUGACUUUGCUUGCGUUCUCUUAUAUUCAGAUUUUCUCUCUAUUUCUAAUCUCUUGCUCUCUUUGUUGUCCCAGGCUGCACUCGCUAGGGUUCCUUUGCUGUUGAACGAGCGUUUGGCGGCAGUGAUACUGGAUUGCGUGGCGGAUUUUGUGCUUGCUGGUAAGAGUUUUGCUUUUGUAUGGCGUGCUUCGUUUCUGAAAUAGUUCAAAUCCCUAAUUUUUGUUCAUUUGUCUUGCAGAUCUAGUUCGGCAGAUUUUAGGACUGUAGAUCUCAAUGGGUACAUCAUCCAGUCCGGACAAAUUGAAUGCAGGUGAUUUUCGCUGUAUUUUGGAUGAUGUUUUAAUAGAUCUGUUUUUAUGUUGUACAGUUGUUGCCGUAUCGACUUUAUAAGUUGUUUGUAUUUUGAUAUGUGUUAAUUUUUUCCUAGAUUGUAUGGUGUGUAUGGUUUUUGCAGUUGAUGCAACCUGCAGACAGGAUGUAGUACUUAUCACCAUGUGUAUUUUGAACUGCUGUCCUGGAAUUUGAAUAGGUUGUAGUAGUCAAUGAAGAACUAGUAUGGUGUUAAAAGCGUUGUGUUUUCUGAAGUUUGUUCUGCAAGUGGUGGGUUCAUAUUUGUUUUAUUCGGUGAACUUGUAGUGUUCACAUAGUUGAACUUAUUGAUUGUUCUUGUACUUUUUUGCUAAUUAUGAUGAUUGUUGCAGAUGUUGGAGUGCCGGUGCCUCCUGAUUCUGACAAAUCAGAACGCUUUCAAGAUCUUGUGAAUGUUAUUUUUGAGACACCAAACCCUCUAGAAGAACUUGCGAAUGUUGCUGGUGUUUCCCUUAUAUUUGCUCUAUUUUUAUCAGCCUUUAAUACAUAUAUAUGCUUAGUUACAUCAGUUGUUCCGUUUUGUUUUGUGUCUGAUGCUAUGCGCUUUCUUUAUCUUUGUGUCUACAUUGUUAAUUGUGUUUUAAUUUUUUAUGUGCGUGUUUAUGUUAUUGGUUUAUGCAGUUAAUGACAGCCAUGGUGUUCCAGAGGACAUUGCUGAUGUUGUUAAAGAUAUUAAUGAUGGAAUGUAUUCACUUAACGUUGAUGAUGGUGAUGGCAGCUUGCAGUUGUCUGUUACUCAGUCUCAAAGUGUUGAUGGCACUGAGCCUGUUACCCAAGCUGAGGAUGUUCCUAUGCAGUUACAGCUCGAGGACUAAAGGAUAAGAAAGAAGAAGUAUGAAUUCCAUGAGAGAAAGGAAUUGGAACGGCGUCAAAAGGCUGCCUGUGUGCCAGAAAGUGAUGUUGAUGUUGCUCAAGCUCCUAAAUGUGUAGGCGGUGAAGGUGGUGACGCGGGUUUUUCAACUGUUCAUGUCAGAUCUCAUGGAAUUGACAUGCCUGUGAAGACAAACUUGAUGCAAACUCGUUUGACGCAAGUGUUUGAUCGUGAUGGAGUUAAGGAGAAGAAAGUUGUUUUGAAGAGGAAGAUGUCAGAUCGAAAUCCUGAUGGCACACAGAGGCGUAGCCCACGUGUGAAAGCUGGUUCCCAACCUGGUAAUAGCAAAGCUGAUGCGGAUAGCAUUGCUGUGAAAAUUGGUCCAAGCAAACUUGGUGGCUCCUCUGUUCGUCGGAGUCCACGAGGUUUGACAAAUAAGAAGCCUUCUUCGUCUCCUCUUCAAGAGCGGUCUUUGUUGAAAGAAAAUAAGAAGCGUAAAGUUCAUCCUGCAAAGGUGAACAAAGGUGUGAAGAAGCGUGCUCAUGUCGAAGCUGAAGAUGCUGCAUCUGAAGAAGAUGGUAUUGAAGUUGAUUCAGAAGAUGAAUUUGCAGUGGUAUGUGUUUUGUACUGCAUGUGACUUGCUAGUUGUACUUGCAACGAUUUAAUUGUGUUUGGGCUGGUAUGCUGGCCAGGUGAGGCUGGUCAUUGUUUUGCAUCUAUUUGAUUGUGGUACUGAUGUUGUUUUAGUAGUUGAACUUGUGCAAACUUUUCUUAGUUUUACUUACCUUCAUAUGCUUGUUUUGUUUCCUAUAUUCAUUGUUUGCAGUGGUAUGUGUUUUCUUGUGCAUGUGACGUACUAAUUGUAAUUGUAGUGAUUUAAUUUCUGUUUGGGCUGGUAUGCUGGCCAGGUGAGGCCUGUCAUUGUAUUCAUUAAUUAAGGGUGGUACUGAUGUUGUUUUAAUAGUUGAACUUGUGCAAUCUUUUUUUUACUUACAUUCGUAUGCUUGUUUUGUUUUCUAUAUUCAUUGUUUGAAGUGGUUUGUGUUUUGUACUGCAUGUGAUUUACUAGUUGUACUUUCAAUGAUUUAAUUGUGUUUCGGCUGGUAUUGCGGCCAGGUUAGGCUGAUCAUUGUUUGGAUCAAUUGAGGGGUGGUACUGAUGUUGUUUUAAUAGUUGAACUUGUGCAAUCUUUUCUUUUUCUUUUUACGUGCAUUCAUAUGCUUUUGUUGUUUUCUAUAUUCAUUUUUUUAAGGUGUGGCUUUUUUGUUUUCAUUUACAGCCUGUUAGCGUUAUGAUUCCGGUCAAGCCGGUGGGAGGCAAUGCCGGAAAAGUUGCCUUGGAUGAAGGUGACCAACGGAAAUUGAACUUAACUGUGCGAUGUUUGUUGAGAGAGGUUGAAGAUUAUGCUAAAUUGCUCGAGAGUCGGCAUGUGGCUAGGGUUCAUGCAUCUGGUUUUGGUUCUAUCUUCAGGUGGAGGGUGAAGUCUAACAUUUCCCGCCUUCUGAUGGGAGUUUUGUACCUGAGGAUAGAUUGUGAUACAAUGACUAUUGACAUGGGUGAGGCUAAUAAGAAGCUUCGCAUCACUAGCGAUGGUAUACAACAAUUAUUUGGUUUCCCUCGUGGUGGUCGUUCUGCGCCAAGGCCGUCAGAGGACGGAUAUGAUGACGCUCUGAUGAAUUUAAGAUCGGAGCUUGACAUUAGCAGGGACAAAGAUAUCAAGACAAAAGAUUUGAGGAAUAAGCUCAAGGUGCUCGUCAAGGAUCCUAGCAAAGAUGACCUUGCUCUGAAAGUGUUCUUCAUUAUUGUGUUUAUGAAGGUUGUGUUGCCUGGAUCUGCCCCGCGUGUUUCCAGAGAGGCAGCAAUGUUUGAGGGUCUCGUCUUUGAGGACAUGGCAAAUAUGGAUUAUUUCCAGCUGAUGGUUGAUGAGCUUAGAAGGGCUGUUGCCAAGUACCAAAGUGGUCAUACCAUGGGGAAGGCAAUCACAGGAUGUGCCAUAGGGCCUGUACUAAUGUACCUUGACUGCCUUAUCCGUGGCAAAACUGUGGAGCCUGACAUGCGAGUCCCCUGCAUAUGUUACAUGGAUCCUGCCAAGCUUUCUGAUCUGGUUGAUGCAGAUUUGAUAAAAAAAGGCAAUGCAGAUCCAAAGACUUGGGUGUUUGGGAAGCUUCCGGUGAGUUCUGUUUGUUUUGUGUCUUGCAGACCUUUUUUUUAUUUUAGGUAUAGCUAUUUUUUGCUGUAGUGGACAUGUGUAUUGUAGAGUUGUCUGUUUAUAUUUUGUAUGGUUUAGGUAUGGUUUUUUAGUACUGUUGUUUCGUGUGUUGUUGAACUGAAUAACUUUGUUCAACUGGCCUCUUGGUAAAUACUAACAAAUUGGCAAUGACAGUUAAAGUUUUAUUAAUGGUGUUGAUUUUAAAUCUGUUAAUAUCAUGAUUUAUUUUUCCCUAUGUGUUGCGUUGAUUGAUUAACUAUUUUUCCCUUUUGUUUGUAGUGGAAAACUCAAGAGGAGGUUGUUUUUUUUCGAGUGUAUAAAUGGCCAGUCCUGGAGAUGCCGUCGUCUCAGGUUCUGAAGUUUUCAUCUCUGCCCAAUGAGUUGAGGGAUAGCCGUGGUGUUGAGGGUGCUGGUUAUGCCCCCUGGCCCUAGUAAUGCUAGUGCUUCACAGAGGCAGGGUUUUGGUAUUGAUGUCGCCGUUUCAGCAUUGGAGCGCGCUGAGCAUAUCUUAAGUAAUGUGUGUUCUGAGGUGCAAAAGGUCCCAACGACAGUGGAGCGUUUGAGCUGUAUCAAUGGUAUCCUUCCUGAAGGUCAUCAAUUUAACACUGAGGAAGCUGUUGACUACAUUGAGAUGGAGAGGAUUUUAAUCGGUGAUAUGCGCGACGGUGCCGCUAAUCUAGUUCCGAGCUCGGUUCGUCUGUUGAACAACAUGAAGCGUUUCAGAACUAUGCAAAACUCUCGCUGCAAGCCAUAUGAAGAAAGUGCAAAUGUUGUUAUCAAGCAGUUUGAGCAGGAUGGGGCUGCUGCCACCGACAGCAGGGCUGGUGAUGGUACUGAGGCUAAUGUUUUUGAUCACGAAAUGAAUGAUGUUGGUUUUGAGCGUCCUGAUGUUGAUGUGAGUCAGUCGUUGGUGUUUGCAAUUUUUAUGUUGUUGUCCUGAUGUCAGUGUUGUAGUUGGACUUCCUCAUGUUCAUCUAUUUAUUAAUAAUUUUCUUUGAUGCAGAUUGAUCACGAUGAGGCUGCUGGCACCAACAGCAGGGCUGAUGAUGGUACUGAGGCUAAUGUUUCUGAUCAGCAGACGAAUGAUGUUGGCUCGCAGCACCCUGUUGUUGAUGUGAGUCAGUCCUCAUUGUUUGUAUGUUUUUACUAUGUUGUUCUGCUGUCAGUAUUGUAGUUGAACUUCCUUAUCUACAUCUGUUUAUUAAUUUUUCUUUUCAUGCAGGAGAGCAAUCAUAAUGUUGAGGGUUCUGUUGACGGUGGGGUUAAUGGUCUAUCCACUGAUAAGUGCAAGGUUAUUUUUAUUUUCAUUGUGUUUAUUAAUAUUUUCUUAAAAUUUCGUGCGCACCGAUGUGUCUUGCUUGUUCAUUUUUCUAUCCCACACCGUAUAUUGUUGCUCAUAAUAGCAUUGUUUUUUUUGUCUCAUUACAUUUGAAUUAGGGUCCUAUUGUUGGCGAUGACUCUUUUUUGCCUGUUGGUGAUGUCGCUUUGAAUGUUAGCAGCAACAAGUUCGAUGGUGUUGCUGUGAAUGCUUCCAAAGUUUAUUUUUCUGUGCACCUAUUGGUAGCUAAUUUUUUAUUGUUAGUUUUGUUCAUAUUAUUCACUUUUUCUGAAUUUUUAUUUUCAUCAGAUUACUGAUGUUGAGCGUGAGGUUGUCCUUAGUGGUGGAGAUGAUGCUCAUGAUGUUCCAUUGAGUAGUGGGCGCAAUGUUGGUACCAAAGUUGCUGAUGAGGAUGCUGGUGCUGCCAGCAUACUUGAUGCCAAAUCGCCUGGUGUUGGUAUUGCUGGGAAUGAAAAUGUUUCUGUUUAUGAAGAUUUGCCGCCGGAGAAUUUCCCGCCUGGAGGUCUUGAUUACGGUGAUGCAUUGCAAGAUGCUUCUAGCGUGGAGGAGGUGCCAUCCGAGGAUGAUGAUGUACUUCUGUCAAUUUCUUCUGACCCCUUGACGCAGGAGGCGAUCUUGUCGUCCCAGGAUUUUCUUUCUACAGACCCUAAAAGCGCAUCAAUAUUGGUGUCCUCUCAAGAUGUCCCAUCGUCAAACCCUGAAACUGGAGGCAUAAUGGUCUCAUCACAGGAACUACCGUCGUCGUCAAACCUUGAUAGUCUAGGUAAGGACUUGUAAAUGGGGUGUACUUCUCAAUUUUGGCAUUUUGGACAUGUUCUCUUGUAGUUGUUGAACUUAUUAUUUUUCAUCAUUUUCUGCAAGCAGAAAGCGGUAAUGUUGUUAAGGUUGAUAGGUUUUUCUUCGUUGUUAAGAGGUUGCGCACGAACCGUACGAAAUGGUUAGUUUGGGAUUUUGCCCGUACCAUUUUUUGUCUCUUUUUCUUUCUCUAGUUUGAUUAUUGUUGUUGUUGAAGUAGUUUUAAUUCAUGUAAUCUUUUGUGUUUUUCUAGUCACAAGCCGAUGUUUCAAAAUAAAGAAUGUGAUGCACCAGUGUUGGUUCUAUUGCUAAAGCGUUUGUCCCCACUGGCAUGCUCAACUCAGACAGUGCUGAUGUUGUUUUAUAUUCUCUACGUCAGAAGUACCGAGACACUGACAAGUUGAUAGUUCCCAGAUGGGUGACGGUUAGUAUUUUGCUUUUUUUGUAAAUAGGAUGAUAACUUGUUGUGCCAAUUUUCUAACUAUUGUUUUUCUUUUUGUACAACAGACCAAGAUCCGUAAUGGAAAUAUUGACCGCAAUGUGCUAAAUUGGUUCACAAGAUCAGGUGCUGAUGGUUUUGACCAAGUAGGUGAACUUGGACUUUUUGUACUCAUUAACUAGAACUGUCAUGUUUUCUUUGCAGUUUUGGGAUGUGGGGGGAAUGAACUUGAUCUGUGCUUCUUCUAUUAAAGCUGUACUUAUUGUUGCAAGGGAAUUGAACUGAUAUGAUUGUUCCUCAAUUUUGGGCGGUGGACAUAAUUUCCUUAUGAUUAUGUGAUUUUUUGUUUGUACUUUUGAAUUUCAAUUUCCCUCUUUUAUUUUAUUGUUUGGAGGCUAAAUUUUUUGUUUCAUUAUUAUUUGGUAAAUUCAUUUUUCCUCUGCGAUUUUUUUCCAGCUUCUUUUCCCUACAUUUGAUCCGCCGUCAUUUGUGGCUACCAUGAAUCCUAGUGAAGUAUCUGGGCAUUGGUGCUUGGUUGUUCUGAAUUUGAAGUUCCGUUGUUUCGAGUGCCUUGAUUCACUCCGUGAUGAAACCUGGGGUGAUGCAGUUAGAUUCUUAAGAAAUAUGAUAGAUAAUAUAAAGAAGCUUUGGAGGGAGACCAGUGCAGAUAGGGCCAAACCGUUCUCACCGGUGCAUAUUGAUGGUUUCUCUUGCGAGUUUGUGCGGGUGCCUCAGCAGGAAAACACGUGAGUAUCCGUUUUUAAUGAUUUUUGUUGGUUGUUUUUGUUGCUGGAGGAUGUUUUUCCUAUAUUUUUUGGAUUUUCUGUUAUACCAUUUUUUGAUUUUGCCUUUGUUUACAGGCAUGAUUGUGGAUUCUUUAUGCUACAAAAUUGCAAGACCUAUUAUUGCCGGGAGGAUGGUGUAAUUGAAAUGGUCGAUUAUAGCCAUGAAGACAUUUUGGACAUUAGGAAGACUUUGCUGUAUACCUGCGCAACUAGCAAUUUGUUUGAUGUUGACUUCCGGGGUUUGUUUGGCAUCGAACCCUGUACGUGUGCAUGGACUUUUGUAAUUUUUUGCAGCUUGUACUUCUCUAUUAGUACUGUCAUGAAAUAUGUAUUUGAACUUACGCUUUGUGCGGUCUUCUUUUUUUUCAGGUGAGUGGCUGGAUCUUGGUGAGCAUGACUACAGGUUCUUUGGUAGCCAGUUAUUGGAGCUCAAGCAUGUAGCUAUUGAUCUUAGCCAGGGGCGUUCUUCCGAAAAGACAAGAUCUGGUGUUAUGAAGGGGCGGUUGGGAGCUCUGAGAGGUUUUACGGCUGCUUGUGCAGAUAGCUCUACUACACCCAAGAAUCCCAUUGUGGAAUUGAUAGACAGCGAUGAUGAUGUGUUUGACAAGAUUGCUGGCGUUGGAAGAGUCACGAGGAGCGCUGCUGCCAAAGGUUUAUCUCCCCUUGCUGGAAUAGUGGCUCGUAGAGCUGGUGCUGCUAGGAAAGAUCCCGCUUUGGAUUCUGGCAAUGUUGUAAGCAUGAAGCGUGCGCCCAGAGCUCCUAUAAAGUUUUGCUCCCCUAUGCAGCAGCUUCACCCUCAUAAAUUCCCUCACUUGGACAAGGCUCGCAAGUUGUAUAAUCUGUUGCUUAGUGAUGAAUGGCGUGAGAAGUAUGCCGAGUGAGUAUCUCUCAUUUUUUUCCUCUUCCUUUUCUUGUGUUGUUUGUAACUGCUAGAUAAAUAUGGCCUGAACUGUUCCUUUUUAUACAACUCGAACUGCUAUGAAUGCCUUAUCUUGCUUCUCCUUCUUUUUUGUUCUUGUGUGUGCUGCAGGAAUACAUUCUCAAUGAUACCUCAACCUGAUGGAAACAUAACUAACUUCACUGGGAAUCGCAUAUGGGAAGUUUUUUCACCUGGGGAAAUGAUGGAGGGUGAUGUAAUGGACUUCCUCAUUGAUGAUUGGAAGCAAGAUCCCGAUAGAAAUGCUGAUUUCGCAUCUGGGAAAAGGAUAUUGCUGAGUCCAUAUUUCAUUACGGUAAUCAAUCAGAUCGGUUUCUUUAUGUUGAACAAGACUAUCUAUUGUUUUUAUGAUUUUUAAUAAUAUUUUGCUUGUUGAUUCUUUUCCACUGUCUAUUUUCUAUGUUGGCUUUUUUGCAGGUUGUGCUUGACUUUUCGUAUUAUGAGGAUGAAAAUAAAGUGUUUAAUGUGGAGAGUGCAGCGAGAGAUUUCAAGAGCUAUGUUAAAGCUAAUGAAGACUUGCUCAGUGCCGACCUUGUGAGAUCUACUAGCCGUUUUUUGAUUUUUAUUUGUUUGUUGUGAUGCUGGUUUUUACUUUGAAUAUUUAACAUCUCUGUUUUGGUCAUUUGUUUUUAGAUAAUGAUGCCUCUAUUCAAGCCUAUGGUUUUAUCAAAGGAUAGGAAAGUGAGCCACUAUUCCUUAUAUGUCAUGAAUCGGUACCGAAGUAGCGUUGACAUCCUUGACUCUUUACCUUAUCCGAAGAACCACCGUCCUUUGAAGAACACCUAUCACAAAUACUGCGAGAAGAUUGUGAGUGACAUUUAUUAUCUGUACUGGAUUAAUAUUUCUGCAUCUUUGUUUCUACUGUUUCUGAGACCUAAAACUGUGUCGGUUGUUUUGUUUUUUUUACAGAUUUCUAGAUUGGUCAAAGUAAUGAAGGCUGUGUAUGGUGAUGCUCAGUACAAUGCAAGCAAGCAGCCCAAUUGGGAGCUGUUUGCAAAGAAACCAACGUUUGUCAAGGUUCCACUUCAAGGGCCGAAUGAAUGUGGCCAUUAUAAUUUGAAGUAUGCGGGAUCCUAUGAUGGUGAAAAGAUCGUUGAGAACAUUCGAGAUAAUGACGUGGGUUUCUUGUUGAGCAUUUCAAUUUUUGUUUUUGGCUUAUUGUGCAUCCUUUUUUUUAUGUGUCAUGAUUUUUGAUAAUUUGUUUUAUUGUUUUGCAGCCACGCAUUGUUGAUUGGAACGCUGAGGAUCUGUAUAGAGUUGUGUUCAACCGGAAUAACCAUCUUAUCGUGACGAAGCUUCCCAAGGAGGUUCAGGCUUUGGCUCCUGAUGCAUAGGAUAAAUGGUCAUCAUUUGCAUAGUGAAUUGGAUAGUUGUGUGAUAUAUCUAUUGAAAACAUUGUAGGCUCUAUUUUGAAGUGUUUGAUGUCUUGUCGAGUACUAUGUAAUAACUAGUAUAUUUUGUGUUGUGUUUUAAGUGUGGCACAAUGUUUCAUCGGGAAUUCGUUUUGGUUAAGUUUUUUUUUGUACUGAAGACUUAUAUAGUAGUUGAACUGAAAACAAUUUUUUAAGUGUAUUUUCGCGUUGUUGCUCAGAAAGUGAGAUUUAUUUUAUUUUUCUGUGAUUCCAUCCUAACUUGGACCUUUAUAGUUUCUGUACUCUCGUUUUCUUGUGCUUAUGAUAUAGUUCUGUUAGUACUGAUUUUUAGUCUCAUUUAGCGUAAGGCUUUCAAAAUUUUAGUGCCAAAUUUCUUUUUGAACUUCUUGAAUUUUAGUAGUUGAACUUCAUAGUAAAAGUUAAAUUACUGGUUUAAAUUAGCUACGUUUAAGAGAUAGUCCUAUUAAGUUCAAAACUAUUUCCUUCUCAAUGCAUUAAUUGGUAUCAUCAUAGCACUUACCGAAUAAACUCAGUUGUACUGAGAUUCCAAUUGUGCUAGUACUUUUGAUUAAUUAUUUAUUGUUUGUGUUGUUUGAUGCUAGUAUGUCUUCUGUUGUGUUUCUUGUGAUUUUUCUCUUUUUGCUGAACUUAUAUCUUUUUGAUUAAGUUAUUGGCCUUCUUUUUUUCUAGGCUGUGGUUCUUCUCCAGGCAAUGUUUGGUCCUAUCACUUGCCGUAUAGACUUAGUUGUACUGAGAUUUCAGUUGUAUUGCCACUGCUAAUUCUUAGUAUGUCACUGCUUUAAGGAAUGUGAACUGAAGCUUCCCGUUCCUUUUUAUAUAUUUGUAGAAUGAAUGUGUCGUGUGUUCAACUGUACCAGAACUUUCAGUCCUAGGAUGCUAGUGACUAGGAAAUACGUACUGGUGUUUCUCUUGCUUUUCCUGAUGCAGUACUUAGUGAAUUUCUAACUACUUUUUAGCACGAUGCUUUUUAGUACUGAAUGUUGUCCUCGGCUGAAACUUAGUCUUUUUAGUGUUCUUCUAAAACUAAAAACUGAUUUUUUAGCGUGAUAGUACUACCGUUCAUGUCUAAGUUGUACUAAGCAUGGAAGGCUACUAUUUGCUUUUGGCCUUUAUUUAGUCUGCCACUUUUUUUUGCGAAAAUAUUCAUGUGUUAUUUUUUUCUCCAUGACUAGUGCUGCGUGGCAGCCAUCAAGUUUCAACUUCAAAUCAUGGAUGAACAAAAUAGGAAGCUAGCAAACUUGUUGGAUGACAUAAGCAAAUGAUGUACUUUAUAGACAUAGGCAAACUUGUUCAAACCCUGACACACAUAGCAUAAGGUAGCUGGUUCAACAUAACGAAAGCAAACUACAAAUCUGAAACACCAAUUCUAAGGACACACACAGCAUAAGGUAGCUGGUUCAACAUAACGAAAGCAAACUACAAAUCUGAAACACCAAUUCUAAGGACACACACAGCAUAAGGUAGCUGGUUCAACAUAACAAAUGCAGACUUUCAUGCAUCUUCAUCCGCGAAGUUGUAGUGGUAGUAGGGGUCAGCCUCCUGCUCUUUUGAAAUAUCCCAACCUGUCACGAUGUUGUCGAUUGUCUUCCAUGACUUGUACGUUGCGUAUGCAUCUAUUCCUGCGUACGUGACGAGGUUGUCUGGCAGCGGGCUGUUCCCCCACAGUUUGUGGUCUUCCCUGUUCAUCUUCUUCUUCAUGCCUUCGUAGAAUGGGUGGAUGACGCUGCCUGCAACAUCAGCCAAGGAGUCGUAUUAUUUGUCGGUCUUUGGAUCUUUCCACUUGCGCUGCAUGUCGAUGAAGUUGUUGGGGUUGAUUUCCAAACCAGACUUCUCCAGCUUCCGCUUGUCACCUCCAAUGCUGAAACCGACAAAUGUGUACAAUUCCUCCUCCUGUAGGAAGUCUUUGAGGCGCUUGGGCCUGCAAGGUGGGAGACACACAUUUAAAGAUUAGUCUUCAUUUUUUAGGAUUUAAUUCUUCUACUUUUUUUGUUCUACAAGUGAUAAUCCAUGAGGUAGAUGCUUAUAUAUUAUGAGUCAUGCAUGAAUGUAAUUCAUAAACUAGUACACAAAGUCCCGAAAUUAAAUUGAACUACACCGUGUUAUUUUUUCUUUUUUGCUAUCUUCUUUGCUUUACCAAAUGCUUCACCAAAUUAGAGAAUCAUUUUACCAGAGUCAAUGAUAUAUGCGCUGCUUGAUUCAAGUUUAGUUUUCUUUUUUGUUGAACAAAAGACCUAUACCAGUGAUUGAUACAUCUUUGUGCAUUAAUUCUACAUCAAGUUCAAAAAUUAGUUUGAGAAACAUGUGCAUCAAGAUAUGAACCUAUACCACUUCACCAAAGACCUUUUAAUACAUCAAUUCUAUAAACUAUACUAGUGCAUCAAGAUCAGAAUCUAUGCUAGUUCAUGAAGUUCGGAAAUUAAUUUGGUGCAUAAAGUUCAGAAUGUUAUAAACUUUUUUUUCAGAUGCUAAUCUGGUGAAACAAUCCACUUCACAGUUUCAGAAAAUGCAUGUAACCUGAUAAACAUGUAAUCGCGCAUCCACUUCAUAGACUAUAGUAGUUCAUCUAGUUGGGAAACAAUUUUUAAUUAAGUUUUUAGUGACUAGUACUGGUACAACAGAUGAAUGAACAGUAGUAUGAGUUACAAUGGAUGAAUGUACUUCAAAAACUAGUAAAGAAAGUUCUGAAAUUAAAUUAAGUACAUCAUGUUAUUCUUCUUCUUGGAUUAUACAUAGUUUCAGUAAAUGUUGUAUGUUCUUCAUUGGUACUAGUUUAGUCUACUUUUGUUGAAAUAGGAUAACACAGAACCAGUGCUUCACCAAGUCCUUAGUUUAUUUUCUUACGAAAAUAACAUUACAUCAAAUUCAGAAAAUACUUCACUACAAACCACACUAGUACAUCUAGUUGGGAAACAAGUGUGAUUAAAUUUUCAGGAUACAGUAGUAAUAAAACAGAUAAACCAUAUGCAGGGCAAAUGAGUAGGAUUGCUCACCAUUGUGUGGGCGGUGCGAUGUGGUACACCAAGAAGAGUUCCUCGACGCACAACUACAGGACUGCCGCCAUCUAUGGAGGUUUUUCCUCGUCGGUGUACUCCACAUCAACUCUGGUGAAGCUCGGAUACAAGCCGCCUCCCUUCAUCCUAAGCCUGCUCAUCAUCUCAUCGGCCUUGUCUGGUUCGCUGGUGCAGACGAUCUCCAUCGUCUCAUUGUCGUGGAGCUCAACCCCUUCGAGCGUUCUGGUGUAGUUGCGCUUCUCGCCGGGGACGUUAAUGUCGACGAGGUUGCUCCUUUUGUCUGACGUCUCGGCAUGAUGACGCUUGGCAGACGGUUCCUCCGCCAUGGCCUUCCUCCGGUGACUGUGGGCUUUGUAGAGAGACGCUGGAGGUUUGUGUGCAGUGGAAAUGGAAGCGGCAAUGGUGGUUUGUGGGAACGAGGGAGAGAUGGAAGACAAUGGGGUAUUUUUGCAGUGCGCCGACGGUGGUGUGUGGGAGGCGGUUCGUCGGGGGCGUGUGUGGGAGGCGGUUCGUCGGGGGUCGCCGUUUGCAGUGCGUCGUGGCAACCGCCCAGUGGGUGGCGCGGGUGGUGGCGUGGAAGAACUAACCGUCCAAGACAAAUGUUUUUUACUGGUGCACUUGUUUAGUCUUGUCAAGCUGUAUUGAGGAUCUGCUAAAUCCCACUUGCACGUCUCUGCGGUGGUGAUGAUGGCAUUUUACUGUGGCAGCGAUUCGUAUAGUCAAGCUGUACUUAUGGAUCUGUGAUGUUUUUCGUGUGGAUAUUUA